rnacentral:lncRNA from 1 species
CAUUACACCAUCUAAAACAAGUUUUCAAGUACCAAAACAGUUUAGGGUAAUGUUUCUAGUCCAUUUCCAGCAACUAAAGUCGAAAAUCUGCACUCUGUGGCUCCUACUCGCCGAGUGCAUGAACCUACUCGGCGAGUAGGUUGAAGAUACAAGUGAACUCGGCGAGUCUCCCCAUGGACUCGGCGAGUUCAUCAGGCAGACAACAAGCUUUUCGACUUUUUUCAACUUUUAAGCACAAAUAACAAACAAACAAGCCUAGGCUCUGAUACCACUGAUGGGUUUUGAGCAUUCUAACACUUCCUAAGUGUACAUGCAACCCUAAUAACCUUGGAUCUAUGUUUGUCUAUUUAUCAUGCAAAGUUGAAUUCCAAGGUUAUAUUCCUAUCUAGCAUACAUGGGGAACAAUUUUUAACUUGAAUGAAAGAUAGAAUAACUUACCUUGUUGUUGCUUAUAAUCCUUGAAACCUUGUAAGCCUAGCACUCCAAGCGUGAUGCCUCAAAUGAUUCACACAACACCAAAUGCUCUUGGAAAGACUUUUGAGAGAAUACACACUUCUUGAAAUCGGCCUAGCCCUCUAGUUUCUUAUGUGUAGCCGAUUUUGGUAGAGAAUAGGAUUCUUAUAUAGUGCUGACACAUCUAGGGUUACACCAUGUAAACCCUAAUGUGUCAUGACUCUUCAUUUCCAUGACCCAUGGGUUUGUAACUCCCAUGGAGCAUCCAUGGAGCAUCCUAUGGGUGGAACCCAACUUGAUAAUCCAUGGAGCCUCUUAGCCCACUAUACAAGAUAUGAAUGAUUUACAUAAUCAACCCAUAUAUUUAAUUAGUUAUCUUUUGAUCACUUAAUCAAUUCUAAAUUAAUUCUCAUUUAGUCUAUCCAAUUGCAUGGUGCCAUGCAACCCAAAUGGACCAUGCCGGGUCGGGUUAAGUACUGACCCGAAAUAGUUAUAGACUUAGACACCUUAUCCAACACUUCUAAUGUCAAAAGAUGAUUGUGUCAUUAUUAAAGACAAAUAUAAAAUCACUUAUUCUGAAAGAAAUGUUUUGAUUUUGGAUAACAAACGUCUGAAUUCCAAAAUAGAUGCUUUUCAUAAUUCCAUAGACAUUCUUGAAGCAAACGAAAGGAUGACUCACAGUUUUCAUCAUCCUUUGUCCAAAGCACCUGGUCUUAGAAGCGAGUUUCCGAAACCUAUUGCUUGUCCCUUGAAGGACUUAUAGAAUCUAACUUUUAUGGGUGACAUUCUGAACCAAAAACAUUCAGAUACCCUUGUCUCUACUUUCUCACCCCUUCUUGAGACCUUGGAUAGUUUUUGUUCUCUGAUUCCUGAGUUUUAACCAAUAGUUGUUAAGUGUCUUGAUUCCACGCCUCAUCUGCCUCUGAUACCCCUGGACCUAAAUCAGACCUCGGAAUUUACUCCCAUCAUUCCCAUUAAUGUAGUUCACAUUCCGAACCAUAGUCCUCCUGUUGAGUCAUUUUGUUGUAAAAGUCGAAGCCUUGUCUUUUCUAUUUCACAUGUUUAUUUACUAAGUCACUUUAUGUCGAAGCCUAAUGUAUGGACUUAGUGUUUUUUGUACACUCAUGUUUCCUAUAAAUAGGGACUGAGGAUAGAAGUAGAGGCACGAGUCUUUCUGCUUAUUCUUGUAAUCAGUAUUGUAUUUGAAUUCUCUGUUCAAUAAAAAAAUUGUUGAUUAAUAUUUACAUUUGGUGUUCAUAUCUUUCAUUACUAAUUCAUUCAAAUCCUGAUUGCUUUCUAAAUCUCGAUAACAAUUCUCAUCAAUUUGUAUCAGAGGAGGAUUCAAACUAAAUUGAUUUGAUUUUCAUUUUAGAAUCAUUUGUAUUUUGAGUUACGAGUUUAUUCGAAUAUUUCCGUGCUUUUGGUUCUGAAGAUCUCUCUUGAUCUUCAUAUUUGAAUCGAUUCUACAUCUUAAUUGUUUAGUCGAGUAAUAGAUUAGCAAUUAGUCAUCAAUUCAUUUGAAUAAUUCACUAAUUGAUUAAGUUUCUCAAGUUUUACAUCAAAAUCCUCGUGUUCAACAAUGGCGCACUUUAAUAUGAACACUAUGACCUCAUACUCUCAUUUGCUUGGUUCAUCUACUAAAAUUCCGAUGUUGAUUCCAGAAUAUUAUGAUCAAUGGGCUAACAGAAUGGAAGAUUAUCUGAAUGGGAUAGAUGAGGAGCUCUGGAACUGUAUAAAUGGACCAAUUCUACCUCCUGCGAAUGUUCAAACAUUAGGAGCCUCUGGAACAUCAGAUCAUGUCAGUAAUCAAAGUGAUCAUAUGAAAAAGAAUGAGAAGAGAUAUAUGCGAGAGCUGAGAGGUGCAUUACCACCUAUGGUUAACAACUACAUUCAUGGUUGUAAAACAGCAAAAGACAUCUGGUUCACAUUGAAAGAAAAAUACCAAGGUAGUGAAAAGACAAAGAUCAACUAUGUUAAACAAUGUCUUGUUGAGCUUAAGGAGUUUAGACAGAAGGAUGCAGAGACGAUUGAAAAUUACUAUGAUUGUCUGAAUGAACUCAUUUAUCGAUGCAGCAGGUAUGGAAUCACAAGGUCCCCUAUGGAAUUCAAUCUUAUAUUUAUCAUGGGGCUUCACAACGAAUGGCGAAGUGUGAGCAUGAUGAUAAAGAAUCAGUAGAGCUUUGACACUUCGAGUUUGAAUGAUCUAUACAAUCAGCUAAAGACACACGGAAAAGAAGUGGCAGAAAUGUUAGAAGAGUCGAAACAAAGUUUGGGUAGACCACUGUCAUUGGUGUCAAAAAUGAAUGAAGUUGAGUCUGUUGAAAAGGAAGGAUCGGAUGAUGAGGGGUUCCUGAUGAAUUCUAAUGAUGAGGUAGUUGCAUUUUACACAAACAACAAAGUAAAGAAUUUUUUAAGGAAGCCAUUCAUACCAAAGGGUAUGCAAGGAGAUGCGAAGAGUGGUUUUUUGAAAGCUGGAGUAAAGGAAGGAGGUGAGGAAAAGAAGAGGUAUGAGAGGUUGGAGAAUACGGAUGAAAAUGUGAAGGAAGCAAAAGCAGAGAAAAAGUUGAAAGGUGACUCAGGAGUAAAUUGUCAUUACUAUAAUUGAGCUAACCACUUCGCAGCUGAUUGCAUGCUAAGGAAGAAUGAUGAAAAGAAAUCCAAAGUUAAAGACGAAGCUUACUAUGCUGAAAAUCUUGAGGAAGUUAGUGCAAAAGCAAAAGGGUUAUCUUUGGUUGCAAAGGGAGAGAUGGACGAUGAUGAAAGUGGAACCUACCAAAUCUGGUCUUCAGGUUCAGAUGAUGAAGAAAUGAGGCAUCCAACACACGGUGCGAUGUUUGCUAGUAUUGAGAAGAAUAGCGAAGAAGAAGAAGAAAUCUGUAGACAUUGCUUCGUGUCCAAAUCCACGGAUAAAUAUCCUAUGACCACCAAGGUACGUGCUAUUCUUGAAUCUUUUAAUAUUCCUUUAAUUGCUUAUGGUGGUGAAAUAACUGCUUUUGAUGAUAUUGUUGCUUAUUUUGAUGCUGUUAUUGUGUCUGCUAGUACCGAGGCUCAAAAUCUAAAAACACAACUAGCUGAGAUACGAAGACAGUUAGACAUAAAACGAAGCAGGAUAGAUUAUCUUGAACUCCAGAUGAAAAAUGUCAAUACUGAUAGAUAUAGUCUAGAUAAAGAUGUUAGAUUGUUGUUACCUCAACGUAACAUUUACUGUAAUUCAGCUAAGAGACUAUAUGCGAAGUUAACUGCUUUUCAUCAUUCAUCUGAAAUAAGCAAAGAACAACAUAGAAAAUUACUACCUUUUCUUGCUUAUGAACGUGAAAAAUUUGAUGUUAUAUCGUAUGAUUGCGAAGAUGCUAUUUCUCAGUUUGACAAAAUACAUGAUGAUAGAUUUGCAUAUGGUAUUGUCAAAAUUGAUGAAUUUCUGAAUGCUGAUGAAUUGGUAGAUAUUGUAAAUAAUAGUUUAACGAAGAAUGAACAAAUGAGGAUUUUAAAGAAAACUGAGAUUUUGACUCUUGAUUCUCAACUCAAUUAUGCUGAUGUCGAUGAUAAUUCAGAUAAUGUAAGUGAAAUUAGUGAAAUUGAAGAGGAAGAAGAGAUUGAUUGUUCUAAACUGUUUGUAAUUAAUAUAACAUCUAAGGUCAAAGAUAAAGAAAUUUUAGUUGAUUCGAUAGUGAAGGUUGACACUGAUAAACCCUCAACUUCGCAACUUUUUGACUUUGAUGAUGUGUAAGUUCGAAGUAUCCAAACAGAUGACAUGGAAGAUGACGUAGAAAAAGUGAAACCUUCAUGUGAAUGUAAGAAAGAGAAGAAUGUUUCGACUGAACCAUCACCUACACGUGUUGUUGUUGAACAAGUAUAUGGUGACUCGAAGGAAUUCAACCAAAUUCAUAAUGACAAAGGUGCACACUACUUGGAAACCAAAACAGUUGUCUAUCCGAAUUUUACAUGCACUGAUAAAACGAUUUUUCCAAAUCAAGUCUUCGUUACUGCUGGAAAUGUUGAGAAAAUCAAACCUGAAUUUCAUAAAAUGGUUGAAAAUGAGAACAAACGAUCAACUACCAAAGGUUUCUUUACAAAUCAAAACAUUGUAGAAAACAAUUUAACUCAAAACUCUUAUCUUUUUCAAAAUAAAAAAUCAUCACAAAAAUGGGUGGUUAAAAAUGCAAAAGAAGAGAAAGUGUUUCAAAAAGAUGGUGAAUCAAAAUCAGAAGUGAAAUUGAAUUCUCACGAAUUUAAAAUGAUGGUUGGAAAAUUUUCAUGUGAAAACAAUGUUUCGAAAAGAAAAGCACGAAAGGAAAUUUUUUGGCAAAUAGUGUCUAAAGAAAAGCCUAAUGAUGUUAAAUCACAGGAUUUGAAAAAUAAAAAGGUGGGAUCUAUUCGAAAAUAUGAUAACAUUAGAAAAUAUGAGACUUCGCAGAACAUUGUGAAUGAUCGUAAAUUUCAAAAUGUUGGAAAAUCAACGAAUAAUUCACCAAUUUUGAAUGACAAAACCCAAGUAAAAAACAAAAUUUUCACCUAAACAACCAAAUUUUCCAAAUCAUUCAAUCAUAAACCAACCAAGGUUUCUUACGCAAAAGGAAAAUCUGAUGUAAAUUCGAUCAACACUUGGCUGGAAGGAAAAGGAAAACAAUUUCAAAAUGGCAAAUUUUUACAACAACAAAUCAAGAAUGCAUUUGAAAAAUAUGUAAAAUGGGAACCAGUUAUGAAAGUUAAACAGACUGCGAAGGCUAAGGUGAAAAUCCAGGAAAACCCAAAAUUAUCGAACAACUUUAUUUCAAUCUCCAUAUCAGAUGAUGCUGAUUUAAUUCAAAGUGUAAAGGAAAAAGUAAAAAACUGGUUUUUAAAUUCUAAGAAUCUGUUUAAUGAUACUGAUGAAGGACCCAAAAAGUCUUGGGUUCCCAAAAAUUUUCAUUAUUGCAGAUGAUGUGUGAUGAGAAAUAUGAUUCGAAAUGGUACAUUAACAGUGAUUGCUCUCGUCACAUGACUGGAAAAAGGAGAACUUGCGAGAUUAUAGAAGCUUGGAAAAUGCUGGAGUAGUCAAAUUUGGCAACAAUCACAAAUGUCAAAUGAAGGGCUAUGGAAAAGUCACAAAUGGACAAUUCAUAAUAAAUAUAGUUGCUUAUGUCAAAGGUCUUCAACAUAACUUGAUUAGUAUUUCAUAACUUGUUGAGGGCAAUGGAAAUCAGGUGGUGUUUAAUGAAGACGGUAGCAUCAUAUCAAAAGUGAAUACAAAUGAAGUGCUUCUCAAGUCAAAAAGAUAUGGAGAUAUGUUCACACUUGACAUCAAACCGAUUGUGGGAAAACCAGUAGUGUGUCUCUUUUCAAAGGCUUCAAAUGAUAUUUGCUGGCUAUGGCAUCGCAGAUUGUUUCACUUAAACUUUCGCAAUAUCAACAAACUUGUCACUGAAGAUUUGGCUCGAGGUUUGCGUGUGCUUAAAUUUGAUAAUGAUACUUUAUGUGCAACUUGCGAACACGGAAAACAACACAGAAAAGGACAUCCAAUCAUUAUAGAUUCGAAUAUCGUAGAACCGUUGGAACUUCUUCGCAUCGACUUAACUGGACCGUCGACUGUUGAGACACUCAAUAAAAAGUGGGACAUUUUAGUUAUUGUUGAUGAUUUUUCUCGCUUUACAUGGGUAUUUUUUCUCAGGUUAAAAUCCGAGGUUGCUCAAACGAUGAUCGGCUUUAUCAAGAAGAUUGAGAUGAGUCUUAAAAAGAGUGUUCGCAAGAUCAAAAGUGAUAAUGGUUCUGAGUUUAAAAAUCAAAAGUUGGAUUCUUUUCUCACAGCUAAGGGAAUUUCGCAUAAUUUUUCAUCACCAUAUACACCACAACAAAAUGGCAUGGUUGAAAGGAGGAAUAUGUCUCUAUGUGAAGCGGCAAGGACUAUGCUAACAUAUGCGAACUCACCUCAAUAUCUUUGGGCAGAAGUUGUGUUAACUUUGUGUUUUACUCAGAAUCGUUCAUUUAUUCAUCGAAGAUUCAAUAUUACUCCAUUUGAAAUACUUAACAAUUGAAAACCUAAUGUAAAAUUUUUACAUGUUUUUGGUUGCAGGUGUUUUAUAAUGAACUUAAAAGAUAAUCUCUCAAACUUUGAUGUGAAGGCAAAUGAAGGCAUUUUCUUAGGAUAUUCACAUAAUUAUGUCGCAUACAGUGUGUUAAACAAGAGAACACGAAAAGUUGAAGAGACUUUCAACUUAACCUUUGAUGAUUAUUUUAUUAAGCAGAUAGAUCGCAAAUUUGAACAAAAACCCAACAUCGCUGAUACAUAAUCAAGUUGAAAAUGAAAAUACUAUUGAUUUUGAUUAUGAAUUAAUAUUUGAUAGACCUGAUAGGUCAAUCAAUGUUGAAAUUCAUGCUGCUGAUAAUCGAGCAUCAAAAUCUUCAAAACACAAUGAUGACUCUAUUUGUACAUCUGACUCAAAUAGUAGCAAAAACAUGCCUGAAGUUCAUAUGGAGGGGGAGUAUACGACAUAUGAAAUCAGUGUUCAAGGUGGAGAAAAGACAUGAAGAUCAAAAUGUUGAGGGGGAGCAUCAAGACAAUAAUCGAGUUGAAGGGGAGCUUGUAGAUUCAGUUGAGGGGGAGUAUGAAUUUGAAGAUAAUAUUUUAGUUGUUGAAACUGAAAUUGAAGAAGUUUAUGAAGAUGCACCGUUUGACUUUGAUUUGACAUAUCCACUAAUGAAAAAAUCGACAAAAAGUCAUCCAAAAGAACGGGUCACAGGGACUCCUGAAGAUGGUGUGUUGACAAGAGCUCAGAUUCAUGCCAAAAACGAGGUACUUAAUGCAAAUCAAGAAUUGUGUAUGUUUAAUGUUUUUAUUUCGAAAAUAGAGUCAAAAACAGUAAAGAAUGUAAUGAAACACUCAGAUUGGGUAGUUGCUAUGCAAUCUGAAAUGGCUGAAUUUGAAUGAAACAAGGUUUGGAGACUUAUUCCUAAACCUUCUGAUGUUUCAGUUGUCGGGUUAAAAUGGAUUUUCAAAAAUAAAACCGACAAAGAUGGUAAUAUUAUUUGAAACAAGGCUAGGCUUGUGGUAAAAGGUUAUUCCCAACAAGAAGGAAUUGACUAUGAAGAAACCUUCGCACCUGUCGCAAGACUCGAGGCAGUUCGCAUAUUUUUAGCCUAUACAGCUCACACAAAAUUCGAUGUUUAUCAAAUGGAUGUCAAGUGCGCAUUCUUGAAUGGAGAGCAAAGAAACUGUCUAUGUCGAACAACCACCGGGCUUCGUAAGUAAGGAACAUCCUGAUCAUGUUUAUAUUCUCGAAAAAGUAGUUUCUGGGUUAAAACAAGCACCAAGAGCAUGGUAUGCAACUCUUACCAAUUUCUUGAAAAAGUCAAAAUUUAAGCAAGGAUCUGUUGAUCCCACACUAUUUCGAAAGAAAGUGGGUAAUCAUCUAAUGCUUGUUCAAAUUUAUGUUGAUGAUAUUAUUUUUGGCUCAACUGACCCUGAAUUGUCUACAGAAUUCGAAAAUCUUAUGAAAAGUCCAUUCAAAAUGAGCAUGACGGGAAAAAUAAAUAAUUUUCUUGGGUUGAAUAUAAGACAGAAUAAAGAUGGAAUUUUUAUCAACCAAGAAAAAUACAUGAAGAAUCUGCUCGAGAAGUUUGGAAUGUCGAACAAUACAAAGCUUAGAGUACCAAUGGCAGUGGGAACAAGACUAACUCUUUCAUUAGAUGCUCCUGUUGUUGAUCUAACACUUUAUCGAGGCAUGAUACAGUCUUUAUUGUACUUGACUGCAACUAGGCCUGAUAUUAUGUUUUUAGUUUGUAAUUGUCCCAGGUACCAAGCAAAUCGCACAGAACCUCACUUAACUGCGGUGAAAAACAUUUUUCGCUAUCUUAAGGGGACAAUGUCUUUAGGACUCUGUUAUCCUGCGAAUUCGGGAUUUUUCAUUGAAGCUUUUUCAAAUGCUGACCUAGGCGGAUGUACUUUAGAUCGAAAGAGCACAAGUGGUGGAUGUCAGCUCUUAGAUGGGAAGCUGGUGUGUUCGAAAUCGAAGAAGCAAACUUGUGUUGCUAUCUCCAUUGCUGAAGCUGAAUAUAUUUCAGUUGCUGCCUGUACUUCUCAAAUCAUUUGGAUCCAAAGUCAACUUCGUGAUUAUGCUAUAAAUAUGAAAAAGAUUUCCUUGUACUGUGAUUCUCAAAGUGCAAUUCACAUUUGUUACAAUGUUGUACAACACUCAAAAACAAAACACAUUGCUCUUCGAUAUCACUUUAUCAAAGUUCAUGUCGAGGAAGGGAAUAUUGAAGUACAUUUUGUUAAGACCACUGAACAACUUGCUGAUACUUUUACCAAAGCUCUUGAUGAAAAAUAUUUUGUGAGAAUUUUAGUAGGUUUAGGAAUGCUUGAUGCGAAUUCAGUGCCAAAUAACAUCACUCAAGGAUGAAAGGAGUCUGUCAACUAAAGAAAUGUUCAUUCAGCGGAUCUGAAUCGGAAUCAUUCUGAAGUUACUGUGUGUUAAGCAGCUUCGCUAUGAUUCGCAUUCGCAUUUUGGGUAACUUUAGUUAAUUUUUUUUAAAAGCAUUGAGAAAACACGGAAAAGCAAAAAUAUUUUCAUUUGUUUGUAGUUAGAUUUUCUUUUGCUUUGUAUUUCAUUUUCUAAAAAUUGAAAAUUCUACAAAGAUUUUCUUAAACUUGUUUUAUUCUCUUAAAUUUUGUUUUGACAAAUAUAAAAUCACAAAAAGAUUUUUGUUCUUUUCAAAAAUAUAAAAAUACAAAAAGAUUUUUGUUCUUUUAAUUUUGUUCUUUUAGAUUUGUGUUUUUCAGUAUUAGUGUCAGCAAAAUUCGAAGAGGACAUGAUUAGGCUUCUAUUGGAAGGUAUCAUUUCUUUGAACACUAUACUAGUUAGGGUGUCCCUAGAAGCAUGCUGAUGCAUUUUGAUCCAAGCCUCAAAUGACUCUAUGUGUAUCAAAUGAAAAGCCUUAAUGAAAUUUUCUUAUGAAAGUUUAUUCCCAAUUAGGCUUACAUUCGCAUAAGUCCAAUGAGCUACCUUACUCUUCUCACAUGAGUUAAGAGUUUUCUGUUUGGUCCAAAAAUAACAGAGGUAUAUUCGAUCUUACAACCAAUCUUUUUCAUCACAAAAUUUCAUAACACGAAGCACACACAAAGACACACAUCCUUGAGAUCACUUGAUCAAACCAAUCGUGAUUUAGACAUGUCAUCAAUCUGUGUUAAUGAUCUUAUUUCAUUAGUCCGUGAAGUAAGUAAAACCCAAAAUCCUCACACAUUAAGGAAUUGACGGGGAACUAUGUUCCAGAAUUAUACGAAACCUUUGUUUCUAUACCUGAUAUUUCAUAUACUCCAAAUCAUAUUCAUUCGCAUGAGUGGUCCAGAUCAAAUGCUCGAAGCCCACGAUGUUUGUUUCCUAAAAGGAUCCAGCACUUAAUUUUUUUUAUGAACAUGAUUUCCGUGUGAGUAUAUAUCUAAAUUCGUUGUCACUUUUCAAAAUAAUCCAAAGGAAACUUGUGUCUGAUUACAAUGAUCAAACAAGUAAUUUUGGUUACAAUUACUCACCUUAUGUUUAGGCUGAUAUGUAAUGAAAUUCGCAUAACCACCAAAAUAAGCCUAUAAAAGAAGCCCUUCGAUACUUCUCUACAAGUAGUUGAUUGUAUAUCACGGGAACACACGAAAGAAGUUGGUUACCUCUCUUGGUAAUUAACGAAGUAACCUUUGCUCGGGGUUUUACUGCUUUGUGUCAAUAAAAUUUGAAAUCACAGAAUCCCAAAUUUUUCUUAAAAUUGCUUCUUAUCUCAUUUGUUUGGAUCACAUGCACUCACGAAAUCCUUGAGGUUCUAAGUAUUACCAACUUACGCUGAUGAUUUCACAAAUCUGGCAUAUGACUUUGUUUAACAUCACAUAAACGAAAGAGCCUUACCUCAAAAACGAAGGGUUCAUUUUAACAGCUGAGAUUGCUAAGGGUUUAAAGUAACCAUUGGCCCUAGUUUCAAGGCAUUUAAUAGGGCAUGAUCAUUCAGGAACACGUAGCCUAGUCUAUAAUUCAUCAAUGGUUCAAGUUUGAGGCAAUAUAUAAAAAGGGAAUUUUUCAUUGCAACCUUUACGCGAUUCUUAAUUCUCAGACAAACAAAAACCCUAGAAUUUUUCUGUUAAGAUAUUCUAAAGUUUUCAACAAUGGCAGCCAAUCAAUCCAAUACUGAAUAAAUUAUCUCACAACCUCUGAUGAAAAUUCAAAGUACCAAUUAUCAGGUUGAUGCUGUUGUGCUAACGUAUCUAGAGGAGUUGAAGAUGCUAAUUGUUGCUCUAAAAGGAUCUCCUUUAGCCACGGUGAUGUUUAAUUCGUUUUCAGUUCCGAUGACCUGGUUAUCAAUGGCGGCCUCCACAGCUUCAUACAAUAAAGCAACAGACAUCAUCACUUUCAACUUGGUGAAUGAUAAAAGGAUUCGCUUGAAAAGUCGAUGUUCAUCAGUUUCCUGGAGAUUCCUAACACCACUCCAUUCUUCAAAUCUCACAAUGCACAUAUUGUUCACAUGUUCAAUUAGAUGGGUCAUUAACCACCGUUGGACAAAAUAAGUGAUUUCAGAAAGUCAGGCUUGCCAUGUAUGUGGAAUUUUCUCUUUGGUAUUUUCCUCAGAUGCUUAACAAGUCGAAGCGUAGGUCUUGACAGAGAAAGGAUGGAAGUAUAUGCUAUGGUCAUGGGGCUUUACUACAAUUUAAAUGUGGAUUAUGGGACUCAAUUAUGGAAGGAAUUUAUUAAGAGUCUAGAAAAUAAAACUGUGGAAAAGGGAAUUUCGUGUGCUCGUUAUUGGAGCUUGAUUCUUCAACAUGUUUAUGAAAAAGCAGGCAUUCAAGUUCCUGAAGGUGUAGAAGUUGCAGAAUUUACCAAGUAUCAAUGCCCUAAGGCAGUGGAGGAUGAUGAAAAUAUCUUUAUGAACAUGGCACGAAUUCCUGAUACAAUGCUUCACAAAGUUCAUUCUUCUCAUAAAGUGCUUGUCAGAUAUAUGAAGACUAUCAAUGUAAAUGUUCAAACUGGAGUUUUGUUGAAUCUUGAAAGUGAGUCUUCCAAACAAGCAAAGAAGUCGAAGAUUGAGGAACAAACAAAGAUAGAAUUACCUAAGUCUUCAGUAGGGGAAGAUGUUCAGAAGGUGGUUGGAUUUGACAACACUGUGAAGGAAAUUAUUCCUUAAAAAUCUGGAGUUUUAAAGAAGCUUCACAAAUUGUCUAACAAGCGGACUUCAACUGAUGAUUCUCCAACAAGUCGCAAAACACAAGUCAGUAGUAAGGGAAUUGCUAUCAGAGAAAUUACUGCACCUACUUCUCCAAUGUCCAAGAAAAGGCGAGCCCAUGAUGUUGCGAUGCACGUUACUGGGAAAUUGUAUAAAAAGAGGAAACUUGUUAUUAGAGAUGGUUCUUCAGAAGAUGAAGUUGUUCCUGACACUCCGACAAUUUCGACUUCAACGUUGGUAACUACUUCCAUUCUAUCAUCAACUAUCACUUCGCAUGUUUCCACCACAACUACAUUUCCACUCGAAGUAGUCUCUACCGAAUCAUUUAAUGAGGAGGUACCUACUUCUGAUAUGGUCGUCAAUGUAUCUGAUACGGGGGCACCUAUCAAGAGUGUCAGCACAUCAUUACUCAUUAUUUUGUCCACUUCGUUACCUCUCUCAUUUGAAAGCCUAAAUACUUCGUUACCACCAUUUCCCAUUCCAAACUCAUGUGUUACAACUUCACCCAUAUUUGAUCACGUUUUGAAACAUCCUUUCACAAAUCUUUUCCCAUCUCAAUCCCCUAAGAAUACUCAACCAAUAACUUCUCAAGCUCAUUCUGAUGAUGAAACAGACGGAGGUGGUUUCAGAGGAACAUUUGAGGAACUACACUUUGAUUCAGAAGAGGAGGAGAUACCAGAUCACAUGCUUAUGUCAGAUAAACAUUUCAAAAUCUUGAAUCGCAAAUUAAAUACCAUCAUUCAGUUACAAGCUGACUCUGGUGCAAAGCAUUCACUUUCUGGUAUGGAGGUUGAUGCGAUGAUCAAAGGAGCUGAAAGAAGAUUACUUGAGAAGAUAGAUGGCAAUGAUAAAAAACAAUGAGCUUCGGCGUAAAGCUCAAGGGAGCAACUUUGAUGGUGCUCUACAAGAAUUGAAAAAUGUUAUAAAAGAACGUCAUGUUCUUUUUGUCCAAGAUGUCAAGAAAGUAAGGGAGGAUGUGAACAUGAAAGUUGAAUAAUUGAAGCAAGAGCUUGCCAAAGAGCUUAAACAGAUUACUUCGCAAAAUUUGAUAGUGCAACAGCAGGUUGAUAUUGUCGCAGAUGAACUUACACAUAUUAUUAAAGACUUUCAAUCAACUGCACCAACUAUCGAAGCAAAGAGAAAAAAUGUCAAGGAGCAGUUCGCUAAGCUCAUUCAGUUGUUAGCUGAACUAAAAGUCAUUGUAUCCAAGCCUACUUCGCAAACAGUUUUAACUCUUGAAUUUCUUACGUUGAAAGUCACUUCGUUAGAGCAGGAAAUUCUAAAGGCUUUGGCUCCCAUCGCAUAUUUUACUUUGCUUUUGCCAAAGAAUGCCCCACCUGUUGUCACAAGGGUGCAAGGGGGAUAAGUAAAAGGAAGUAAAGGGGAGGACGCGAAAGUUGUUGGGAAAGUGUGUUCAACUCAACUGAAAACAACAUUACCUGUGAAUACCAGCUCUAUUCCUUCAACAUUUGUAACAUCAAAACCAAUUACGAAAGUAAUUCCUAAGGGAAUUAAAAUUGGUUCAACAAAUACAGGAAGUUCAAGUGCGAAGCCUGAUACUUCAAGUACUGGGAAAAGAAAAGGUAUUGUUCAAGAAAAUUCGAAGGAGGAGAAGAAAGUUGAAAUUAAUGUUGAGAUUGAGAAACAGAGGCAUAUUCAAAGCAUUUUAAGGCUAAAGGAAAAUGACCCUCUGACAAUGAACAAAGGAGAUCAUGCGGAGUUAUAUUCGUUCGAAUCAAUUGAAUCCAGAGUGUUGGGGAAUCACAUGAAUGCCUUUGAGAAAAAGCCAAGGAAAAGCUAUGCCACUACAAACUUACACUUGUGUCAACUUGACUUCCCAAUUAACGAAAUGAUGUUUAUCACAGCACAAUACAAGGUCAGUGAAAGAUUCAAUGAUCUUGAUGAGUACACAUACUUGAAAAUUAGAUUUCAUGUUGUGUUUGGGAAAGAUCAAGAUGAAGUUUGGUCUUUGGUAAAGAUAAAAAGAGUAACGGCUAUCAAGCAAGAUGUUAUGUUUGAGAAUCUACUUCAGAACUUUCGAUACUUUGUUGUUCGAGCAGACAACAAACCAUUUGAUUUCUAAAUUGAUGAUUUUCCUUUGAUGAAUCUUAAUGAUCUCAUUCAAGUGGCUCUGAUUCUGAAAGAUAUGGAAGAAAAUCAAUUGAAGGAGGCUGAUUUAGACAUAUUCAGAUUUAGUCUAGGGCAUCUCAAGAUAUUUAUAGAUAAUUACUAUGAUUGCUUGGCCUUAACUGAUGAAGAACUCGCUUCAGGUGUUGGAAGAAAGGUUAUUGUUGUUAUGGAUCCUACGAAGCCACAACAGGAGUUGAUGAAAUAUGCGGAUGGUAAAAUUUGUCUCAAAUCAUUUGGCAGGGUGUUCGCAGGGAAAGAUACAAGGGGAAAGACAAAGACAUUUUUAUUUCAAGUUGUUGAUAUUGAAAGAUAUACAACUUCACAAUAUACGAACUUUAUUGUUCGUAUGAAUAACUACACCAGGAACAAUGAUGGAGACAAGAAGGAGCUGAAGAAGAUAAUUACUUGGUAUUCUAAAAUACGAAGGACAAUGCAUUCUGUUGCUCAAGUUCUCACCAAUUGUGUAACUUCGACUGUUUACAAAGGGGGAGAACGUUGAGUCAUUUUGUUGUAAAACUCGAAGCCUUGUCUUGUCUAUUUCACAUGAUUAUUUACUAAGUCACUUUAUGUCUAAGCCUAAUGUCUAGACUUAGUAUUUUUUAUACACUCAUGUUUCCUAUAAAUUGGGACUGAGGAUAGAAGUAGAGGCACGAGUCUUUCUGCUUAUUCUUGUAACCAGUAUUGUAUUAGAAUUCUCUGUUCAAUACAAAAUUUGUUGAUUAAUAUUUACAUUUGGUGUUCAUAUCUUUCAUUACUGAUUCAUUCAAAUCAUGAUUUCUUUCUAAAUCUCAAUAACAAUUCUCAUCACCUCGUAACAAUUGCCUUUUUGAGGAAAUCAUUCUGGAGACAACUAGACCUGAAUCAGAAAAAUCAACCUUUGUUUGGGCACCCUUAGACAAUGACGUUGAUGUAGAAACCAUAAGUGAUAAUUCAUCCGAUUUGUGUGUUUUAGACUCUGAAGUGAUUUCUAAAACCACCUUAGUGCCAAUCAAACCUAAGUUUCACAAUCCAUCCAUCGGCCAAACUUCCAAGUUAAUAUUUGACUCCAGGAAGAAAACUUCAUUGAAUAGAAAAAAUGUCGUUGAUCCUAAGAUAGAAGCCAAAAAUGCACUCAAAAAGGAAGUUAGAUAUAGAAAGAAUUCAAAAUUCAAUGAGAAUUCUAAAAAGAAAGUUUCACCAUCUGAAAGCCCGACCACUAGGAACCAUAAAACGUCUGUGCCUGUUAAAAUCCUUAAAAGGAUACCCACUCUUCGUAAUCUUGUUGUUCAAAACAAAGUUGUCAGUCCCACUCCGAAAAAGACGGUUGAUACUUGUCCCACAAGAAAUAACUCUCCUUUUACUGUUUCCUCUGUUUUCAUUUCUAAAUCUAAUUGUACGAUUUUUAAACCUCAACAGCUCUCAAAACCAUGCGUAGCAUUCAAAAUAUUAAACAAACAACACAUGGUUGAAAACACUAUUACUCAAACUUUUUUAAUGAAUUCAAAACAAAAAUUAGAGUGGAAAGCUAAGAGUGUUGAAAAAGAUUUUGUAAUUUCAAACAACAUUGUGAUUCCUAUACCAUCAAAAACAGUUGGUCCGGGAAAAGUUGUUUCAAAACAAACCAUUGUUCAAUAUGACUUCUGGAACAAUGAAAAGACUUUAGCAUUUUUCUUCAUUCCUAAUGGAUCUCAAAACAAGCCUUCCAAGACACAUGUUUCUCAAAAGUCGCUGCUAAAGUCCAAAGCCUGUGCCUAAGUCCCAAAACCUAACUCGGAGCCUAAGAACUCCAAACUUCACUAAUCAUUAAAGGAACUCUGUGAUUUGGAACAAGAUACAAUAUGGUAUACUGAUUGUGCUGUUUUUCUUUCACAUGACGGGGCAGAAAGACUUUCUGCGUGAUCUCAAACUUUCACUAAAUGUUGGCUAUGUGGCAUAUGGAAACAACUCUAACUCUCAAAUUCGAGGUUAUGGAAUCCUCACCAAUGGAAACUUCUCUGUAUCAAACGUGGCAUAUGUAGCUGACCUGAAGCACAAUUUAAGCAGUGUAGCUCUACUUACUGAUGCAAAUCGGCGAGUUGAAUUCUGCAAGAAACACAGCUAUGUGAUGUCCGAAGACCGGAAAUAAUGUCUGAUCAAGUCAAAUCACAAUAAGAACAUGUAUUCUCUUGAUAUCAACGUGAUCAUUGGCAAGCCCCAACUCUAUCUACUCUCAAAGGAAGUUCCUGAUGUCAGUUGGUUAUGGCAUCGAAGGCUUGCUCAUCUUAACUUUCGAUAUAUCAACGAUCUUGUUUCUGGUAUUUACCUCUGUCACACCCCAAAUCCAAGAACGGCGGAAACGUUCUGGGGCGGAGGACGUCAUGUAAAUUAUCACAACACAGUAUAACAGUAAAUAAGCAAACAACAUCAUCCAUUGCAUUAAAUAUAUAAUUUUAAUACAAGUGUGUUAUAUACAGUUAUAGACACCAAAAAUGUAAAUCAAAAUAAUAAUAUGAGUCUUGGAUGCGCUCCAUCUUCUCAAAAGCUGGCCUCGGUACCUGUCUACUGACGACCUGAGAAUACAAGUUAUUUUGAAAGAGUUUAUCAGUAUUAAGCUGGUGAGUUCAUAAGUAAUUUAGUGUCAGUGUUCGUUAUCAAAACGUUUGAACAUGGUUUUAAGUAUGAGUUUGUAAAAGGUAUGUAAAUGUUUGUAAGUGUUUGUAAAAGUUUGAAUCUCCUAGAAAAACCUAUAUUUUCUACUAAAGUAGCCUUCUACCAAGGCUUAACUGUUUCGUGUGUUCGUUUGUUGUAAAAGUGUGUAAUUUCCCAAGUGUUACUAUCAUUAACAAAAUAUAGUUUGUAAAUUAAUGUUUAAGUGAAAUAAUCACUAAAUAUAUGUAAAGGGUAAAUUACUGUAGUACUGUAGUGUUGUAUUAUAGGAACUACUGCUGUACUAACUACCUUAAACCGGAUUUAUAUUAAGGUAUCAUGUGAUUAAUUGUACCAUACUAUCGACUGGAAACAACGACAAAGGUAUGGUCGUAAAAAGAAAUGACGUUUGGCACCCACAGACCUGCAGGUCCGGCUGUAGCUAGCAGCAAGGUGUAGGAUAGUCAAUCCAGUAUAGAUCUAUACGCAAACUCACGCUCUCUUUCCAAGAGACUCUGGCCAUAACUCGGGCCAUGACAUUUAAGGCAUGCUCCGAUACAGUGGAUCACAAUUCUAUCGAUGUAUAUAUGUAUAAGUAAUGUAUUGUUACUCGUUCUAGUAUCGUUGUAUAUGUUCUCUUUCUAGUAUACUUGUAUAUGUUCUCUUUCUAGUAUAGUUGUAUAUAUUCUCUUUCUAGUAUAGUUGUAUAUGUUCUUCUCCUAGUAUAGUUGCGUAUGUACUCAUAGUAAUGUAAUGUAUAUGUUCUCAUAGUAAUAAGUAUUGACUCAUGAAUGAACUGACUCAUUGAUCUAGCAGUAGUAUAAGUAUGAUCUUGUGCUACCCGAUCGUAGCUUACUAAUGAUGUAACUAGUACGCAUGAAUAUGGAAGCACUUUUAUGUCUAUAUAUGUACACAUGAUAUAUAAUCAAUAUUGAAACGACCUUCGGAAGACUACCCGAUAUCCCACCAGACCACAUCCAAAUCGAGGAAAAGGAAACAGGGCGGACGACCUUCCUAAGCCUUUUAAACAUUGCAUAUAUAACUAUACAUAUACGGGCAUGCAAUUUCUUAUAAGUAUAACAAAGUUUAAGUAAAAGUAUUUGAUAAGUAAAAGAGUUUGUAAAGCAGUUUGAAGUAAAACAGUUUGAUAAACAAUUUGAACGGAAAUAAAAUCAUUGGUUUUGUAAUUAUUAAUCACAUGUGAUUGAUGUAAUAACUAUAAUUAUUCAANCCCCCCCCCCAUAAAAGCAUUUCAAACAUUUAAAAGUAUUUCAAAGGUUAAUUAAAGGGGACUUGUACACAUGCACGAGCCUAGUUAUCAUAUAAUGAACAUAUAUAUAACUAAUUAGCCAAAUAAUAACUAAUAAAUUAAGUUGGGACACUAUAGAACAUGAAAGCACUUUGUAUAAGUGUUAUAAGUCCUAAGGGUUGCAUCUAAGUUGUUGUGGGACAAGGCUAAAGGGGUUUGGGGUUCCAAAAGACCUUAUCUAUGUUUUUACUUUUCAUUAAACUCCACACAAGGAGUUUACGGUCGUAAACCCUUGUGUUUAGGGCCGUGAACUCCUAGACUUAGUGUCAUUUUGUGUUUUGAAGUCCUAAAUGAUUUCUAGAAGCAAUUUGACUUGGUGGUUUAAUCCUUGGAAGGGUUUAGGGCAUCAAAACACUCUUUUUAGGAGUUUUUGGCCCAAAGGCCAUUUCCUUUUGAUUUUGCUACCAUAAACUCAUAUGGAAGUGGAUAUUUUUGUGCUUUCAAGUCCCAAACUCAUGUAGGAUAGGUUGCAUACAUUUAUCUAAGGCUAAUGAAGGCCUUAGGCACACAGUGGUGCACUUCUUUCAUGUUUACGGCCCUAGAGCCUUUUCCCUUAGAGAUUACGACUGUAAUCUCUCUUUGGGAGGGGUUUAUGAUGUUUUAAGCUCCCUCAAAUAACUAGGAGUAAAUCUAGGUAAUUGUCCAAAGCUUUAGGAGUGUUAAAAGCACUCUUUGGUCCUUGUUUUUGGAGUUCACGGUCCAAGAACUUCUAGGGCCGUGAACACCUAAAUCUUGGUCUUCUUUGAUGGUUUCUAGUCUUAAAUAAACCUAUAUACAAGCCAAAGGUAGUUGCAUAACACGGGGAAAGGACUAGACAUCAUUUAAGCCUUAUAUAGGAGUUUACUCUCAAAGAACGUUCUUGGGCGGUAAACUCCCGAAUCUAGUUGUUUUGCUAUUAAAUCUAUGUUAUUAAGUACAUUAUAAGCAUUAUGAAACAACUAGAGAAGUGUUCUCAUGAUUUGGGAUGAAAACCCAAAGAUCCGAGAGAGAGAAAAUGGCUUUUCUCUAGUUCGAAAUGUAACUAAUGAAAUAAUUUGGUUAAGAAUCAUAUAUAUAGUCCUGGGAUUUUUUGCAGAAAAUAUUUUUAUUCAAGAAAUGAACUCUAAUAUCAUAAGGUUUUGAAAUACACGAGUUUUACAAACCCAUGUGCAUCCAAUCUCCUGAUAUCUCCUUAAAUGUAAACCCUGAAAUACUCAAACCUAUUCGGAAAAGUUUGAAAUUCACUGUAACUGGUCUAGCUUCUAUUGACUUGAUAAUGUUCGUACAGAAUGGAAAUUUCGGGUUGUCACAACCUCUGAUAUUUAGCCUGAUUCUAUGCAAUCUCCAACUCUAUAUCAUGUACAAGUUCACUAUCAACAAGGCUCUGAUACCAAUCUGUCACACCCCCAAACAAAGGAUAGCAGAAACGUCCGAGGGUGGAGGACUUCAUGUAUAGUAUCAUAAAAACGAAUAUAAUAGUGAUCAAAGUAAAUACAACCAUCAAAAAUAGAAUCGAGAAAGUUACAUGGUUUCAUGAGUUACAUGUUUCAUAAUCGAUUACAAUUUAAUAAUAAAAUGGUUCUUCUGACAUCGUAGCGUUCCAUCCUCAAAAACUGCUAGUUACUUGCUUUUAUUGAUUUCCUUAGAAAAAAAUUAAUAUUGAAAGAGUGUCAACGAUUAAGUUGGCAAGUGCAUAAACUUUUGUAUGUAGAGUUGAAAUGCUUUCUUUGUAAAUGUAGUGUAUGUUCAAGAAAAAUCCAAUUUUUUCCUUAUAAAAUGAUUUAUAGUCUUAAGACUCAAAUAGCGAAAUGUACAAGUCUUUUCUGUACUUAUGAUAGUAAGUGCAGUUUUAAAUAAAUAAGACCCUUAUGCAUGUAAGAAUCCCCGUAAACUAUACGUGUCGUUGUUUCCCUAUGUGAGUUAUUAUAAUGGUGCAAUUGACAUAGUAAGUCAGUUACGUACUUCGGGCGUCAGAAUGUUUUGACAUUUGUCACCCUAGACCUGCCGGUCUAACUUUUGCAUGCAGCUUAGGUGCGGGAUUAUCAGUCUUAAUAUAGCUCUAUACAUAAGUCUCAUGCUCUCCUUACAAAAGACUAUGGCUAUGAUACAGGACUUUAACCAUUACACUAAAGAGUACAAUGAAGUAAUGUCUCACAAUUUGAUUCAAUGAGUUUACGUGUAGUGAGAAUGAAAACCCUUUUUGUAAUAAUAAUGAAACCCUUAUGUUCGUAGUGUUUAUGUACCGUAAACUAUACCUAUUAUAGUUUAUCAUGUGAUUUUGUAAUGAUGAAAGACCCAUGUGAAUGAAUAGUUCUUUUUCAUGGAAGUAAAAUAACAUGAAGUAGAAUCAAUAUGUAGCUAUUUAUUGUUAUACACUUUGCUCCACAUGUAACAAAGUGUUAGUGAACUUGUAAACUAUUUUACUUGUUUUAACUUUUCUGUCACUGUUUUUAGACAAAUCAUACAAAAAUUACCGUAAGUUAAAAACUGAAUCCGUAAACUCUAGGUGUUCAAAAUAUAUGUCUAGUUUGUUCGUAAUUUUUAUUAUGAUUUUUAAUGUUACCCAACCAGUGUGAAAAUGUCCAUCUUCACAAAUUGGUCCAAAAUCAUUCCUGAAAUGAUAGGCAGUUUUGUAAAAUUCACCAUAAAUUGUAGAAAUAUCGUAUGAACAUGUUCAAGUUGUCAUUAGAAAGGUACAAACCUGAGCUAUUCGUAUAUUGAACAGUUUUGAAAUAUCUUAGGUUUAAGAUGGUCAAAACAGCUCGUGAAUAGGCCAUAACUUUUCUAUUGAAAGGUGUUGUUUGAGAUAGAAUUUGUUUUAGUGUUGUAACUUGUAUUCUCCUUCUUAAAACUUGAAGAAAACAUGAAAAUGUAGGGGUAUCAACUCAACUUGAGUGAUUUUUUGUGGUGGAGGGUUGAGGAAUGGGAGUUUCAAGUCAAGAACACUUGAAGGGUGCUUGAAGAUUUGAAGAUCCUAAGAACAAAUAUGUUGAUAUUUGUGUAAAUGGUCCAUGAUUUGCAUGAAGAAGUGUAGAAUUUUUAGGAUUUCAAUGAAGAUGCUUACCAAGACUGGAGGAAAACUCAAGAAUACUUCUUGUCAAAAAGAUCAUGACUGAGAAAGAGAGAGGGAAGUUUGCUUUUGGUGAAAGAAAAUGAGAUCUUGAAUGUGAAGAAUAAAGAUUUCUUGGUUAGAUUUGAUUAGAGAAAAUCUGAUGGAAUGUUGGGAUGAUUUGAAAAAGGACAAUGGUUUGUUUAGGUAGAGUGUGAAUAGUGACAUAAAGUGGGUGUGGGGAUGGCUUGGUAUCAUAAUUUUAGUGAAAAGUCAACAAGUACCGUUAGAUAUUAUCUUGAACAAAAUUAUGAUUUAUAAAUAAUAAAUCCUCAAAAUAGGAAUAAGAUAUGAGUCUAGGAUGUCUAAUAUGUCAAAAGUAUGAAUUGGGUGAAAAUCCCAUGUCAAAAUCAUAGAAAAACGUGCUUAAAAUACAAAACUAGUAAAAAACAGGGACGUGGAUGCGAACCUGUGAAGGGUAGGCUCGCAACCGAGAUGGUUCGUGGUCUAAGAGGGUUCUCCUGCGAAUGUGAGGAUCGGUGUGAGCCUUGUUGAGCACAUGUGAACCUGGCCGAGGAUGCGAAGGUAAGGCUCGCUGCAAGGGAGGAGUCUGGUGCAAACAUUGUCGAGUAGAAGUGAAUGAGCCUAAGAAGAUGCGAAUGUGCCCAGUCUGGAGGCGAACUUGCCCGGUUUCCAGUGAGAGGAAGGUUCGUGCGAGAUUUCCAGCUAGGCUGUGAACAUCCACUAAAAAGUGAACGUGCCUAGUGCCUGCGAAGGUCUGCGAGCAUUCGCAGGUGAACAGUAACCUGCGAACCUCCAAGCCCCUUUUUGACAUCCUUCUUCCAUUUUAAGCUUUUUUCGACCAAGGUAAGGUUCGGGAUGACAUGGUUGUUCAUAGAAAAGUUGGAAAUUGAGAUUUUUAUUACCAAGAGGUUUGAGAGAGAUUGGUAGAGAUUUUUGGGAGGGAUUUGGGAGAGACUUUGUUUGUAGCCUUUGUUAGUGUUCGACCCCGUAAUGCAAGGUUUGUAAACCCCACUAUGCCUUGUUUUGAAUGCUUUACGCCCCCGAAGGGUACAAAAUAGUUCUUUAUAGGUUCGUUACAUCACUCACACUUGUUGAGUUUAUCGGUUUGACUCGUUGACUUUGUUUGACUUUGACUUCACCAGAAAUUGACGGUUGUCACAUCAUCCCCCCGUUAAAGGGAAUUGCGUCCUAAAAUUAGCAUUUCGAAUGGGACUUCAAGGAUUGAAGUAAAGAUGUGGGUAUCUUUGUUUCAUCUGAUCUUCGCGUUCCCAGGUGAACUCGUAUCGUCAUUUAGCAUUCCAUCGGACCAUCACAAUGGGUAUGCGUCUUUAUUUCGUUCUUUUGAUCUCUUUAUCCAUGAUCUCUACCUGUUCUUCUACGAAGCGGAGACUCUAGUUGAUUUCAAUUUCGUCAAGAGGAAUGACAAGAUUCUCAUAAGACAAGCACUUCUUUAAAUUGGACACAUGAAAGGUAGGGUGUACCUUAGUGAGUUCUUGCGGUGAUCGAAGCUUGUCUACUACCGGGCCAAUCCUUGCGAGGAUCUCGAACGGCCCGAUGUACCUUGGUUUUAGUUUCCCAUGUUUUCCAAAACGCAUCAAUCCUUUCUAGGGUGAUACCUUUAACAACACCUGGUCUGCAACCUAGAAUUCUAAGGGCUUCUGUCAAUUAUCCGCAUAACUCUUAUGUCUGUCUCUAAAAGCCUUUAAUCGUUCACGGAUUUGAAUAAUCUUCUUGGUCGUUUCUCUUAUGAUCUACGGGCCAGUGAAUGUGUGGGACUUGCCCCUUAUCUAGUUGCGUGCCACCCACUUCAGCUCAGCACAGUUGUGAUCUGCACUUACGGCCAUAGAGGGCUUGGAAUGGGGCAACCUUGAUGCUAGUUUGAUAGUUGUUAUUGUAUGAGAAUUCGCUGUUUGAGUCUUAAGACUAUAAAUCUAUCACAUAAGCUCUUAGCAUGUAUUCUAUUGUUUGUAUAGUUCUCUCACUCUGCCCAUCAGUUUGUGGGUGGGAGGUUGUACUCAUGUCUCACGUAGUUUCCAAGGAUUUUUGAAGUGACUGCCAGAACCAUGAGGUAAAUCGACUAUCCCUGUCAGAGAUAAUGGAUAUUGGUAUACCAUGCAGUCGUAUGAUCUCCUUAAUGUAUGUUAUGGUCAUUUUUUCCAUCUUGUCGGUUUCCUUUAUUUGUAGGAAUUGUGCGGAUUUGGUUGACCUAUCCACGAUCACCUAAAUGGUAUCGAGACCACUGGUUGUCUUGGGUAACUUGGUUAUGAAAUCCAUUGCGAUAUGUUGCCACUUCCACUUGGGUAUCUCUGGUUGUUGUAACAAACCCGAGGACUUUUGGUAUUCUACUUUGACCUUGGCACAAUUCAGGAACUUACUCACAAAGGUAGUAAUUUCGGCUUUCAUAUUCGGUCACAAAUAAAGUUUCUUAACAUCUAGAUACAUCUUGUCUGAACCAUGAUGUACGGAGUAUUGAGUUUUGUGUGCUUCGUUCAUGACGACGUCCCUGAAUCCACCAUACUUCGGUGUCCAGAUCCGGUUCAUGAGAUAACAAAUUUCUUCUUCCUUGACUUCCAGGUUCUUAUCCAUUCCUCUUAAAGUAUCUCCUGUCACGUUCUCUCAUUUCAAAGCUUCCAGUUGAGCCUCUUUGAUUUGUGUGGACAGGUGUGAAUGGAUUGUCAUGGUUAAUGAAUUUACUCGAUGGCCCGAGUAUUCCUUUCGGUUGUUGGUGUCAACUACCACAUUGGCUUUUCCAGGGUGAUAACAAAUCUCGCAUUCAUAAUCGUUCAAUAGUUCUACCCAUCGCCUCUGACUUAUGUUGAGAUCUUUUUAAUUGAGGAUGUGCUAAAGGCUUUUAUGAUUGGUGAAGAUAGUACAUUUUAUUCCAUAGAUGUAGUGCCUCUAGAUCUUUAGAGAGAAUACUACUGCUCCGAGUUCGAGGCCGUGUGUGGCGUAGUUGAACUCAUGCAUUUUUAGUUGUCUCAAGGAGUAGGCAAUGACCCUUCCUCGUCGCAUUAACAGACAUCCAAGACCCUGGUUCGACAUGUCGCAGCAGACCACAAAGUCUUCAUUUCUUUCCAGUAGGAAUAAAAUAAGAGCAUUACAUAGGACAUGCUUUAGCGUUUGGAACACGAUUUCUUUCUUCUCUCCCCAAAUGAAGUUUACACCCUUUUGAGUCAGGGUGGUAAGUGGUUUGGCGAUCUUGGAGAAGUUUUGCAUGAACCUUCGAUAGUAUCCAACGAGGCUUUAGAAUUGACGGAUUUCUGUAGGCAUCCUUGGUACUGACCAAUUCUCGAUCAUUAUGAUUUUGGAGGGAUCCACGUGUAUCCCUUCCUCGCUAACCACAUGCCCGAGGAAGUCCACUUCUCGGAUCCAAAAUUCACACUUUGACAAUUUUGCAUAUAAUUUCUCCACCCUUAAUGUCUCUAAUACUUAUUGUAGGUGUUUGUGGUGCUCUUCCUUACUCCUUGAAUAUACCAGAAUGUUGUCUAUGAAGACAAUCACAAACUAUUCUAAGUAAGUUCGACACACCCGGUUCAUUACGUCCAUGAACAUCGUGGGUGCGUUUGUUCAUCCGAAGGGCAUCACUACAAACUCAUAGUGACCGUAUCGGCUUCAGAAAACCGUUUUAAGAACAUCCUCCUCUUGGACCCGUAGUUGAUGGUAUCCUGACCUCAGAUCGAUUUUGAGAAGUAAGUUGCUCCUUGGAAUUGGUCGAAUAGGUCUUCGAUUUUGGGUAGAGGGUAUCGAUUUUUGAUGGUAAGCUUAUUCAAUUUGCGGUAGUCGAUACACAUGUAGAACGAUCCAUCCUUCUUUUUCACGAACAAGACUGAUGCUCCCUAAGGCGAGAAGCUCGGUCUGAUGAACCCUUUACUUAGCAGUUCAUUCAAUUGGCUACAUAAUUCUUGCAUCUCGGCUAGCGCUAGGCGGUUUUGGGUAGAGGGUAUCGAUUUUUGAUGGUAAGCUUAUUCAAUUUGCGGUAGUCGAUACACAUGUAGAACGAUCCAUCCUUCUUUUUCACGAACAAGACUGAUGCUCCCUAAGGCGAGAAGCUCGGUCUGAUGAACCCUUUACUUAGCAGUUCAUUCAAUUGGCUACAUAAUUCUUGCAUCUCGGCUAGCGCUGGGCGAUAUGGUGCUUUGGCUAUGAGGGUAGCCCCCGGAAUUAGGUCGAUUCGGAAUUCGACUUGUCGUAUGGGUGGAACUCUGGGAAGGUCUUCUGGAAAUACGUCAGGGAAAUUAUUGGCCUCCAGAAUACCCUUGAUGUCUUUCACCCCUUUCUUCUUAUCCACCACAUGGGCUAAGAAAGUGUGGUAUUCCUUGCGGAGAUACUUUUGGGCUUUGAUGCAAGAGAUGAUUUGUAGGUUUGUACUAGGUUUGUCACCAAAAAUGAUGAGAGUUUUGCCACUUGGCAGAUUAAGGAAAACGACCCUUUCGUAACACAAAAUGUCGAAACGAUUAGAACUUAACCAAUCCAUGCCAAUGAUGAUGUCGAAGCUUUUUAUUGAAACAGGCAUUAGAUCGAUUUUGAAUGAAUGGUUGUCUAGAGUGAGGGUACACCGUGUGUAUAUAUCGUUAGUGUUCUCUGCCUUUCCAUUUACCAUUUCUAUGAUGUAUGUGUCCUUUAGUGAUUGAGGAUUUUGUUUUAGUAAUUGCUCGAAUUGGUGGCAAACAAAACUCCUCUCCGCUUCACUAUCGAAUAAUAUGCAUGCAUAUGAGUUAUUGAGGAGAAACAUGAAGGGUUUUAAGCAUUAUAACACUCCUAAGGUGUACAUGCAACCCUAGAAACCUUGGAUCUAUGUUUUACUAUAAUACAUGCAAAAUUGAUUUUCCAAGGUUCGUAACCUAUCUAGCAUACAAUGGGGAACUUUUAAACAUAAAUGCUAGAAGAAGAACAUACCUUUAUGUAGUUAGGAUUCCUUGAGAACCUUGUGAGCCUAGCACCUCAAGUGUGAUGCCUCAAAUGUGUCACACAACACUACAACUCUUGGAAUAGUCCUGAGAGAAGUUCACUUAACCUCAAAAUCGGAUUGCCCUCUUGUUCUUCACUUAGUGGCCAGUUUUUCUUGCCUUGGUGCUUCUUAUAUAGUUCUGGCACAAGUAGGGUUACACCAUGUAAACCCUAAUUGUCAUGGCUUUUCAAACUCCAUGAUCAAUGGGUUUGUAACCUCCAUGGAUUAUCCAUCGAGCACAUUUUGGAUUUUAGCCCAAUCCAUUCAAACCAUGGAUCAUUAGCCCACUCUAUAAGAUUAGAUUAGUUACAUAAUCAACCCCAUAUAUUUAAUUAGUCUCCUUUUGAUCACUUAAUUAAUUCUUUGAUCAAUACUAAUUAAAUAAUAUUAUUAAUAUAAUAGAACUUAUAAUAUAUUAAUAAUCCUUAAGUGUCCUUUCUUUCAUUUAGUUUAUCCAAGUGUUGCAAUGCCAUGCAACCCAAAUGGACCACGCCAACCGGGUCAAGUACAUCCUAGAAACAGUUAUGAACUUAGGCACCUAAUCCAAUAGUCUCCCAUUUGGAACCGAUCUGCAGUCGUAGCUCUUUCAAGGUCUCGCGGAACUGAUAUGAUGAUGAUACGCCAUUUAAGAUAAGUGAUCAUAUAAUCCUCUAUUCUAGAUAUCAGUUGGACAAAUACAUGGAACAAUGUCUUACUUAUUGUCCAACAGUUUGUUUCCCGAUUUCCGAUUUGUUUGACAUGGAACUUAAUUUAACACAUCAACUUAGUUCUGACCGGGCCCGAUACAUGGGUCAACAAAAAAUCAUCGAGGGGCCCAGAUAUCGCUUCUAAUCCAAGAAGGAACAGAUAAACUUCGAAUCAUAUGUUUGUUCUACUACUUAUUGAAUCAUAGACAAAGGCAUGUUUUAUAACAUCGAGUUACCAAUGCGCUUUCAUACAAUCAAUGUAUAACCAACUCAUAGGCAACAAAUCAUAUCUCUAGGUUUGAAGACUUAUAUGAUAUUACCAUCUCACGAUCACUCAAGAUGAAUUCCAUGAAGUGAUACCAAUGAGCGUGGGUUGAAAUCAAUACUCAGAACUUAUGAGCACUCAUGAAUGUUGCAGCAACUCAUGAUAUGUCCCAUACCUUGGACAUCUACAAUCCAGCUUCUUGACAGUCUUGAUUCAUAUCUACUUCCAACAUAUGACCGACUAUGAAUGGUUUGAAUAACUUAGUCAUUCGGGAAGAAUGACCUAGUUAUUCUGGAAGUCAAAGCAUGCAAAGUGAAACACAAGAAUAAUCGAAUCAAAUAUGGUCUCAAAACUUAUGAAAAUAAAUAGAACAUUUGUUAUUUAUCACCAUAUUGAUUACACAUUAUUUAUUGCAUACUGUUUCAAACUAUCAAGUUUAUACUUGAGUUAAAACAAUAGUUGUCCCAUGCUUCAAGCAUGUACACUAUGGUUUUCUCUAAACACUAGUCAUGCCAUACACCAAGCAUGCACACUAUGUUUUUCCAUACAUUAGUUAUUCCAUACACCAAGUAUGCACACUAAGUUUGUUUAUGAUCUUUACUCUGUGAAAUAGAUCGAUUAAACAUAAUACCAAUGAUACUUAUUUCACAAUCCAAAAUCCUUACCGCAAAUGCAAGAAUUCCAAAUUCCUGCCAUUUACCUAAAUAUGUUAGCUUCUAAACUUAUAUGCAUUGGUCCUCUUGUAAUGAUUAUGCACAAAGUCACAAAGACUUGUCAAAAAACAUUACAGAGUAUUCCAAUGGAGAUCAACUCCAUGGAAACGAAGUCUCGUAUUCAAAUUUCAUUGCUUUGAAUAUUCUUCUUGCAUUAAGUUUCCUAAUCUUACACAAAUUUAAUGAAUAAGUUCCGCCUAUGGGAACAUUUCCAUAUUCCCCUUUUUACUAUUACUCCUGAACAAGAGUUGACUCUUUUUGGAAUAUGUCAAUAUGGUCCUUCCAAAAUUAACACUAUACUUUCAUCUGUCCUUGAGCAACCAAUCUUUGGUAAACCUUACAUUGUCCUCGACAAUUGUGUGACAACCGUCAAAAUUCGAGUCGGUUCUAGAUUUAAAUAAACUUAGUUGCACAUAUAGGCACGACACAUAAUAGACUUAGUAACUAGAAGCUAAGUUAUAACCUACUAGAAAAUUGGAAACAAGUAGGAUCAAAUGAUGAUGUACUUAGAUUUCACAUUGAUAUGUGAAUUCUACUACUACUUAACUGUAGUGACUGUCCAUAUUUGGGUCACUCUUUUACUCGAACACCCUUUCAUGAAUCAUAUACACACAUAAUUCACUUGACCUAGAAGUAGAUUAGGUCAAAGUCUCAUAGAAACUUAAGUCAAAGUUGAAGACUAGGACUAGUAUACUUGAUUCCUCAAUUUCGCUUGAAUCUCGGAAUCACUACAUAGAAUGCCAAUAAAACAAUAAANUAAAUUACAACCAUUAUUUAUAACUAUAAAAGAGUUAUAAUAAGAUAAUCUAAAGUCUCAAAUAUUCUAUUUAUUUUGAUAUCUAAAUAUUUACAAACUCUCAAAAACCAUAAAUGCCCUAAAAACUCACAUUUAUAAACUUUAACAUUAUAAAUUCUAUAAAAAUAAUUAUGAAGCUUCUAAUAUUAUCUUAUAGUAAUUAAAAUUAUAAAAAUGCAUUUAAGGAAAUAAAAUUGAACUCAUUAACAUUUACCCUUAAUUUAUAAAUCAAAAAUCAACAUUUUUAUGCAUAAAAAAAACUUGGUUAAGUUGCAUCUUUAUAAAUAUUUGAUAUUUUUAUAAAAUAUUUAAAAUUUAUCAAGACAAAUGAAAGAGAGAGGGAUAUUAUACCUUCAAAAUUUGGAUUCCACUCUCUCUUCUCUCUCUCUCUCUCUCUCNUCUCCUCUCUCUCUCCAUUUCCCAACACACUCAAUUAAUUCCCCUCUACACUCCAUUUCUCCAUACUUUAAUUUCUCUCUCAUACACCCUCACUUCAUUUUCUCUCUAUUCUCUCUUCCUCUCUCCAUCAACCAUGAAAUUCUCCAGAAAAUAGGUCAUAGAACACACCUUGAACUCUAAAUCUUAAUCACCUUGAGGUGUUCUUAAUGGUAAACCUGAAAACCAUUCAUUUUCCUUCUCUUUUCCUUCAAGUUUUACUUGUUUUCAUGGAUUUUUUCCAUCUUAUACUCCAAUCUAUGGUAAAAUCAUGAACACUUGCUCAAACUCACAAUUUUAAUGAUUAUGGUAGUAGGAUUUCACCCAAAAACAACAUGCAUGUUGUAAAUGGUGAAAUCCAAGGACCAAAACCUAAGUCGAAAUCAACAUAAUGCACUUUUUCUACAAGUUUUGGGUGAAAAACACCACAUGCAUCCAAAGUUUUCUAUCAAAAAUGAUUUUUGAACAUUUCAAACUCAUAAAUGGUCUUGAAACAAACAUGCAUGUGAUGAUCUUCAAGCUUAGAUGCUAGAUCAUCAAAGUAUGUUGUUAAAGGCUUUCAAAUAUGUUCAUGAAGGAUUUAUUUCAAAAUAAAUAUCUAAAACUCCUUUUCUGACUAAAUCCGACUUUUUCCAGACUCCCAUCAACAAAAUGAGAUGUUCAAAAAAAUUUCAGAAGAUAAUCCAUUUUUCUUGAAUUAUUAUAAUUAUUGAAAUAAAAUAGGGCGUUAAAUCAAAUAAAAUACUUUCUGAGGUCUAUAAAUCCUAGGUAAAUUCAUGGAUUACCCAUAUGCUAAAUAAUGACUCGGAAUUAAAUUUCAUUGGUUUUUGUUAUUGUUUAAUGUGGUUUUGAAUUUUCUAUUUGUUUGGCUCCAAUAAAUCAUAAAACCACUUUAGAGAAUGUAAAAAUGAUAUAUAAGAAAUUUAUAAGUUGCUACCAGAGGUAUAUAACUCAGAAAAGUAUUUUCAAAAUUUUUCAUUAUGGAUUUCUAUUUUUCGCCUAUUUUUGUAUUUAUAAUUGUCUAAAAAUGGAAACAAAUAGUUCCGCACAUCCAAAAGUCAUGAAAGUAUACCCGAGCACCUUGUAGUACAUGAGGAUUCUACAUACAAAGUUUGAUGAUUUUUCUCUUCUAUAUACUAUUUUUCUUCUAUUUUCCAAAGAUUAAAUACACUUAAGCCCAAUUUUUAUUAGAAUAAAUACACAAAAUCAUAAAACUGGGUUAAACAGUUUAUAACUUCAUUUUUAUAUUAAUCCCAGCUCAAUAAUUUUUAAUAACAGUGUUAAAAAAAUUUUGGACAAUUUUGGAAACUGUUUUCUAUUUAUUUCAAUUUUUAUUAGAAUAAAUGCACAAAAAUCAUAAAAUUGGGUUAAACAAUUUAGAAAUUCAUUAUUAUAUUUUUACCAGCUUAAUAAUGUUUAUAAACAGUAAUAUAAAAAGUUAUUUUCAAUUUUGGAAAAUGUUUGUGUUUAUUUCAAUUUUUAUUGGAAUAAAUGCUCAAAAAUCAUAAAACUAGGUUAAAUAGUUUGGAAAUCCAUUUUUAUAUUUUUACCAAUUUAAGUGUGUCUAAUGGCAGUAUUAUAAAAAGUUUGGGAAUUUGUAUCAUCUGGAUUCUAUUUUUCACGAAUUUAUAUUGCUACGAAGGCACAAAAAUUUGGAAAAAUAGUUAAUCACAUCAAUAAUUCAAGGGAAAAUUUCUGCAAGACGUUUACUAUAUUUGGAACAAAAAUCUAAAAUUUGUAGAAUUUUGGAAACUGUUUGAUAAUAUUUUUGGAAUUUUAGGAGUUUAAAACACCUUUUAAUGUAUUGAAAUACCCUUAAUUAAUAUUACAAAAAUAUGGAAAAUGAUAUCCAAAAUUAUCUUAAUCACAUGAGUUAUAAAAUUUCACCAUUUCAUAAAAAUGUUUGUAACUUAUCAAUAUGAAAUUUUAACACAAUAUUGACAUAAUUCUAUUGUAGUAGCAAAUAUACUAGUGUUAGCUUUCUAUUAGAGACUCAUUAGUGUGUAACAUCGUAUAGGAAUCAAUAGUGCUACAAGUGGAUCAUAGUUGAAGGUACCAUUUGCAUCAUCUAAAUGCAUAUUGUGAGUAUUCACGACUCCCUUAUUUUUGGUUUUUAAAUGUUUUGGGGUGGAAAAGCAUGUCCUAAAGUAUUAUAUUCGUUUUAUUUAUUUGACUCGUAUAAAUUUGGUUACUAUAUUUUGCAUAUUGUGAGUAUUCACCGGUCCCCAAUUUUCGGUUUUUAAAUGUUUUGGGGUGUAAAAGCAUGUCCUAAAGUAUUAUAUUCGUUGUAUUUAUUUGACUCGUAUAAACUUGGUUGCUAUAUUUUGCAUAUUGUCAGUAUUCACCACUCCCUUAUUUUCGGUUGUUAAAUAUUUUGGGGUGGAAAAUCAUGUCCUAAAGUAAUAUAUUCAUUGUAUUUAUUUGACUUGUAUAAACUUGGUUGCUAUAUUUUGCAUAUUGUGAGUAUUCACCACUCCCUUAUUUUUAGUUUUUAAAUGUUUUGGGGUGGAAAAUCAUGUCGUAAAAUUUUUAUGUUCGUUGUAUUUAUAAUUGACUCAUAUAAACUUGGUUGCUAUGUUUUGCAUAUUGUGAGUAUUCAUGCACUCCCCUAUUUUCAGUUUUUAUAUUUUGGGUUGGAAAAGCAUGUCCCGGAAAACUAUUAUUUGUUCAUUGUAUUUAAAUUGAUUUGUAUAAAAAAUGAUUGCUAUUUUAUUACUAUAUCUCUCUAUUUGUGUCUAUGUAGCACGGAACAUGAGAACUUAUCGUCUUUAAGCCCUUCCCUUACACUUUUCUCUAACCAUUAACUCUUUGAGCCAAUGGUCAUUGUGGAUAGCGCUAUUAGGAAUUGACAACUCCUCACUCGCCCGAUUGUUGGAGUGCAUGAUACCAUAUAAUCUAUGGAACGAUAAGCAUAGAUCUUUAUAGGGCUUCAGUCAUAGGCUUGGUUGAGAACUCAUUGUUUGUUCAUACACAUACAAACUCGUUACUUAUUAUUGCAAUAAACUUUCUCUCUCAUUAUAACCACGAACUUUUUUAACUAAAUACUUAUUUACUUGUUUUAGCAACAAACUUGGUUGCUUCUUAUAUUAACAAACUUGUUUGCUCCUUGUAGCAAUGAAACUUGAUUACUCAUUUUAGUAAAAAAAAACUUUAUUUCCCAUGAGGAUAUGAACGUUGCAUCUCUUUUAUGCAACAUACUUUAUUUCUCAUGAUGACAACGAACAUUGUUUACACAAACUUAUUUACUUAUUUUAGCAAUAUAUUUUUAUCUAUGGAAACUUAUAUCAAAAUUUUGAUUUCGAUUCAUGAAACCAAUAUUAUUUUUAAACUUGUGAGUACUCACCAACUAUUUUUAUAGUUGACGCUCGUCUUACAUGGUUUUACAGGAAUCAUCGAGUAAGUGGCACUUAGGGACACUUCACUUUUAGGAGCAUUCGCAUGUGUUGUAUUUCAAUUUACAUUGUAAUUUCUUUUAAAAUUUGUUCAAACCCAUUGUAAAAUUGUAAUGAUUUUUAAUACUAUGGUUGGUGUUGUCUUUUAACUUUUGCUAUGAAAACCAUUAUACUAUCACGCCUCGUGUUUCCGCUUUAGCGGGGUGUGACAAAUUGCUUAAUCAAAUUAGUCAUAUCUAGUUGUAGUAUUUUUCCCUCUUAAUGCUCUGGGCAUUUGGAAAAAUUUAGAACAGAUGAAUAUUAUAUCACAUACAAUCAAUCCUAUAUCUGAAGCAUAUGGGACACGAUUCAUAAAGACAUGAUACUAGACCAGUCUUUUGCUAUAAUAUUUCUUUUUCUAUUUACCAAAUUCUCAUAAUUCAGAUUAUGAAAAGGGAUUCCGUAAUCAUAAUCGAAUUUUAGAACACAAAUGAUCGACCCAUAUAUAGAAUUUCCUUAUGUUGAGCCAAUCCAACAUAAAAUUCAUAUAUAUNAUAUAUCCUUGACUAAAGAUGAUUAAAACCUAAAUCUAAGCUUUUAGAAUUGAAAUGAAGUAUAAUUUCCUCUCACUUAAUUAUAGCAAAACAAGUUUUUCCCAAAUGAAACCUUUUGUUUUUUAUAAUUAACAAUGCUAACUUGCAACACUUAUUAUAAUUAUCAUGCUCCCACUUGCACAUUAUGGAUUUUAGACCAAUCCAUUCAAACCAUGGAUCAUUAGCCCAAUUUAUAAGAUUAGAUUAGUUACACAAUCAACCCCAUAUAUUUAAUUAGUCUCUUUUUGAUCACUUAAUUAAUUCCAAAUUAAUUCUUUGAUCAAUACUAAUUAAAUAAUAUUAUUAAUAUAAUAGAACUUAUAAUACAUUAAUAAUCCUUAAGUGUCCUUUCUCUCAUUUAGUUUAUCCAAGUGUUGCAAUGCCAUGCAACCCAAAUGGACCACGCCAAUCGGGUCAAGUACAUCCUAGAAAUAGUUAUGAACUUAGGCACCUAAUCCAAUAGUCUCCCACUUGGAACUGAUCUGCAGUCGUAGCUCUUUAAAGGUCUCGCGGAACUGAGAUGAUGAUGAUACAACAUUUAAGAUAAGUGAUCAUAUAAUCCUCUAUUCUAGAUAUCAGCUGGACAAAUACAUGGAACAAUGUCUUACUUAUUAUCCAACAGUUUGUUUCCCGAUUUCCGAUUUGUUUGACAUGGAAAUAAAUUUAACACAUCAACUUAGUUCUGACCAGGCCCAAUACAUGGGUCAACACAAAAUCAUCGAGGGGCCCAGAUAUCGCUUCUAAUCCAAGAAGGAACAGAUAAACUUCGAAUCAUAUGUUUGUUCUACUAUUUAUUGAAGACAAAUGCAUGUUUUAUAACAUUGAGUUACCAAUGCGCUUUCUUACAAUCAAUGUAUAACCAACUCAUAGGCAACAAAUCAUAUCUACAAUCCAUACCUUGGACAUCUACAAUCCAGCUUCUUGACAGUCUUGAUUCAUAUCUACUUCCAACAUAUGACCGACUAUGAAUGGUUUGAAUAACUUAGUCAUUCGGGAAGAAUGACCUAGUUAUUCUGGAAGUCAAAGCAUGCAAAGUGAAACACAAGAAUAAUCGAAUCAAAUAUGGUCUCAAGGCUUAUGAAAAUAAAUAGAACAUUUGUUAUUUAUCACCAUGUUGAUUACACAUUAUUUAUUUCAUACUGUUUCAAACUAUCAACUUUAUACUUGAGUUAAAAAAAUAGUUGUCCCAUGCUCCAAGCAUGUACACUAUUGUUUUCUCUAAACACUAGUCAUGCCAUACACCAAGCAUGCACACUAUGUUUUUCCAUACAUUAGUUAUGCCAUACACCAAGUACGCACACUAAGUUUGUUUAUGAUCUUUACUCUGUGAAAUAGAUCGAUUAAACAUAAUACCAAUGAUACUUAUUUCACAAUCCAAAAUCCUUACCGCAAAUGCAAGAAUUCCAAAUUCCUGCCAUUUACCUAAAUUUGUUAGAUUCUAAACUUAUAUGCAUUGGUCCGCUUGUAAUGAUUAUGCACAAAGUCACAAAGACUUGUCAAAAAACAUUACAGAGUAUUCCAAUGGAGAUCAACUCCAUGGAAACGAAGUCUCAUAUUCAAAUUUCAUUGCUUUGAACAAUCUUCUUGCAUUAAGUUUCCUAAUCUUACACAGAUUUAAUGAAUAACUUCCACCUAUGGGAACAUUUCCAUAUUCCCCUUUUGACUAUUACCCCUGAACAAGAGUUGACUCUUUUUAGAAUAUGUCAAUAUGGUCCUUCCAAAAUUAACACUAUACUUUCAUCUGUCCUUGAGCAACCAAUCUUUGGUAAACCUUACAUUGUCCUCGACAAUUGUGUGACAACCGUCAAAAUUCGAGUCGGUUCUAGAUUUAAAUAAACUUAGUUGCACAUAUAGGCACGACACAUAAUAGACUUAGUCACUAGAAGCUAAGUUAUAACCUACUAGAAAAUUGGAAAAAAGUAGGAUCAAAUGAUAAUGUACUUAGAUUUCACAUUGAUAUGUGAAUUCUACUACUACUUAACUGUAGUGACUGUCCAUAUUUGGGUCACUCUUUUACUCGAACACCCUUUCAUGAAUCAUAUACACACAUCAUGCACUUGACCUAGAAGUAGAAAUUAGGUCAAAGUCUCAUAGAAACUUAAGUCAAAGUUGAAGACUAGGACUAGUAUACUUGAUUCCUCAAUUUCGCUUGAAUCUCGGAAUCACUACAUAGAAUGCCAAUAAACUGAUAAAAAUAAAUUACAACCAUUAUUUAUAACUAUAAAAGAGUUAUAAUAAGAUAAUCUAAAGUCUCAAAUAUUCUAUUUAUUUUGAUAUCUAAAUAUUUACAAACUCUCAAAAACCAUAAAUGCCCUAAAAACUCACAUUUAUAAACUUUAACAUUAUAAAUUCUAUAAAAAUAAUUAUGAAGCUUCUAAUAUUAUCUUAUAGUAAUUAAAAUUAUAAAAAUGCAUUUAAGGAAAUAAAAUUGAACUCAUUAACAUUUACCCUUAAUUUAUAAAUCAAAAAUCAACAUUUUUAUGCAUAAAAAAUCUUGGUUAAGUUGCAUCUUUAUAAAUAUUUGAUAUUUUUAUAAAAUAUUUAAAAUUUAUAAAGACAAAUGAAAGAGAGAGGGAUAUUAUACCCUUAAAAUUUGGAAUCCUCUCUCUCUCCUCUCUCUCUCCAUUUCCCAACACACUCAAUUAAUUCCCCUCUACACUCCAUUUCUCCAUACUUUAAUUUCUCUCUCAUACACCCUCACUUCAUUUUCUCUCUAUUCUCUCUUCCUCUCUCCAUCAACCAUGAAAUUCUCCAGAAAAUAGGUCAUAGAACACACCUUGAACUCUAAAUCUUAAUCACCUUGAGGUGUUCUUAAUGGUAAACCUGAAAACCAUUCAUUUUCCUUCUCUUUUCCUUCAAGUUUUACUUGUUUUCAUGGAUUUUUUCCAUCUUCUACUCCAAUCUAUGGUAAAAUCAUGAACACUUGCUCAAACUCACAGUUUUAAUGAUUAUGGUAGUAGGAUUUCACCCAAAAACAACAUGCAUGUUGUAAAUGCUGAAAUCCAAGGACCAAAACCUAAGUCGAAAUCAACAUAAUGCACUUUUUCUACAAGUUUUGGGUGAAAAACACCACAUGCAUCCAAAGUUUUCUAUCAAAAACGAUUUUUGAACAUUUCAAACUCAUAAAUGGUCUUGAAACAAACAUGCAUGUGAUGAUCUUCAAGCUUAGAUGCUAGAUCAUCAAAGUAUGUUGUUAAAGGCUUUCAAAUAUGUUCAUGAAGGAUUUAUUUCAAAAUAAAUAUCUAAAACUCCUUUUCUGACUAAAUCCGACUUUUUCCAGACUCCCAUCAACAAAAUGAGAUGUUCAAAAAAAUUUCAGAAGAUAAUCCAUUUUUCUUGAAUUAUUAUAAUUAUUGAAAUAAAAUAGGGCGUUAAAUCAAAUAAAAUACUUUCUGAGGUCUAUAAAUCCUAGGUAAAUUCAUGGAUUACCCAUAUGCUAAAUAAUGACUCGGAAUUAAAUUCUAUUGGUUUUUGUUAUUGUUUAAUGUGGUUUUGAAUUUUCAAUUUGUUUGGCUCCAAUAAAUCAUAAAACCACUUUAGAGAAUGUGAAAAUGAUAUAUAAGAAAUUUAUAAGUUGCUACCAGAGGUAUAUAACUCAGAAAAGUAUUUUCAAAAUUUUUCAUUAUGGAUUUCUAUUUUUCCCAUACCUUGGACAUCUACAAUCCAGCUUCUUGACAGUCUUGAUUCAUAUCUACUUCCAACAUAUGACCGACUAUGAAUGGUUUGAAUAACUUAGUCAUUCGGGAAGAAUGACCUAGUUAUUCUGGAAGUCAAAGCAUGCAAAGUGAAACACAAGAAUAAUCGAAUCAAAUAUGGUCUCAAGGCUUAUGAAAAUAAAUAGAACAUUUGUUAUUUAUCACCAUGUUGAUUACACAUUAUUUAUUUCAUACUGUUUCAAACUAUCAACUUUAUACUUGAGUUAAAAAAAUAGUUGUCCCAUGCUCCAAGCAUGUACACUAUUGUUUUCUCUAAACACUAGUCAUGCCAUACACCAAGCAUGCACACUAUGUUUUUCCAUACAUUAGUUAUGCCAUACACCAAGUACGCACACUAAGUUUGUUUAUGAUCUUUACUCUGUGAAAUAGAUCGAUUAAACAUAAUACCAAUGAUACUUAUUUCACAAUCCAAAAUCCUUACCGCAAAUGCAAGAAUUCCAAAUUCCUGCCAUUUACCUAAAUUUGUUAGAUUCUAAACUUAUAUGCAUUGGUCCGCUUGUAAUGAUUAUGCACAAAGUCACAAAGACUUGUCAAAAAACAUUACAGAGUAUUCCAAUGGAGAUCAACUCCAUGGAAACGAAGUCUCAUAUUCAAAUUUCAUUGCUUUGAACAAUCUUCUUGCAUUAAGUUUCCUAAUCUUACACAGAUUUAAUGAAUAACUUCCACCUAUGGGAACAUUUCCAUAUUCCCCUUUUGACUAUUACCCCUGAACAAGAGUUGACUCUUUUUAGAAUAUGUCAAUAUGGUCCUUCCAAAAUUAACACUAUACUUUCAUCUGUCCUUGAGCAACCAAUCUUUGGUAAACCUUACAUUGUCCUCGACAAUUGUGUGACAACCGUCAAAAUUCGAGUCGGUUCUAGAUUUAAAUAAACUUAGUUGCACAUAUAGGCACGACACAUAAUAGACUUAGUCACUAGAAGCUAAGUUAUAACCUACUAGAAAAUUGGAAAAAAGUAGGAUCAAAUGAUAAUGUACUUAGAUUUCACAUUGAUAUGUGAAUUCUACUACUACUUAACUGUAGUGACUGUCCAUAUUUGGGUCACUCUUUUACUCGAACACCCUUUCAUGAAUCAUAUACACACAUCAUGCACUUGACCUAGAAGUAGAAAUUAGGUCAAAGUCUCAUAGAAACUUAAGUCAAAGUUGAAGACUAGGACUAGUAUACUUGAUUCCUCAAUUUCGCUUGAAUCUCGGAAUCACUACAUAGAAUGCCAAUAAACUGAUAAAAAUAAAUUACAACCAUUAUUUAUAACUAUAAAAGAGUUAUAAUAAGAUAAUCUAAAGUCUCAAAUAUUCUAUUUAUUUUGAUAUCUAAAUAUUUACAAACUCUCAAAAACCAUAAAUGCCCUAAAAACUCACAUUUAUAAACUUUNUUCCAGUCCCAUAAGUUUAAUUAAUCUCUUUUAGUCACAAACUUAAUUCUUAUUAAUUCUUGACUAAUAUUAAUUAAACAAUAUGAUUUAUCGUUUAAUAUAUUAUUCUCAUAAUAUAUUAAUAAAUUAUAUUUAAUCCUUUCUCUCCAUAAUUCAUCCAAUCAAGUUGCUUUGGUGAAGGCAACCCAAAAGGACCACGCACCAUCGGGUCAAGUACAUACCAAAAUAGUUAUGGACUUAGACACUAAUCCAACACAAACUCCCUAAUUUAAAAACCCACAAUGGAACCACAAACCAAGACAGCCACAUUGACACCUAUGACUGGACGAUGACGUCACUCAAGCUGGAUGAGCGAUUCUGGUGUACGUACUUCCCGACAACUAUGACAACCGUCAAAAUUCGAGUCGGUUCUAGAUUUAAAUAAACUUAGUUGCAAUAUACUUUAUUUCUCAUGAUGACAACGAACUUUGUUUACACAAACUUAUUUACUCAUUUUAGCAAUAUAUUUUUAUCUAUUGAAACUUAUAUCAAAAUUUUGAUUUCGAUUCAUGAAACCAAUAUUAUUGUUAAACUUGUGAGUACUCACCAACUAUUUUUAUAGUUGACGCUCGUCUUACAUGCUUUUUCAGGAAUCAUCGAGUAAGUGGCACUUAGGGACACUUCACUUUUAGGAGCAUUCGCAUGUGUUGUAUUUCAAUUUACAUUGUAAUUUCUUUUAAAAGUUGUUCAAACCCAUUGUAAAAUUGUAAUGAUUUUUAAUACUAUGGUUGGUGUUGUCUUUUAACUUUUGCUAAGAAACCCUUUAUACGGUCACGCCUCGUGUUUCCGCUAUAGCGGGGUGUGACAAAUUGCUUAAUCAAAUUAGUCAUAUCUAGUUGUAGUACUUUUCCCUCUUAAUGCUCUGGGCAUUUGGAAAAAUUUAGAACAGAUGAAUAUUAUAUCACAUACAAUCAAUCCUAUAUCUGAAGCAUAUGGGACACGAUUCAUAAACACAUGAUGCUAGACCAGUCUUUUGCUAUACUAUUUCUUUUUCUAUUUACCAAAUUCUCAUAAUUCAGAUUAUGAAAAGGGAUUCCGUAAUAAUAAUCGAAUUUUAGAACACAAAUGAUCGACCCAUAUAUAGAAUUUCCUUAUGUUGAGCCAUUCCAACAUAAAAUUCAUAUAUAUAUAUAUCCUUGACUAAAGAUGAUUAAAACCUAAAUCUAAGCUUUUAGAAUUGAAAUGAAGUAUAAUUUCCUCUCACUUAAUUAUAGCAAAACAAGUUUUUCCCAAUUGAAACCUUUUGUUUUUUAUAAUUAACAAUGCUAACUUGCAACACUUAUUAUAAUUAUCAUGCUCCCACUUGCAUGAUGAUUAUUAGCAAAACACUUAUGCUCCCACUAGCUUUGACAAGUGCUCAGAAAUCAGCCGGACUUCUAUAAAUCAAUAAUUUAUUGACCUUCUUACCAACGUUCAUAUUUCUGAAACGAGAUGCUUUGAUAAAACUUUAUCAAAAUCAUACACCUUUCCUUAUAUAGCACAAGUGUGUGUCUAAACAUUUUCAGAACUAUGAAAAGGGAUACCAUAAUCAUAGUCUCAAUUGUUUCGACCUUUUCCAUUUCUCACAAGUCCAUGUUAGUGUGUCGGUUAACCAUACACGCUCCACUAACGACUUUGAGAAUGCAAAUCCAAACUCUUAUGGAUUGAACUUGUGUAGUCUUAACUUCUUGCCACCUGGAAGCACAAGGGCCUGCCAUUGCUUCCAACUCAUAUGCAAAGCCAACUUUAACUGGAAUGGGCACAGAAAUAGGAAUAUGUCAACACGAUAGGUUAUAAGCCUCAAGUCGUGUGCUAGUGAUAAACUAUAGGUUUUUUCUUCUUGAUUAGAUCUGGAAGCUUUUCCAAGAUCAUUAAGACUCCCACUGUCCUCUUGACAUAUAAGACUCACUUGCCAAAUAUUCAACAGAUAGUGCGGAAUCUUUAUCAAUGCAAACACUUCACGCAAUUGGCCUUAGUUGGUCGAUGUUUUAUCCAAAACAUCACAACUUACCAAUUUCAAAUGUAAAAGAGUAGGGCACAUUUUACUCUUACAUUUGAAAAGUGUUAUAAACCUUUCUUUAAGAUAUGUCACUCAAGUUACAAUCUUGGAGUAUGAAUCUAACAUUUGUUUUUGGAACGAAGUAUGACUCAUCUUCAUGAUUUAACCACCUCAACAAUUCAUGAUUCCUCUUCUUAGCCAUAAGAAUGCACUAAUAUGUCCUUAGAGUACCAAUUGUGAUAUGGUUUCUUAAUCAUUAUGUUGAUCACAAAACAUGAUACUAAAGUAUUCUCCCAUCUCUUCAGAUUUGAGUAACUUUUAUCUUUCUGCCUAAUUUGAUUCUUCACAUUCGUUCUGUCAUAUAUUGAAACUUUUCCAAUGUUUCAUAAUUAUACUUAAACUUGUAAGUAUAACCAUAUUUACUAAAAUUUAGUAAAUAAUGACGAAAAGUCUUAUCAAUCUUUUGCGGUGGGCUUGACCAGUACACAAGGAUGUGUACUCGAUCUAUUUGUCCUUCACUCAACUCACAUAUACAUGUGAACAAGGUAUUAGUCUUAAUUUUCCAAAGAUGAAAAUUCUUAUUCAUCAUACGACUUGCAUGAUUCCAAGUUUCUAUCCAACUAAAAAUUGGGUAAUGAUAAUCUUUCCUUAUUUGGUAAAUUUUGACACUACCACAAACGGAAGAAUCAAAUCCAUUUUCCAAUGUUGCUAUCAAUGGAAUCAUAUAAACAACAAUUUUUAACAAAUGCCACUGUAAGGAUAUUUAAAAUAAAUAAAACGAAACAUUUCUUUUAUCUAAAACUUGCGGAAAAACUUAUCCUUACAAUGAAAAUGCAUAUGACAACUAUGUUGUUAUCUAUUCCUAAGAAAUCUGUGACAACUCUUAAGCAGUAGCUCAAAAUUCUGAUCACUGAACCAUGCGAUCGGAAUCCAUCUUCGCAAUCAGAAUCAACUUACUCUUCUUUAAGCUUCCGCUGUUUUCUUUGAUUCUUAAAACUUCAACAUGUGACCCAGUCACAUCAUGUAAUAAGAAUCUCUAAAUGGGAACUUAAUAGAGUUAGAUAGUGGAGUUACCUAAAGUGGAGUCAAUUUUUUUUGACUUGACCAACCUUAUGAUCUGUCAGGUAAAUAGGGUACUUUGCAACCAAUGCCCCUUCCUUUGGCAAUAGAACCAUAUGGACUCUUUGGUAGUGGUACAUGGGACUAUCUCAGACGUAGCAUUUCUCUUUACCAUUUGCUCAACUGAGUUGACUAUGGCCGAUCGCUUUCCAUUAGGAAGAGAAAGCUUCUUUGGAUAUCCAAUGUUACCAAUCAUCAAUGUCCAUUGUAGUUUGGGAAGUUGAUCUACUAAUCAAAUGUGCUCUACCGGUGCUCCAAAUCAUUGUUGAUUCAACAACACCUAGAAAAUAGAUAAGAUCAUUAAGGGUCAUGUCAUAGUCUUUUACAUAGUAGUCCUAAAGGACACUUACUAUAAGACUUAGAAAGUGAUUGAACAACCAACUUUCUCAAGACUUUGACACCCAACUCUCCCGGCUUGUUAAUAUGUGAAUUCAUCUCCAAGAUGUGAUAACACAUAGACCUUGCUUGCCAAUGGGGCUUGAGUUACCUUGAACUUGUGGGUUAGGGAGAAUAAUUGGAGGAGGUGGAGGAAGUGAAUAAUGAUUUCCAUGAUCCAACCAUGGGACAUCAUCUUCAUUAGGAAAGCUUCUUCGAAGAGAAUUGGGAAGAUCAUAAAUGUCUAAACUAGACAUCUAAUGGGAGAUAUUCAAGAUACUUGAUUUAAAGUCCUUAAUAUAACACCCAAUAUGAAAUAUUAAGACUAGGACCCAACACAAUAUUUUAUAACUUGGAAGAGGGAUGUCGUAAUCCAAGCUGUAGAAUAUUUGAAGGUAGGCGAAUGACGAUUCACAAAUUUCCACCAUGAAAAACGAAAUAAUUAUUAGGUUUUAAUUGGUUUUGAAACUCCUAGAUUCUUUGAGAUUCAUUGAACUUUUUAAUGGCAUGUUUCAAUCUCGAGUGUGCCCUUCAGGUUUUGUGACUGGGCAGCCGAGGAUCACAAAACAAGGUGUGAAGUAACCAUGCAAAUUACUUGGUACCCUUAAUGUUUUACCACUCAAUUGAUGUGCCGGUUAACCACACACGCUACAUUGAUACAAUGAUAAACAUUAAGUUACCCUUUGCCUACCUUGUUAAGUCCAGCUAGUGUGUCGUUUAACCACAUGUGCUCCAUUAACCAACUUAAGCGAAGUGCAAACUGUAAUUUCAUGGGUUAGCACCUUAUUCACAUUUUCCUAAAGUAACUAAGAUUGGGAAUUUAUAAAACAUUUAUUUACUUUAUAUUUAUCAUUAAUACUUUUAAUGAAAAUUUAAAGUCCUUCUCUUACCCGUUCGACUAACGACCUUCCACCGAUUAAGGAAGUGGUGGGUGAGAGUGGACACCCAUUAAGCUGCCAUUUUAUAAGCAGCAACCUUAUACCCCCCUUAUAGACUGGUUUCUUGAAUGAGGCCUACUAACGGUAAAAUGACUUAUAAUUAUACAUAUAUAAUUAUUAUUAAACUUGUAAUAUUAUAAAGUAUAAGGGUCUAAUUUUAACUUUUAAAAUUCUAGGUGUUGGAACUAAAGUUCUUAAAGUGACUUUACAUGUUGCAAAAUAUGAGGGCAAGUUUUGUAACUUUCAAAACUUUUCAUUUUCAUAACUUAUGAGUUAAAUGGUUUAUUAAAAUAAGAGACUUUUCAUUUUAUUUAACCUAUGUGUUUCUUUAAUGGACUUUAAAACGAUGACUUUUGGUAAUUCAUAACUUGAGGACAAAUUAUGGAUUCCAUUAAAACACAUAAUGAUCAAGAAUAAAACUAACAAGCAAGUUACAAAUAAUUCCUAUUAUCUUCUAAACUCAUAAGUGUAUGGACUUUUAUAUCAACAAUUUCAAGAAUCAUAAAUAAACCAUACAAAGCUUAAAAUUUUGAUAAUAACCUUUGAAAUGGGAUUAGCAAAAUUAAUACCACAUCAAAAAUAUGUUUUAAGGUUCAAAAACAGUUUAGGGUAAUGAUCCUCAUCUAAUACUAAGGAAAACCACGAAAUUCUUCAUACAGGGGCAUCACCACGUCAUGGUGAUCAGUCAGAUGCAAAAAAUGCAGAAUUUCAACUUUUGAAAAAGCCUGUAGCAUCCAGUAUCAAGAAAACAAACCUAGGAUCUGAUACAACUGAAGGGUUUUGAGCAUUCUAACACUCCUAAGGUGUACAUGCAACCCUAGAAACCUUGAUCUAUGUUUUACUAUGAUACAUUCAAAAUUGAUUUUCCAAAGUUCUUAACCUAUCUAGCAUACCAUGGGGAACUUUUAAACAUAAAUGCUAGAAGAAGAACAUACCUUUAUGUAGUUAGGAUUCCUUGAAAACCUUGUGAGCCUAGCACCUCAAGUGUGAUGCCCCAAAUGUCUCACACAACACUACAACUCUUGGAAUAGACUUAAGAUAAGUUCACUUAACGUCAACAUCAGAUUUCCCUCUUGUUCUUCACUUAGUGGCUGAUUUUGCUUGCCUUGGGGCUUCUAAUAUAGUUGUGGCACAAGUAGGGUUACACCAUGUAAACCCUAAUUAUCAUGGCUUUUCAUAUUCCAUGAUCCAUGGGUUUGUAACCUCCAUGGAUUACCUAUGGAGCACCUUAUGGGUUUUAUCCCAAUCCAUACAAACCAUGGAUCAUUAGCCAACUAUAUAAGAAUAGAUUAUUUACAUAAUCAACCCCAUAUAUUCAAUUAGACUCUUAUUUAUCACUUAAUUAAUUCCAAAUUAAUUCUUUGAUCAAUACUAAUUAAAUAAUGUUAUUAAUAUAUUAGAACUUAUAAUAUAUUAAUAAUCAUUAACUGUUCUUUCUCUCAUUUAGUCUUUCUAAGUGUUGCAAUGCCAUGCAACCCAAAUGGAGCAUGCCAACCGGGUCAAGUACAUACCAGAAAUAGUAAUGAACUUAGACACCUAAUCCAACAAAACGUACCGGUAACCAUUGAGGGAUCUUCUAUUGCUUCCCCAUGCCUAUGUUGGAUUAAUGUCUAAGUCCAUAACUAUAUUUGGUAUGUACUUGACCCGACCCGGCAUGGUCCAUUUGGGUUGCACUUCACCGACACAAUUUAUAUGGAUAAUCUUUUGAGAAUAGUAUGUUUAUGAUUAAUAUUAAUAUAUUAUAAGUUCUAAUAUAUUAAUAUGGAAUCAUAUUAUUUAAUUAGUAUUGAUCAAGAAUUAAUUUAGAAUUAAUUAAGUGAUCAAAAUGAACUAAUUAAAUAUGGACUCUUAUAUAUAUAUAUAUGGAAUGGGCGAAGUUGAUUUAGGUUGGGCUAAGCUUUCAUGGAUAGUGCAUGGAGUGUUUAACCCAUGGAUCCUAGGAAAUGAAAGGUCAUGGGUAUUAGGGUUUAACCCUAAUCCUCCACACUAUAUAAAGAUGUAAUUGGUUGGUGAAAUUGGCACUAGUGUGGUACACUAAGAAGGGCUAGCCAAUUUCACUAGAGAGAACCAAGUAUCCAUAUUCUCUAAAGUCUUCCAAGGUGUUUUGGUGAUUUGUGAUUCCAUUUGAGGCUUCCACACUAUUGGGGCUAAGCUCUUAAAGCUUGAAGACAUCAAGCUACAUCAAGAGGUAUGUAUUUUAUCUUGCUAUAGUCAUUGUUUUUGUAUGCUUGAUUAGGAUAAUACCUUGGAUGUUCUUAUUUGCAUGUAUAAUAGAGAAAACAUAGAUCCAAGGUAUUUAGGGUUGCAUGUACACUUAGGAAGUGUUAGAAUGCUCAAAACCCAACAGUGGUAUCAGAGCCACGGGUUGUUUUCUGUUAUAUUGAUGCAAAUAUUUUAUUUUCAAAGUUGAAAAAAAAAAAAAAAAAAAACAUGAAGUUUGUCAAAUUUUAAGAUAAUUACUUGUUCUUGUGAAAAACUAAUUAUUUGUAAAAUUUGAAUAAUUUGCUUUAUGAGUUGAAUUAGGUCAAAUUUAAUAAAAGAUAAAAUAAUAUGAUUAUUUUAUUAGUUUUAAAAGUUUGAUCUAAAGAGUUUUAUUUUUUGAAACCUCCAUAAGUUAUGGAUAUGAAAAGGUUUUAAAAAAAAAAUUGAUUCAAAGUUUUUUUGGAGUUACAAAAUUUGGUGUUAAUGUUUUAAAGGAUUCCAUAACUUAAGAAUAAGUUAUGGAUCACCAAAAGUUUUUUGUGUUACCUUGUUUUAUGAGUGAAUUUAGAUUAAUGAAUAAAAUUAUGUGAUAGUUGGUUUUAAUCCAAAUUAAUCUAAGAAUUGAUUCUAAAAUGUGUUUUUGUAACUUGUCCUCAAGUUAUAUGAAAAGUCACAUUUAAGAAUCAUAAAACUCAUAAAAAUUGGCAAAGGUUACAAAAAUGAAGAGUCUAGUUCUAAUUAAAUGGUUUUAUGACUCCAUAACUUGUCCUCAAGUUAUGGAGGACCAAGAGUCUCUUCAUUUAAUAAAAUAAAAUAAAAAAAAAAAAAGUGUAACCUUAAUUAAUUCCAUAAGUUAUAAAAUAAAGAAAAGUUAAUUCUUUUAUUAGUUUAAAGUCUUCCAUAACUUGUCCUCAAGUUAUGGAACUUGAAGAGUUUUUGGAUUAAAACUACUUUAAACACAUAAGUUAUGGAAUUAAUUAGUUUUGAAUAGUUUCAAAACUUGCCCUCAAGUUUUGGAAUUUGUAAAGUUUUCACUUAUGAAUACUUUAAUUCCAAGUUAGCCCUUAGAAUUUUAAAAGUUAAAAUUCAACCCUUAUACUUUAUAAUAUUAUAAGUUAAUAAUAUAUAUAUGUAUAAGAGUAAAGUCAGUCUUACCGCUAGUACGCCUCAUUCACGAAGCCGGUCUAUAAGGUGGGUAUAAGGUUGUUGCCUAUAAAAUGGCAACUUAAUGGGUGUCCACUCUCACCCACCGCUUGCUUGACUGGUGGAGGGUCGUUAGCCGAACGGGUUUGACAGGACUAGAAUUCUCCCUUCAUUAAAAGUAUUAAUGAUAAUACUAAGUAACUAAACUCUUAAUAAUACCCAAUCUUAGUUACUUAGGAAAAAUGUGAAUAAGGUGCUAAUCCAUGAAAUUACACUUUACACUUUGUCUAAGUCGUUAGUGGAGCGUGUGUGGUUAACCGGCACACUAACUUGGACUUAACAAGGUAGGUAAAGGGUGACUUAAUAUUUAUCAUAGUAUCGAUGGAGCGUGUGUGGUUAACCGGCACAUCGAUUGAGGGGUAAUUUAUUAAGGGUACCAAGUGAUUUGCAUGGUUACUUCACACCUUGUUUUGUGAUCCUCGGCAUCCCAGUCACAAAACCUGAAGGGCACACUCGAGAUUGAAACAUGCCUUUGAACAGUUCAAUGAAUCUCAAAGAUCUAGGAGUUUCAAAACCAAUUAAAACCUAAUAAUACAUUUCGUUUAUCUUGGUGGAAAUUGGUGAAUCGUCAUUCACCUACCUUCAAAUAUUUUAUAGCUUGGAUUACGGCAUACCUCUUCUAAGUUAUAAAAUAGUUUGUUGGGUCCUAGCCUUAAUAUUUCAUAUUGGGUGUCAUAUUAAGGACUUUAAAUCAACUAUCUUGAAUAUCUCCCAAAAGAUGUCUGGUUUAGACACCUAUGAUCUUCCCAAAUCUCUUGAAACAAGGUUUCCUAAUGAAGAUGAUGUCCCAUGGAUAUCAUACUUCUUUCUCCUCCUCCAAUUAUUCUCCCUAACCCACAAGUUCUUGAAAAGUUUAAGGUCACUCAAGCCCUAUUGGCAAGGCAAGGUCUAGGUGUGAUCACAUCUUGGAGAUGUAGUCACAUAUUGACAAGCCGGGAGAGUUGGGUGUCAAAGUCUUGAGAAAGUUGGUGGUUCAAUCACUUUCUAAGUCACAUAGUGAGUUCCUUUGGGACACCUAUGAAACAGACUAUGACAAGACCCUUAAUGAUCUUAUCUAUUUGCUAAGAUCAACUUCCUAAAACUUUAUGGACAUUGACAAUGAUGACAUUGGAUAUCCAGUAAAGCAUUCUCUUCCCAAUGGAAAGGGAUCGGCCAUAGUCAACUCGGUUGACCAAAUGGUAAAGAGAAAAGCUAAGUCUGUGAUAGUCUCGUGUACCAUUAUCAAAGGGUCCAUAUGUUUAUAUUGCCAAAGGAAGGGGCAUUGGUUGCGAAGCUGCCAAAUUUACCUAAGGAGGUUAAAGUCAAUAAGUUUGACUCUACUUCAGGUAAAGUCCACUAUCUAACUCUGUUAAGUUUUUAUUCUGAGAUUCUUGAUACAUGAUGUGACUAGUUCACAUGGUGAUGUUCUAAGAAUCAAAGAAAAGUGAAGAAACUUAAAGAAAGAAUAUGCUGAAUCUGAUGGCGUAGAUGGAUUUCUAUCGCAUAGUUUGAAGAUCGGAUUCUUGAGCAACUUCUUAGGAGUUAUGAGAUAUUGCUUAGGAAUAGAUAACAACAAGUUUUCAUAUGGAUUGUAAGGAUAAGUUUUUCCGCAAAGUUUUAAAAUAAAAGAAAAAUUUUUUGAUUUUAUUUAUUUUAAAAUAUCCUUACAAUGGCUUUUGAGGAAAAAUUGUUGCUUAUAUGAUUCCAUUAAGAGCAAGAGUGGAAAUAUGAAAUUGAUUCUUUCAUUUGUGGUAAUGUCUAGAUUUACCAAAUAAGGAAAGAUUCUCAUCACCCAAGUUUCAAUUGGACCGGAACUUGGAAUCAUGCAAGUUGUAUAGCAUGAUGAAUGAGAACUUUCAAGUUUUGGAAAAUUAAGACUAAUUACUCGGCCACAUGGAUGUGUGAGUCAAGUAAAGGACUAAGGGAUCGAGUACACAUUCUUGUGCACUGAUUAAGUCCACCACAAAAGAUUGAUAAGACUAUUCGUCAUAGUUUACUAAAGCUCAGUAAAUAUGAUUAUACUUACAAGCUUAAGUGUAACUCUGAGACAUUGGAAAAGGUUCCAAUGUAUGGCAGGGCGAAUAAGAAGAAUCAAAUUAGGCAGAAGGAUAAAAGUUUCUCAAAUCUGAAAAGAUGGGAGAGUACUUUAGUAUCAGUUUUGUGAUCAUCUUAAUGAUUAAGAAACCAUAUCAAAAUUAGUUCUCUAAGGAAAUCUUAGUGCAUUCUUAUGACUAAGAAGAGGAACUUGAAUUGUUGAAAUGGUUAAAUCAAGAAGAUGAGUCAUACUUCGUUCCAAUACAAGUCUUAGAGUCAUACUCCAAGAUUGUCAUUUGAGUGACAUGUCUUAAAGAAGGUUUAAAACACUUGUCAAAUGUAAGAGUAAAAGUUUUCUACUCUUGUACAUUUGAAAUUGGUAAGUUGUGAUGUUUUGGAUAAAACAAAGACCAACUUAGGCCAAUUGGGUAAAGUGUUUUUCUUGAUUAGAAUCCGCACUAUCUCUUGGAUGUUUGACAAGGGAGUCUUAUAUGUCAAGAGGACAGUGGGAGUCUUAAAGGUCUUGAAAGUCUCAAGAACUAAUCAAGAAUAAAACCUGAAGUUCUUCACUAGCACACGACUUGAGGUUUAUAACCUAUCGUGUUGACAUAUCUGUGCCCAUUCCAGUUAAAGUUGGCUUUGCAUAUGAGUUCUUAGAGUUCUCAAUUUGUUGCACAACAACUUGGAAGCAAUGGCAGGCCCUUGAGCUGCCAGGUGGCAAGAAAUUAAGAUUGAGUUCAGUCCAUAUGAGUUUGGAUUUGUCAUUAUCCUUGUCUUGUGACUAUGGUUUUGACAAUUCACAUGGAUAAGAACACAUACACCAUUAAAUCUAAGUGUCAUAAGGUUUCUCUCCGAUUCAUGAAAAUGAUGGUGAGGAAACACUUUCACUAAGUAGAUUUUAGCUAGAUAGCAAUUGUGAUAUUUGCAUUCUCAAAGUCGUUAGUGGAGCGCGUGUGGUUAACCGGCACACUAACCUGGACUUGUGAGAAGUGGCAAAAAGGUCUAACCAUUAUGAUUACGGCAUACCUCUUCAUAAUUGUUUAGACACACAAGUGUGCUAUCUAAGGGAAGGUGUAUGAUUUUGAUAAAGUUUUAUCAAAACAAUCUAGCAUCAGAAAUCUGAACUUUGGUAAGAAAGUCAAUGAAGUAUUGAUUUCUAGAAGUCCAGCUGAUUUCUGAGUACAUGUCAAAGCUAGUGGGAGCAUAAGUGUUAUGCUAAUAAUCAUCAUGUUAGUGGGAGCAUGAUAAUUAUGAUAAGUAUUGCAAGUUAGCAAUGUUAAUUAUAGAAAACAAAAGUUUCAAUUGGGAAAAAGUUGUUUUGCUAUAAUUAAGGGAGAGGAAAUUAUGCUUCAUCUCAAAUCUAUAAGCUUAGAUCGUGAGGUUUUAAUCAUUUAGUCAAGGAUAUAUAUGAAUUUCAUGUUGGAAUGGCUCAACAUAAGGAAAUUCUGUAUAUGGGUCCAUUAUUUGCGUUCUAAAAUUCGAUUAUGAUUACGGCAUCCCUUUUCAUAAUCUGAAUUAUGAGAACUUGGCAAAUUGAAAUGGAAAUGUUAUAGCAAAAGACUGGUUUAGUCUUUAUGUGAGACAUCAUGAAUCGUGUCCCAUAUGCUUCGGAUAUAGGAUCGAUUACAUGUGCUAUAUUCAUCCGUUCUAAAAUUUUCCAAAUGCCUGGGGCAUUAAGAAGGGAAAAGGUUUAGAACUGGAUAUGACUAAAAGGAUUAAACAAUUGUCGAGGACAAUCUAAGGUUUACCAAAGAUUGGUUGCUCAAGGACAGUUGGAAGUAUAGUGAUAAUUCUGGAAGGACCAUAUUGACAUAAUCUGUAAGGAGGCAACUCUUGUUCAGAAGUGAUAGUCAAAAUGGAAUCUGGAAAUGUUUCAAAGUUAGAAUUUUCAAUCUGUUUAAGAUUAGGAAACUUAAUGCAAGAAGGAUGUUUCCAAGGAGCUGAUCUCCUUUGGAAUACUCUGUAAUGAUUGUUGUCAAGUCUUUCUGACUUUGUGCAUAAUCAUUACAAGAGGAUCAAUGCAUAUAAGUUUAGAAUCUAACAGAUUUCAGUAAAUGGCAUGAAUUUGGAAUUCUUGCAUUUGCAGUAAGGAUUUGGGAGUGUGAAAAGAGAAUCAUUGAAGUUAUGUUCAAUUGAUCUAGUUCACAAAGUAAAGAUCAUAGACAAACAUAGUAUGCAUACUUGGUGUGUGGCAUGACUAGUGUUUAAGAAAACAUAGUGUACAUGCUUGGAGCAUGGGACAACUAUUGUUUUAAAUUCAAGAAUAAAGUUGAUAGCUGAAACAGUAUACAAUGAAUAAUGUGUAAUCAUAUGGUGAUAAAUAAAAGGUGUUUUAUUUAUGUUCAAAGGGUUGAUACCAUAUUGGAUUCAAUUAUUAUUGUGUUUCACUUUGCAUGUUUUGACUUCCCGAAUAAACUAGGUUAUUCUUCCGGAAUGACUAAGUUAUUCAAACCAUCCACAGUCGGUCAUAUGUUGGAAGUAGAUAUGAAUUAAGACUGUCAUGGGUUGGCUUGUAGAGGUCUAAGGUGUUGGACAAAGGGCUACAACACUCAUGAGUGCUCAUAAGUUCUGAGUAUUGGAUUCAACCCGCGCUCAUUGGAAUCACUUCAUGGAUUUUAUCACGAGUGAUCAUGAGACGAUAAUAUCUUAUAUUCUUCAAACCUAGAGAUAUGAGUUGUUACUAUGAGUUGAUAGUACAUUGAUUGCACGAAAACGCAUUUGGUAACUCGGUGCUAUAAAACGUGCCUUUGUGUAUGAUUCAACAAGUAGUAGAACAAGCCAUAUGAGUCGAAGUUUAUCCAUUCCUUUUACCUUCGGGAUAAAAGCGAUAUCUGUGGGCCCCUCGAUGAUUUGAUGAUGACAAAUGGAAGUGCUCGGCCGGGCCAGGACUGAUUUGAUUUGUUCAAUUAGUCAGUCGUCAUAAAUCGGAAAUCGGGAAACAACAAAUGGACAGAGAGAAUGAUUAUAAUCCAUGUCUCAGUCCAUAUGAUAUCUAGAAUGGAGGAUUAUAUGAUCCCUUAUCUAAUGGACAAGUUCGUUGACAAGAUCAAAGUUCGACAGCGGCUUUAAGAGCUACGAUAGCCAGUUAGGCUUGAAGUCAUACACAAUAAUAGUUUUAGACUUAUCCAUGUGGGAGACUGUUGGAUUAAUGUCUAAGUCCAAAACUAUAUUUGGUAUGUACUUGACCCAACCCGGCAUGGUCCAUUUGGGUUGCACUUCACCGACACAAUUUAUAUGGAUAAUCUUUUGAGAAUAGUAUGUUUAUGAUUAAUAUUAAUAUAUUAUAAGUUCUAAUAUAUUAAUAUGGAAUCAUAUUAUUUAAUUAGUAUUGAUCAAGAAUUAAUUUAGAAUUAAUUAAGUGAUCAAAAUGAACUAAUUAAAUAUGGACUCUUAUAUAUAUAUGGAAUGGGCGAAGUUUAUUUAGGUUGGGCUAAGCUUUCAUGGAUAGUUCAUGGAGUGUUUAACCCAUGGAUCCUAGGAAAUGAAAGGUCAUGGGUAUUAGGGUUUUACCCUAAUCCUCCACACUAUAUAAAGAUGUCAUUGGUUGGUGAAAUUGGCACUAGUGUGGUACACUAAGAAGGGCUAGCCAAUUUCACUAGAGAGAACCAAGUAUCCAUAUUCUCUAAAGUCUUCCAAGGUGUUUUGGUGAUUUGUGAUUCCAUUUGAGGCUUCCACACUAUUGGGGCUAAGCUCUUAAAGCUUGAAGACAUCAAGCUACAUCAAGGUAUUUAGGGUUGCAUGUACACUUAGGAGUGUUAGAAUGCUCAAAACCCAACAGCCUAAUGCCAUGACCCUUCUAGCACCGCUGACAUUUAUUUUUCUUUCUUUUGGGCAGUCUCUUUUGUAAUGCCCGGUCUCCCUACAACCGUAGCAGGCUCGACUUGCCCAGUCGUUGGCGGACGGGGUAGCUUGUUGGGCUGGUGCCUUGCAGAAGCAGGUUGUAUGUUGUUUCUUGUUGCAGGUGCUGCAGUGCAUCUAUCGACAAGGGAUGGUGUGGUGAAAGCUGUGCUUUUUACAUUUGGGGAGGGUCCCAGCAUACAGUCUCAAGGGUGCUUGAGCGGAGGGGGUGGUGGCAGCGCGAACCGCCACUACAUAUUGUUUCUUGGCAGAAUCUUGGGCCGUUUGGCUUUUCUUAUUGUUCCAGAACUUCCUUUUGUUGUGCCCCCCUUUCGCUCGCUCGAAGGUCGCCGCCAUAGUGUCAUUGAUGGCCCUAUGGUCAAUGAGUUGUCCCAAAUGUUUGGCACUGUCAAAGGUAGUCGGUUUUGUGGCUAACGCGUUCCCUUGAAUCUGGGGGAUAGUCCCCAUAUGUAUUUCUCCACCUUUUUACACUCUGGGGUGACAAUCACGAGACAUAGUAUGGCUAGAUUGCUUAAUCUGGUAAUAUAAGAUGUGAUGUAAGAACCGGUCAUUUUGAGGCCCAUAGUUCCUGUUCCAAUUUCUAAACUAUGCCCCUUGGGCAAUAUUCUGCUAGUAUUAAGGUCUUCAUGUCCUCCCAUCUCGUUGCAUUUUCCAUUGGCAGAGUCAAUGACUUUACAUGACCGUUCUACCAGGUAAGGGCUCGAUUAGAGAAAGUGCAUGCUGCAUAUUUGACUUUGCUCGCUUCAGGGCAUGCACAAAUCUCGAAGACCGAUUCAGUCUUCUUGAAUCGUUACAUCAGAGUGAUGAAGCCCCCGCUUCCAUUGAACGAUUUGGGUUUUCCAUUUAUAAAAUCUUUGUAGGAACAUUUGUUUGCAUGUUCGUGACUGUCUCCCUGGUUAGAGUUUGUAAUACCAUUACCCAUUCAACUAGUACCAUUCGUACUGAUAUGUGACAUUGCGGCUGCCACAACUGCUGUUAUGGAAGCUUGGAAAACAGUGGGGUCAAAUUGUGGAGGUGGUGGCGGUGCGUUGUUGAAACGCCUGGGAUUUUUCCACUGUGGUAUAUUUUUGCCACAUGUUUUUAAAGACGAGAAGAUGGUAAGCCAUUAAUCGUAGCUAUAAGUCGGUUGUUAUUGAACUAUAUUAUAAGUAUUAUGUGAUGACUUUAAAGUAUUUGCAAGCAAUUCAUAAUGGAAGUCCAUAUGAUUGAACUUAUGAGUUUAAUAGUAAUAUCUUAAUGAAAUCAUGUGACUUGAUCCAUACUAGGUCCUUCUACAAUUGCUUGGUGUAUGCUAGUCGUGUAUAACUAAGAUUGAAUAGAUCGUUGGAAUCUUAAUUAUAUAUAACAUUACAGUACACACUAAGUAAUCGUAAAUUAACCAUAAGUAACGAUAUACACUGUUAUGAAUUUAGUGGUAACACUCCCAGUGAAAUAUAAUGCAUGCCAAUUUUAUUGAUAUGGUUUAGUGCAUAGUGUUUGGAAAAUUUUGACCUUGAUGCAGGUCUACAUCACAUCAAUGCAAGGAAAAAAAAUUUGGACAACAUUACGAUCCUUUGAGUAAUGUAAUCACUUAAUCGUAGGACCAAACCUACUCACAGAGAAGAGUAACACCAACACAUACUCAUAAACCUAAUCUAUAAUGAUUUGUGACUAGUAUGAACCCUACUCACAACAACCGGUUCCCUGCGGUCCUUGAGGUGAAGUCGAGGGUCCCUGUAGUUUUGCUAACUGACGCUUGGUUGUGGUAACUCUCUCCUCGAGAUUCGAGUGCCUUUCUUGACACUCCCUUACCUCCACCAGAGCGGCGGUAAGUUCCUCAACGAGUCGGUCUAUGUGAUAGUAGUCUCUUUCCAAGUCUCGAGUACGCGUGUUGGUGGCUUCCGUAGCCGCACUCAGCUCUAGAACUCAGUUCUUCGUCGCUCUCUUCAAAUCCCCUAGGUCCGUGAUUUGCUAGAUCAUAAUUAGGAGGGCUUUGUCAGAUGGUCCUCCAUGGUUGAGGUCAUAGGAACUUCGUUGCUCGCCAAAUGGUGAACAAUGUCACUGGUGACGACUCCACCUCUUAAUGUCUGCUGCCCAACGGGGGAUAGGUCAAUUGUAGUCGAAUCGGUUCGCGGGAACACUAGAAAUAUAAGGAGGGUUGAUAACCUCCGACUCCUCUUCUGACUCCUCUUCGUCUUCUUCUUCCUCUAGUUCCUAUUCCAAUGCAUCUUCUUCAAGAUCUUCCUCUUCGAUUUCUUUGGGGUCCUCAUUAGGAUCUUCUUCGGGAUCUUCCUCGAACACUUCCUCAGGGUCUUCUUUUGGUUCCUCAUCUACACAUCCCCAAUUUCCUAGAUUCAGAAAGUAUGGGUCUCCUGAUAAGUGGAAUCCUACCAUGACGUCUUUGCGAGAAUGGGGGUGUAAGAGGCACAAAACGAAUCUUGAAAUAUUGCGCUAAAGCAACAUAAAAUACUCCUAUAGUAUUUUAAACGUUAUUUUCAAUUCUUAGUGCAUUUCUUGUAGGGGUGAUGGCAGGUUGUUAGACUUGUUGCCCACUACGUCUAUCCCCCAGUAUAUGGGAGUCACUUCUCGGACAAAUAUUAACUGAUCAGGCUAUAUUCAUCCCAGACAUGAUUAGAUAUCCCAAGGUAUACUCGCAGUGUACAACUCAUCCUUUUUACUUUUGUAUUUUUCCUAGUUACGACACUAUACUGGAAUCUGUGCAUGUACUUAAACUUUUCGUAAGAAUAUCAUUUUAUUUCUAAAAGUAUAGUUGUAUAAAAAAAAUUAGUCAGAGAGUUUUAGUUCCAUUGCAUUUAUAGUUGGUAUAUUUUAUGUGGUUCAAUAUAAUUAGUUCACUAUAAACAAGGCUCUGAUACUAAUCUAUCACACGCCCAAACCAAGGAUGAUAGAAACAUUCUGGGGGUUGAGGACUUCAUGUAUAGUAUCAUAACAACGACUAUAAUAGUGAUGAAAGCAAAUACAACCAUCAUAAAUAUAAUUGAGAAAGCUACAUGGUUUCAUGAGUUACAUGUUACAUAAUCGAUUACAAUAUAAUGAUAAAAUGGUUUUUCUGACAUCGUAGCGUUCCAUCCUCAAAAUUUGGUAGUUACUUGCUUAAAUUGAUUUCCUUAGACUACAAGUAAUUUUAAAAGAGUGUCAACAAUUAAGUUGGCGAGUGCAUAAACUUUUGUAUGUAGAGUUGAAAUGCUUUCUUUGUAAAUGUAGUGUAUGUUCAAGAAAAAUCCAGUAUUUUCAUUAUAAAUUGAUUUGUAGUCUUAAGACUCAAAGACCGAAAUGUACAAGUAUUUUCCCUAUGUGAGUUAAUAUAAUGGUGCAAUUGACAUAGCAAGCCAGUUACGUACUUCGGGCAUCAGAAUGUUUUGACAUAUCUCACCCCAGAGCUGCCGGUAUAGCUGUUGCAUGCAGGUUAGGUGCUGGAUUGUUAGUCCUAAUAUAAAUUUAUACACAAGUAUCACACUCUUCCUACAAGAGACUAUGGUUAUAAUACAACACUUUAACCAGUACUCUAAGGAGUACAAUGAAGUAAUGUCUCACAAUUUGAUUCAAUGAGUUUACGUGUAGUGAGAAUGACAACCCUUUUUGUAAUAAUAAUGAAUCCCUCUUUAGUAUAUUCGUAGUGUUUAUGUAUCAUAAACUAUACCUAUUAUAGUUUCUCAUGUGAGUUUGUAAUAAUGAAAGACCCUUAUGUGAAUGACUAUUUCUAUUUCAUGGAAGCAAAAUAACAUGAAAUAGAAUCAAUAUGUAGCUAUUUAUUGUUAUACACUUUGCUCCACAUGUAACAAAGUGUUAGUGAACUGGUAAACCAUUUUACUAGUUUUAAAUUUUCUGUCACUGUUUUCAGAAAAAUCAUAAAAAAUCAUCGUAAGUCGAAAACUGAAUCCGUCAACUCUGGGGGUUCAGAAUAUAAGUCUAGUUGGUGUGUAAUUUUUAUUAUGAUUUUUAGUGGUUUGCAACCAGUGUGAAAAUGUCCAUCUUCACAGACUGGUCUGAAAUCAUUUCUGAAAUGAUAGUCAGUUUUGUAAAAUUCACCAUAAAUUGUAGAAAAAUCGUAUGAACAUGUUCAAGUUGUCAUUAGAAAGGUAUAAACCUAAACUAUUUGCGUACUGAAUAAUUUUGAAAAAUAUUAUGUUUAAUAUGGUCAAAAUAUCUCGUGAAUAGACCAUAACUUUUCUGUUGAAAGCUGUUGUUUGAGUUAGAAGAUGUUUUAGUGAUAUAACUUGUAUUCUCCCCCUUAAAACUUGAAGAAAACAUGAAAAUGUAGGGGGUAUGAACUCACAUUGAGUGAUUUCUUGUGGUGGAAGGUUGAAGAAGGGGAGUUUCAAGUCAAGAACACUUGAAAGAUGCUUGAAGAUUUGAAGAUCCUAAGAACAAAUAUGUCGAUAUUUGUGUAAAUGAUCCAUGAUUUGCAUGAACAAGUGUAGAAUAUUUAGGAGUUAAAUGAAGAUUCUUACCAAAACUGGAGGUAAAAUCAAGAAUACUUCUUAUCAAAAAUAUCGUGACAUAGAAAGAGAGAGGGAGAGAGAGAGAGAGAGAGAAGUUUGCUUUUGGUGAAAGCAAAUGAGAUCUUGAAUGUGAAGAAUAAAGAUUUCUUGGGCGGAUUUGAUUAGAUAAAAUCUGAUGGGGUGUUGGGCUGAGAUGAAAAAGGAAAAUGAUUUGACUAGGUAGAGUGUGAGUAGUUACAUAAAGUGGGUGUGGGGAUGGUUUGGUGUCAUAACUUUAUGGAAAAGUCAACAAGUACAUUUCGACAUUAUGUUGAGCAAAAUUAUGAUUUAUAAAUAAUAAAUCCUCAAAAUAGGAAUAAGAUAUGAGUCUAGGGGGUCUAAUAUGUCCAAAGUGUGAAUUGGGUGAAAAUUUCACAUCAAAAUCAUCAAAAACGGGCUUAAAAUGUGAAAGUGGUCAAAAGCCAGGAAGAGGAUGCAAACCUGCGAAAGGUAGGCACGCAGCCGAGAAGGUUCAUGGUCUAAGAUGGUUCACCUGCGAAUGUGAGGUUCAGUGCGCGCCUUGUUGAGCACAUGUAAACCUGGCUGACGAUCGAAUUUGAGGCUCCCUGCGAGGGGGGAGUCCGGUACGAACAUUGUCUAGUGGAAGCGAGUGAGCCCGAGAAGAUAUGAAUGUGCCCAGUCAUGGGGCGAACUUGCCUGGUUCGAUGCAAGAGGAAGAUUCGUGUGAGAUCAAGUUUCUAAAUGGCGUGAGGCGUGGCGCGGCGGCAAGGCCAAGCCUCAAGCUUAACGAGCCAUGGCGAACCAUGGUGUUUUUCAAGGCGUGAUGUAAGGCUGCAAUUUUGUAUUAAUUUAAAAUUAUAUUACCACAUAAAUAUAAAUUUAUAUUAAAUAUAACUACUUUUUAGAAGUGUUAGAUCAAUAACUAAUAACAAAAAGUUAACAAAAACCACAAUAUUUGUAUCUCCGGUUUGAAAAGACAUAACAAAGAGCAAAAAACUGUGACUCAAACGAAAAAACACGCGCCAUAACACGUCAUAAUGCGCCAUGGCGCGCCAUAUCACACCUUGCCACGCGCCACGCCUAACAGCAACGUUAUGAAGCUUUUCGUAACGACAAAGCCACGCCUCACGCCAUGGUGCACCUUUUAGAACAAUGUGUGAGAUUUCCCGGCUAGGCUGCGAACAUCCAAUAAAAAGCGAACGUGCCUAGUGGCUGCGAAGGCCUGCGAGUGUUCGCAGGUGAACAGUAACCUGCGAACCUCCCGGCCCCUUUUUGACCUCCUUCCGUUUUAAGCUGUUUUCGACCAUGGGAAAGUUCGGGAUGGCACAGGUGUUCAUAGAAAACUUAGAAAUUGUGAUUUUUAUUACCAAGAGGUUUGAGAGAGAUUGGGAGAGAUUUGGGAGAGACUUUGUUUGUAGCUUUUGUUAGUGUUUAUCCCCAUAAUGCAAGGUUUGUAAACCCCACUAUGCCUCGUUAUUAGUGUUUUAUGCCCCGGAAGUGUACAUUAUAGUGAUUUAUAGAGUCGUUACAUCACUCACCCUGGUUAGGGUUUAGAAUUUCUAAACAUAUGAAACUUCCGAGUGAUACUUUGUAUUAAGAUAGAGAAUUGUACAUUAGCAAACAUAGAGUAAACCCUAACAUACAAGUACUAGUUGAGUUUAUCGGUUUGACUCAUUGAAUUUGUUUGACUUUGACUUGACCAGAAAUUGUCGGUUGUCACAAAACGUUUUCUUAAUAACUCAAACACUUAUAUUUUUAAUGAUGAUUACCUUUUAAUCCUUGAAAAUCGCACCUUUUUGCAUAUGUCUCUGUAAAAGUAAACAUCUUGUCAAUCAAAUGACUGUUUCCAUUUUACACAUACAGUCAGUGCUCUCUUUUGUCCUUGUAGGUCAAUUCAUCCCAAAUAUGGCAACACAUUUAAUGCGGUCUAUUUCCUCAUUCGGGUUACAUCAUUACUAUUUCUAACCCGACCCAUUUUUCACUGAACCUAUAACAACCCCACAUAACCCUCCUUUUACCCUUUACGCUCCCUCCAUUUUCUUCAUUCUCUCUCAGCAAAGAAACUGCUCACCAAGAACUAAAAACCUGCAACAAUGUCGUGUUCACAAUCUAACCCAAAAUUUUCCAGCCCUUCUCCUAAGAAGAAAUCAUGAAAAGGUUUCAAUUUUUCUUCCUCAACGGAACCGUUUCUCUGGGAUACCACUCAACCUUUUUCAUUGGACCCAAUGGACUAUGAAGAGUCCAUCCGAGUUAUGAUUGAGUUCAUAUCGCGUCAUCCUAUCACUGUUCCACUCAAAAAAGUCCCCGAUCCACCCAUUCCUCUUCGUAUUCUUCACACCGUAUUUGAAAGAUUCAAGAUUAAAGAUGGAGUUCUGGAAAUCAAGACAACUGGUAACUGAAUUGUACCGGUUUCAAAGCAAACAUUCUUAAAACCUAUAUGGAUUUCUAAAAACCCUAAAGAUUUCAAAGUCCAAGAACCAUCGUCUGAGGGGUUCCAGACAUUUCUCAACCAUAUCGGGUAUGAAGAGGAUUUCAAAGCCAAAAAAUUCAUGAAGUCUACAGUUCCUGGGCUAUGGACAGUUCAAAUGCACCUUAUUCUUAGAGGACUAUCUGGCAAACAAAGUGAAACAGACACGAUGAGCAAGGACUGGCUCUAUGUCAUGUACAAUAUCGUUUCUAGGAAGACUAAAGUCGUCUACCAAACAGAAGUCAUAUGGCAAGACUUUUAGAAGUUUUCUAUCAAAAGAAUGCCUCUAGAGAUAUCGAGUCUGAGAUGCUGGGCUCUCAUCAUUCAACAGCUAUACCGAGAGAGGCACGAACCAAUUCCUGUCGACACCAUUCCAGAAGAGGUAUUUCUAAACUUCAAAGCUAUUAAGAGUUAUCGCCUUCUGAACCGGGCAUCUUUCCAACCUGUUCGGAGACUACCAGAACAUAGGUUGGCCAAAUUACCAUCCGAGUCCCCUGAUUUGAAACAUUUACUUGGAGACUUCGAUUGUGUAUAACCCAACACAAUCUACCUCGGUCCCCAUUGAGCCCACCUUAGAUAUGACCAAACCAGCCUCGACUGGUGGUAAGAAAAAGAAGGUAGCUAAGCGAAAAACCUCACCCUCUAAACAAAAGGCCAAAAAGAGAACCAUAGUCGAUACUUUCUCUUCACAGGAAGCUAUCAAAGACAUUCAGACUGAUUAUGGUCAUCCUCAUACCCCACCUUUCCACUCGUCCAAAGUACCCUUCGACGUUUCAAGAAACACUACACACACUCACGGGGAGUUUCCAUACAAUACACCCUCACCUUCCCAACAAGGUCAUGUCAGUGUUGAACAUAGUUCCUUGCACCCACUGGAACAAACCCAUGAUUCAUGUUGAACAUCCGUCCUUUCUCUUCUACAGAAGCACGAUUCGAGAUUCGCGUCUUGGAUCCCAAGCAUUUCGAAGCAGGAGUUAUACCUAAAGUCUCGGACACCACAACUGGUCAGAUACCUAGCAAAGGUAAUGGACGACCAAGUACUAAUGAUCCAGAUUGGAUAGACUUUGUUGACAGAGCUCACUCCAAACAUCCGGAACUUACUUGAUCCCAAGUGGAAGCAACACUUAUCUCCAUGGAAAUAGAAGUCUCCUUACCAUGAUGCUCUCUACUUAGAUCCUAAUAAAGAUCAUUCAUCAUACUUCAUGUUUGAUGAUGAUAGUGUCUCUAUUGCUACACCCCCAUUCAUUUCAUCCGCUCCUCUCUAUCAAAAGCCAUCUUCAUUAAGGCCCAUUCACGAAUUUGACCUUUCAUCAUCUUCUUCUAAACUAGUUGAUGAAGAAAUUAAGAUUGAAGACAAUGCUCACCGUAAUCUCGGAAGUGAAAUAGAAGCCAAUCCUCCCAAGGAUAAUCAUGCCAACAAUCCUCGCCCCUCCCGAACAACUAGUCAACCAAAAGGGUGAUAAAGCUAAGUUUGAGAGUUCAACCUCGGACACAGGAUCAUCAGCUGGAAAUUUUGUUGGUCCCUUUUGGAACUCCAAGACAACAUCUCCACUGUAGUAUCAAAAGUUAAAUCUUUUGACAAAUCUGUUGCUCAGCUCGAUUCUAAGUUUGAUGAAAAAGUGUAUGUCCUUGACACUAAGUUGGAUGCCAUAAUCAAAUCUAUCUCAGACGUGUGGAUCAACCUAUCUCUCUUAUAUGAAGAACAAUCACAACAUAUGGAUCAACCUAUCUCUCUUCGUCUCAAGCACGCCAUCGAAGAAGUUGAAGAAAAAUACAACUCCAGUCUCAAUCACUAUUUCGAAACAAUCACCACCAUGCUGAAAGUACAUGAUGACAUUAUUAGUGCAACCAAUGAGCUAAUUAAACAGUCUCACGUCAGGAUUGAGAAAAAAAUUCAACGGUUGGAGAAAGAGAUCAAGAAGAAAGACGAGAUGAAUCUGAUCAGGCAACAAGUGCUCAUCAAACUUCUCCGAGCCUGCUGGAAUUGUUGGAUAAGGUGUCUAAGUCCAUAACUAUUUCGGGCUUGUACUUGACCCGACCCGGCAUGGUCCAUUUGGGUUGCAUGGCACCAUGCAAUUGGAUAGACUAAAUGAGAGAAAUAACACUUGGAGAUUAUUAAUAUAUUAUAAGUUCUAAUAUAUUAAUAAUAUUAUUUGAUUAGUUGAUCAAAGAAUUAAUUUGGAAUUAAUUAAGUGAUCAAAGGAUAACUAAUUAAAUAUAUGGGUUGAUUAUGUAAAUCAUCCAUAUCUUGUAUAGUGGGCUAAGAGGCUCCAUGGAUUAUCAAGUUGGGUUCUACCCAUAGGAUGCUCCAUGGAUGCUCCAUGGGAGUUACAAACCCAUGGGUCAUGGAAAUGAAGAGUCAUGACACAUUAGGGUUUACAUGGUGUAACCCUAGAUGUGCCAACACUAUAUAAGAGUCCCAUUCUCCACAAAAUUGGCUACACAAGUUGAACACUAAGAAACUAGAGGGCUUGGCCGAUUUUGAGAAGUGUGUGUUAUCUCAAGAGUCUUUCCAAGAGCAUUUGGUGUUGUGUGAAGCAUUUGAGGCAUCACACUUGGGGUGCUAGGCUCACAAGGUUUCAAGGAACACAAGCAACAACAAGGUAAGUUAUUCUAUCUAUGAUUCAAGUUAAAAUUGUUCCCCAUGUAUGCUAGAUAGGAAUAUAACCUUGGAAUUCAACUUUGCAUGAUAAUUAGACAAACAUAGAUCCAAGGUUAUUAGGGUUGCAUGUACACUUAGGAAGUGUUAGAAUGCUCAAAACCCAUCAGUGGUAUCAGAGCCUAGGCUUGUUUGUUUGUUAUUUGUGCUUAAAAGUUGAAGAAAGUCGAAAAUUCUGCUGUCUGACUGAUGGACUCGGCGAGUCCAUGGGGAGGACUCGUCGAGUUCAUGUGUAUCUUCAACCUACUCGGCGAGUAGGUUUAUGCACUCGGCGAGUAGGGUCGACAGAGUGCAGAAUUUCGACUUGAGUUGCUGGAAAUGGAUUAGAAUCAUUACCCUAAAAUGUUUUGGUACUUGAAAACUUAUUUUAGAAGGUGUAAUGUCUUUUCUAACUCAUUUACAACAACUAGUUAUCAAAAUUACAAAGAUUAAAUGUGAUUUUGAUUCUUGAAAGUGUUCAUAUUCAUAUUCUUGUUCUUAUGAUGUUUAGAUGAUCAUAGGAAUUAUUUGUAACCUAUGUGGUAGAUUAAUUCAUGAUCAUAAUGUGUUUUAAUGGAGUCCAUAACUUGUCCUCAAGUUAUGGAAAACCAAAAGUCUCUUGGAUUAAAAACCAUUAAAAGAACACAAGAGUUAGGAAAAAUGAAAAGUCCUCAUUUUAUUACUCUAUUAAACUCAUAAGUUACAAGAAAUGAAAAGUUUUGAAAGUUUACAAAACUUGCCCUCAAGUUUUGGAACAAGUAAAGUUAAGUUAAAACUUUAGUUCCAACCCCUAGAAUUUUAAAAGUUAAAAUUCAACCCUUAUACUUAUAUUAUUAUGAUUUAAUAAUUAUAUAUAUAUGUAUAAGAACAAAGUCGUCUUACCGCUAGUACGCCUCAUUCACGAAGCCGGUCUAUAAGGUGGGUAUAAGGUUGUUGCCUAUAAAAUGGUGACUUAAUGGGUGUCCACUCUCACCCACCGCUUGCUUGAUCGGUGGAGGGUCGUUAGCCGAACGGGUAAGACAAGGACUUAUUAAUUCUCAUUCAAAGUAUGAUGAAUAUUAUAAAGUAACUAAAUGUUUUAUUAAAUUCCCAAUCUUAGUUACUUUAGGAAAAAUGUGAAUAAGGUGCUAUUCCAUGAAAUUACACUUUACACUUUGAUUAAGUCGUUGGUGGAGCGUGUGUGGUUAACCGGCACACUAACUUGGACUUAACAAGGUAGGUAAAGGGUGACUUAGGGUUUAUUAUAGUAUCGAUGGAGCGUGUGUGGUUAACCGGCACAUCGAUUGAGUGAUAAACUUUAAGGGUACCAAGUGAUUUGCAUGGUUACUUCACACCUCGUUUUGUGAUCCUCGGUAUCCCAGUCACAAAACUUGGAGGGCACACUCGAGAUUGAAACAUGCCUUUGAAAAGUUCAUUGAAUCUCAAAGAAUCUAGGAAUUUCUAAGAACCAUUCAAAAACCUAAUACUAAAAUAUUGCGGUUUUCGUGGUGGAAAUUGGUGAAUCGUCAUUCACCUACCUUUCAAAUAUGAUAUAGCUUAGAUUACGGCAUACCUCUUCUAAGUUAUAUUAUAUUGUGAUUGGAUCCUAGCCUUAAUAUUACAUUUGGGUGUUUUAUUAAGGACUCUCUUAUAUCUAAACUAAUCUUGUCCUCUUUCCUUCAGAUGUCUUUCAACAAUGCUUCUGGCUCUAAUCCUAAUGGCUCCUUUACCCUUAUGAACUUGUGUGGGAAAGUCACCUUUGAUGGAUCCAACUUCAAUGAGUGGAUCAGAAACAUCAGGAUGAUUACCCGCUACGAGGACAAAGAAUAUGUCCUUGACAAGGAGCUUAAGGAGAUUGAUGAGUCCACUGCAACUCCUCAGGAGAUCGCUGAAUUUCGGGCACAUGAAAGGGAUGCUACGAAAGUGGCUUGCAUCAUGAUGGCCACGAUGACAGCGGAACUCCAAAAGUCUUAUGAGGAUUUCUACCCUUAUGACAUGCACCAAGAUUUGAUGGAAAGAUACCAUCAAAGUGCAAGACAAGAGAGGUAUGAAAUCAUCUGCUCCAUGAUAACAACCAUGAUGAAGGACGGGGAAUCCGUCACGAGCCACAUGCAGAAAAUGCAAAGGUAUGUGGAUCGUUUGCUGAAGCUUAAUGUGAACUUCCCGGAGGAUCUUGCAAUAGAUAUUAUUUUGCAUUCCUUACCAUCGUGCUAUGAUCAAUUCCGCAUGACAUAUCACAUGAACAAGGAAGAAGUCACCCUCAGCAAACUUCAGGGACUUCUCAAGACCGCAGAAACAGGUCUUAAGGGGAAGUCGGUUGCUAUCACUCCUACUCAAAACUCUACUCCGGUUUUGGCAAUCGGGAAAAGUCGAGGGAGGAAGAGAAAGAGCUCUUCUAAGGGUACCAAGGCUCGGACCCUUGAUGGCUCUUCUUCAAGUGGAACCAAGAAAGGUUUCGUUACUCCUUCUUCUGACCCAAAAGAGGCUGAAUGCUUCUAUUGCCAUGAAAAAGCUCAUUGGAAGCGGAACUGCCCAAAAUACCAGCAAGAUGUGAAGGAUGGGAAAGUUAAACCCAACCAUGCAGGUAUUUACACUAUCAUUUCUAAUAACUCACCCCAUUCUAAUUCUUGGGUCCUUGAUACCGGGUGUGGUAUUCACAUUUGUUGUGACUUGCAGGGACUAAGAAGAAGUGAGGAUGUGGAGCAAGGAAGGAUAAACUUGAUCAUGGGGAAUAGGAAAGCUAUACCUGUUACCAAGAUUGGAGUUUAUACUUUAUCGCUAAGUAGUGGGUUUAGUUUAGAUUUGAAUAAGUGUUGUUAUUCGCCAGGAAUGGCAAGAAAUAUUAUUUCCUUUCAUGCUUUGUACAAACAAGGGUUUACCUUUUCAUUUAAUAAUGAAGUUGGUUCUAUAGAUGUUUUCUAUAAUAAUGUCUUUUAUUUUAAAGCAUUACCUUGUGAUGGUGUGUAUGAAGCUGUAUCUGUUGUAGAUAACUUGGGAAAUAAUGUUUUGUGUAUUGAUUCUACUAAUAAUAACUUGGAUAAAGCAUCUUUAUGGCAUUGUCGUCUUGGACAUAUAAGCAAGAAACGCAUAGGCCAACUCCAAAAGGAUGGAGUCUUGGAGUCGUUUGACCUAAAGUCAGAUGAUAGUUGCGAAUCAUGCUUACUUGGAAAAAUGACAAAGUCACCCUUCACAGGUUCGUGUGAGAGGGGUGAAGGUUUGUUGGACCUUAUACACACGGAUGUGUGUGGACCAUUCAAACAUGCCACAAGGGAUGCUAAUCGUUAUUAUUUGACUUUUACUGAUGAUUAUAGUAGAUAUGGAUAUGUCUACUUGAUCAAGCAUAAGUCAGAGACUUUCGAGAGGUUUAAGGAAUUUAAACAGGAAGUCGAGAAUCAAUUGGGCAGGAACAUUAAGAUGCUUCGAUCCGAUCGUGGUGGUGAGUAUCUUAGUUCAGAGUUCCUCGACUAUCUAAGGGAAUGUGGGAUAGUCUCACAAUUGACACCUCCCAGGACACCACAGUUGAAUGGUGUGGCUGAGAGGCGUAAUCGAACCUUGUUAGAUAUGGUUCGUUCCAUGAUGAGUCGAGCUACGCUACCAAUCUCAUUCUGGGGGUAUGCCUUAGAGACUGCCGCCCAUAUUCUUAAUCUAGUCCCUACAAAGAAAGUUGCCAAAACUCCUCACGAGAUGUGGACUGGUAAAGUACCUAAACUAGACCACAUCAAGAUUUGGGGUUGCGAGGCUUUCGUGAGACGCGAGACUCAUGAUAAGCUCGAACCUCGAAGCGAGAGGUGUAUUUUCAUCGGUUACCCACAGCGAUCCUUUGGUUACCUCUUCUACAGACCUAGUGACAAUGUGGUCUUUGUAGCAAGAAGAGGAGUCUUUCGAGAAAGAGAGUUUAUAAGCCAAGGAGACAGUGGGAGGCAAAUUGAUCUUGAAGAAAUUCAAGAAUCAAGCGGUGAAGGAACUUCAAACUCUAGCCCUCAACUUGAGGAGGAAACUCCUGUUGAGCCAAUUGACAAAUCUGUACCUCUGAGACGUUCCACGAGAGUUAGGAGUGCACCUGAGCAUUACUAUGGAUUCCAUAUUACUGCAGAAGGUGAGACACUUAUUAGUGAUGAGACACUAGUAAGUCAAGAUGACCCUAACAGCUACGAGGAAGCCAUGGCAGGCCCCGAGUCUGCUAAAUGGAAAGAGGCUAUGGAUAGCGAGAUACAAUCCAUGUAUGACAAUCAAGUUUGGAACUUGGUUGAAAAUGUACCAGGUCGUAAGACAGUAGGGUGCAAAUGGGUCUUCAAGAAGAAGACCGACAUGGAUGGUAAAGUACACACUUAUAAGGCUAGACUGGUUGCAAAGGGCUUCUCUCAAAUUCCUGGAGUGGAUUAUGAUGAGACCUUUUCUCCGGUAGCCAAGAUUAAGUCUAUUCGGGUUCUGUUAGCCAUAGCUGCAUUUCAUGACUAUGAAAUAUGGCAGAUGGAUGUCAAAACCGCUUUCCUUAAUGGAAAGUUGGCUGAAGAUGUUUACAUGAGUCAGCCAGAGGGUUUUGUCAGCAACGAGUACCCUAAUAGAGUGUGUAAGCUUGAGAAAUCCAUUUAUGGAUUGAAGCAAGCACCUCGCAGAUGGAAUCUUUGCUUUGAUGAAAAGGUCAAGGAAUUUGGCUUUUCUAGGAGUGAAGAUGAAUCUUGUGUGUAUGUCAAGGCUAGUGGGAGUAUAGUUAGCUUUUUGGUAUUGUAUGUGGAUGACAUACUACUCAUAGGAAACGACAUUCCAACCCUGCAGGAAGUAAAGUCCUGGCUUGGGAAGUGUUUCGCUAUGAAGGACCUUGGUGAAGCUGCCUAUAUUCUAGGGAUAAGAAUCUUGAGAGAUCGGAGUAAAAGACUAAUUGGACUUAGUCAGAGUACCUACUUGGAUAAGGUGCUGAAGAGAUUCAGCAUGCAGGAUUCCAAGAAAGGAGAGUUACCCAUCCAGAGUAACACCAGAUUGAGUAAGACACAAAGCCCUAGCACUGAGGCUGAGAUAGCAGAAAUGAGUCGAACACCUUACGCUUCGGCUGUAGGAUCGAUCAUGUAUGCUAUGACGUGUACUCGACCCGAUGUAGCUUUUGCCUUGAGCAUGGUUAGCAGGUAUCAGGCGAACCCUGGCAAGGCACACUGGACUGCGGUAAAGAAUAUCCUCAAGUACCUACGGAGGACUAAGGACUGGGUCCUUACCCUCGGUGGGAGUGAUGACUUGAGAGUUGUAGGGUAUAGUGAUGCUAGCUUCCAGACUGAUAGGGAUAAUUUCCGCUCUCAGUCGGGCUGGGUCUUUACCCUAAACGGAGGAGCAAUUUCUUGGAAGAGUUCCAAGCAAGAGACAGUGGCAGAUUCUACUUGUGAAUCAGAGUAUAUUGCAGCUAGUGAAGCAGCAAAGGAGGCGAUAUGGCUGAAGAACUUCAUUGGAGACCUUGGAGUUGUACCAGCUAUUAAAGAGCCAAUGGAAAUUUUCUGUGAUAGUGAAAGUGCUGUUGCCUUAGCCAAGGAACCAAGGGAUCAUGGGAGAUCCAGACACAUCGACAGAAAAUACCAUUUCAUUAGACAUCGGAUCGAAGAAGGACUCCUCGUGGCAAAGAGGGUAUCAUCGGAUGAGAACCCAGCAGAUCCCCUCACGAAGGGACUGAGUAGGGUUAAGCAUCUCCAGCAUGCUCGGAGCAUAGGGCUGAAGGAUGAUAUAAGUUUUAGUAGUUAGAUAACCCAGAAAUUUGUAAAGUGUAAUUGACAUUUGAUGAUGAAUAAAAGGUGUUUUAUUUAUGAGUAAAGUGUUGCUAUCUCUUGUCGAUCGUUUACUAUAUUUCUUUUGCAUGUUUUGACUUCCAGAAUAAUUUUGUUUGGUAUAACAUAUUAUUCAAACCUCCACAGUCGGUCAUAUGUUGGAAGUAGAUAUGAAUCAAGACUGUCAUGUUUGGUUGUAGAGGUCUUGGACAAGGCUACAACAAUCAUGAGUGCUCAUAAGUUCUGAGCAUUGGACUCAACCCACGCUCACUGGAAUCACUUCAUGGAAUUCUAUCUCGAGUGAUCGUGAGACGGUAAUAUCAUAUAAGUCUUCAAACCUAGAGAUAUGAUUUGUUACUUACAAGUUGGUUAUGCAUUGACUGUACGAAACCGCAUUGGUAACUCGAUGUUAUAAAACGUACUUUUGUGUGUAAUUCAAUGAGUGGUAGAACAAACAUAUGAGUCGAAGUUUAUCUGUUCCUUCUUGGAUUAGAAGCUGAUAUCUGGGCCCCUCGAUGAUUUUGUUUUGACCCAUGUACCGGGCCCGGUCAGAACUAAGUUGAUGUGUUCAAUUAAGUUCUAUGUCAAACAAAUCGGAAAUCGGGAAACAAAUGCUGGACAAUAAGCAAGACAAUGUUCCAUGUAUUUGUCCGGCUGAUAUCUAGAACGGAGGAUUAUAUGAUCACUUAUCUUAAAUGGCGUACCAUCAUCUUCUCAGUUCCGAGAGACCUUGAAAGAGCUACGAUUGCCGGUCGGUUCCUGAAGUACUAGAGAUAUAGUUAUUAGACUUAUCCAAGUGGGAGACUGUUGGAUAAGGUGUCUAAGUCCAUAACUAUUUCGGGCUUGUACUUGACCCGACCCGGCAUGGUCCAUUUGGGUUGCAUGGCACCAUGCAAUUGGAUAGACUAAAUGAGAGAAAUAACACUUGGAGAUUAUUAAUAUAUUAUAAGUUCUAAUAUAUUAAUAAUAUUAUUUGAUUAGUUGAUCAAAGAAUUAAUUUGGAAUUAAUUAAGUGAUCAAAGGAUAACUAAUUAAAUAUAUGGGUUGAUUAUGUAAAUCAUCCAUAUCUUGUAUAGUGGGCUAAGAGGCUCCAUGGAUUAUCAAGUUGGGUUCUACCCAUAGGAUGCUCCAUGGAUGCUCCAUGGGAGUUACAAACCCAUGGGUCAUGGAAAUGAAGAGUCAUGACACAUUAGGGUUUACAUGGUGUAACCCUAGAUGUGUCAACACUAUAUAAGAAGCAUAUUCUCCACCAAAAAUUGGACUACUAAGGAACUAGAGGGUUUGGCCGAUUUUGAGAAGUGUGUGUUAUCUCAAGAGUCUUUCCAAGAGCAUUUGGUGUUGUGUGAAGCAUUUGAGGCAUCACACUUGGGGUGCUAGGCUCACAAGGUUUCAAGGAACACAAGCAACAACAAGGUAAGUUAUUCUAUCUAUGAUAAAAGUUAAAUUGUUCCCCAUGUAUGCUAGAUAGGAAUAUAACCUUGGAAUUCAACUUUGCAUGAUAAUUAGACAAACAUAGAUCCAAGGUUAUUAGGGUUGCAUGUACACUUAGGAAGUGUUAGAAUGCUCAAAACCCAUCAGGAAUAUCAUGGAUGUUCUGAACAAUAAUUUCGAUGAAAUGUUGUCCAUCCUUGGUUCUUUAUUUGAUCAUCUUAAAGCUUAGGCUCCGACAGCUGAAGCAUAUGACACCCUCACCCUAGAGAUGAACACCAACUUUCAGAAGGUGUUUAAUCGUCUUUUAGAUUUUCAGCACUCUAUAUUGCUUGCCUCGGUUCCCAGGCUAUCCGAUACAAGAGGGGGAGAAGGCCCAAGCACCAGAGAAAAAUCUAUCUCGUGGAAGUCUACCUCGUAGUUCAAACUCUGAGAUGAGUCUGAUGACGAUUCUUUUCAAAUUAUCUCCAUAGGUACUCCUAAUGAUGAAGAUGAUGUAGAAGUGGACUACAUCACCAAUGUUAUGGUAGGACUUCAAGCACCUAUGAAAUCUUUGGCAAAAAUUCUUUUCGAGGAAGUGCAUAGGCUAUGGUCAGCUGUAUCAUGGCCAUCAUCCUUAGCUGAUGUUUUGAAAGAAGCAAAGAAAUAGCAAUGGAAAAGACCAAGCGUACAGUUGAUGCUUUCCGAGCCACUCAAUCAAUACCAGCUCCAAUUCCCUUACCAAGAAUAUUUCCAAUUGACGAAGGUUCUCCACUUCAGAAACUUGAUAAUCUACCGAAGGAUCCUCUGAUUUUUUCCAUCUCCAAAGUUUAUCAUUGAUGAGAAUAUGCAACAAGUCAUCUCGGUUCUCACCAAACAACAAGACAAAGGCAAAAAGCCUGUUUUGGAAUUUCAAAGCUCCAAACCAUUCACCAAAAUGUCCGAAGGUUGGUCCCAUGCUGAGAUAGAUCGAGCCUUCGAAAAAAGCAUCCUAAUUCAUCCCAUGAAAGCAUCCUAAUUCAAGCCUUGGAAGAAAGCAUCCUAAUUCAUGCCAUGAAAGACAACCCCAACCCGGAUUCGGACCAACUUGAUCUUCCCAUCUCUCCAUAUGGCAAGUUUUAUAUCAAAUUCGCUCCUCUCAACGUAGAAGAUGAUCCUCAAGUGAUUAUCAAAACAGAAAGAGAACGUUUGAAGACAUUUUUUGCUCCUUGAACGCACAUCCCCAAAAGGAAGUAUGGUCUCGGAAGAGAAUCACCAAGAUAUAUGGGUUCGGAAGGAAAUUUUUGACGAAGUUUGAUUUGGAUUGCCUCUUACAUCGCUAUGAUGUAUAUUGGAACAAGCCGACUCAUCUCACCAUCUCGGAUGUCUACUUUCCUAUGAUCAAUCCAAAUGACAUCUUGACAAAUAGACUAUAAGUCAUUUAAAAAUAUAAGGAGGAUGUGACAUUUAAAAAACUCUUUUUGAAGGUUUGAAAAGUACUUAUCUAUUUGAUAUAUUUAGACUUAUUGACAUUUUGAAAAAGAGAUAUUUACUUGAAAGGGUAACAUACUUUCAUUUUUCUUUACAUUUUGUUAUACAAAAUUUUUAAUAUUUGAUUUACACAUGAAUUAUUUGAAGGUAUUUAUAUUUUAAUAUUAUGACCGGUUGUAGUCUUGUAGAUGGUUAUAGGUGAAAAAUGCAGACCAUUUCAAAUAAUUAAUAUGUAAAUCAGGUUAGAAAUAAAAGUUAGUUAUUAAAUGUAAACAAAACUAAAGAUUAUUUAUGCUUUCAAAUCAUUAUCCUUGAAGUUUCCUAUGUUUAGUUCCAAAAAAUAUACGAUUGUGUUCUUUGUCUAGUUUCAUUUUUUUCAGGCUAGCUUGUUUUUUUAAAAAAAAAAAAUAGAAGUUGAUGUUGUUUGGAAAAAAUAUGAUAUAGCUUCCAAGCUCUUUCUUUACUUUGUCAUUGCCCAUAUGCAUUUCCUUUUUAAAACAGAUAACUUAAAAAAAUGGAUCUAAAAACUUCUAUUUGGUUCGAAUAUGUUUUAAACUAAUUGAUAACGAUGAAAGUGCACAAUGACUCCUCUCAUGAAAUCCUAAGUGGGCGUGUAAGAAUAAGCAAAUUAUAUUCGAUUAAAAUUUGAAAAGUAAACAUAAGUGGUUCGUUUGUUUUUUAUGUAUUAAAAUAAAAAUAAAAAAUCAAAUAUUCUUAUAAAGACGUGUUAAUUAUAAAUCCUUUUCCUAGUUUUUCAUGUUGUUUCUAAUCCGUGGCNNNNNNNNNNNNNNNNNNNNNNNNNNNNNNNNNNNNNNNNNNNNNNNNNNNNNNNNNNNNNNNNNNNNNNNNNNNNNNNNNNNNNNNNNNNNNNNNNNNNNNNNNNNNNNNNNNNNNNNNNNNNNNNNNNNNNNNNNNNNNNNNNNNNNNNNNNNNNNNNNNNNNNNNNNNNNNNNNNNNNNNNNNNNNNNNNNNNNNNNNNNNNNNNNNNNNNNNNNNNNNNNNNNNNNNNNNNNNNNNNNNNNNNNNNNNNNNNNNNNNNNNNNNNNNNNNNNNNNNNNNNNNNNNNNNNNNNNNNNNNNNNNNNNNNNNNNNNNNNNNNNNNNNNNNNNNNNNNNNNNNNNNNNNNNNNNNNNNNNNNNNNNNNNNNNNNNNNNNNNNNNNNNNNNNNNNNNNNNNNNNNNNNNNNNNNNNNNNNNNNNNNNNNNNNNNNNNNNNNNNNNNNNNNNNNNNNNNNNNNNNNNNNNNNNNNNNNNNNNNNNNNNNNNNNNNNNNNNNNNNNNNNNNNNNNNNNNNNNNNNNNNNNNNNNNNNNNNNNNNNNNNNNNNNNNNNNNNNNNNNNNNNNNNNNNNNNNNNNNNNNNNNNNNNNNNNNNNNNNNNNNNNNNNNNNNNNNNNNNNNNNNNNNNNNNNNNNNNNNNNNNNNNNNNNNNNNNNNNNNNNNNNNNNNNNNNNNNNNNNNNNNNNNNNNNNNNNNNNNNNNNNNNNNNNNNNNNNNNNNNNNNNNNNNNNNNNNNNNNNNNNNNNNNNNNNNNNNNAUAUAUAUAUAUAUAUAUAUAUAUAUAUAUCGGCAAAUUUUUUAUUAAAUUAAAAACUAACAAGAAGAUAAAACACCAAGAAAAUAAAAUGUUACAUAAUAACUAACAUUGGACUUUGAAGCCAACCCAACCAACUAUAUUCGGUCUUAUAUCUAUUCUGAAACCAAGUAAAGGAAUUGAGGAUAAUGUUAUCAAAGAUGACAUAUUUUCGUGGCUUAAUAUUACCAAAGAGCAUCCUAUUCCUAAAACUUCAAAUAUGUCACCACGAGACAACAUAAACUACUUUCAGAAAAUAUCUUUGAUAUUUUGAAAGCCGAUGAACCAACAAGCAAACCAACUAAUCUCAAAAUAGGCUUAUCAUUACCUCACCAAUGAAACACUCUCUCUUGAACCUCCAAAGCAAACAAACAAGAGAAGAAAAGAUGAUUAACGGAAUCAACAUCAUUACCAUACAUAGGAUAUUGCAAGGAAGAAAGACUUAUCCCUCUUCUCGAACAAAUCAAAUGGGUAGGCAAGAAAUUCCUAGCCAAUCUCCAAGCAAAAAUAUUCACUUUUAUGGGUAAAAUAUGAACUCAUCUAGUGACCACUGAACACGUAGGUAACUGAGUCUCAUCAAUACGAGCCUGAGCUGAAGCCACCAGAGCCAAAUAAGCUCUAAAUCCAGAGUAAUCACAAGAGCCCAAUAAGCUCUAAAUCCAUCUAUAUGGAAUAUUAAACAAAGAAACAAAAGCCACGAGAUAAAAAAGAAUGUCACUCUAGGACACCUAGUUAUCUCCACUUGUAGGACAUUGUAAGGAAGAAAGAUUUAUCCCUCUUCUUAGUCCCCCUUAUUGGUUACCUCUAAAACCAAGAAAAAAUGAAUAAUCAUUUUAUGUAACAAUCACUUGCCUAUUAUGCUCCACUAAAAACAAUCUAGGAAACCUAGUUAUCAAAGGAAAAUUUUCUUACCAAAACUUCUUCUAAAAAAAAAGUAGACUCUCCAUUUCCCAUAGUAUUCUUACAAAAAGACAACAUUCAAUACAUUUGGCGUUAAGAUGAUGCAUAAACCUAUCAAUAUCAGUCCAAAUCGAUAUAAAAGAGGAAGAAGUGGCACGCAAAUUACAAUGAUACCCUUGUAUAACUUUGACCACUCAAACCCACAAAGCAUUUGGUUUUUUCAAAAACCACCACAUCUAUUUAAACAUAAGGGAUCGAUUCAUAACAAAAAACUAUUGGCACCAAGACCACUAUUCUAAUACCUUAUCCCAACUAACCCGUGAUAUCUUUUUCUCAUCAACUUCAAUGCCAAGAAAUAUAUUCAUUUUCAAAGACUGUAACUUAGUAAGAAUACCCGUUGGAGCCUUAAGAAGAGAUAAACAGUAAGUAGGAACGGAAUCCAAAAUAGACUUCAAUAAAGUCAAUCUACCACCAAUUGACAAUGAUUUAACGUUCCAUCUAGACAACCAGACGUACACCUUUUAACACAUCUCACUCAAAGAAUUUUAAUGAUCCAUAGAGCAUCCCACAAGAAUGCCAAAAAAGGGUAAAGAUUAAUUCUACAUACACCUUUCCAUAGAAUAUCCCACAAUCGCUAACGGAAAAUGGUAGCUCAACUUCCUCAAAUCUAACACCAAUUAUUAGAAUCCUGCAUUCCUUAAGAUUAAUUCUAAGACCUGAAGCCAAGAAAAACCAUUGAAUAAUUCUAAUAAUAUGACGAUGGUUAGAAUCACUCCAUUCUCCAAUAAAAACUACAUCGUUAUCAUAAAAUAAGUGAGAUAUAUGGAUUGGAGCUACGGAACUAAUAGAUAUACUAGAAAAAUUCCCUAAUCCACUAUGUUCAUAAAAUAAAUAGGAUGCACUUCCAUGAUGUGGUUAAACAAAAAUGGAGAUAAAGGAUCACAUUGACGCAACCCUCGAGGAAACUGAAUCUCUUUUGUAGGGCUACCAUUCACAUACACAAAUCCCAUUAAAGACUUAAGAAUACCGGAUGGAGCCCUUAAAAAGAUAAAUAAUAAGUAGGGACUAAACCUAAAAUAGACUUCAAUACAGUCAAUCUACCACCGAUUGACAAUGAUCGUCAACAUAAGAUAAGUGAGAUAUAUGGACCGGAGCUACCAAACCAAUAGAAAUACGAGGGAAAACUCCUUAAUCCACUUUGUCCAUAAAAGAAAUAUGAAGCACUCUUCCAUGAUGAAGAUAAACAAAAAACUGAGAAAAGGAUCACCUUGUGACAAAUAGUAAAAUUACGUACACGUUCAAUGAUUAAACCAUCGGGGACACUUUGUAAUAGACCUAAUGUAAUGUAUUCCCCACUUUUAAAAGAAAGUAACGUUUUCAUACUAAAAUAUGCAUACGAAAUAACACAUUAGUCAUCAAUGGAUACAGAUCAUUAACAAACAAACACUAUUCACAAUACAUAAUUAAUAAUUAAUACAUGAAAAACAAAAGUUUUGUAUUUAGUAUUUUUUUUUUCACAAAUAACACUCUAAACGGAUAAAGCAUGUAAAUACAACUUUGCUCAUAUAAAAAACGUCCAAAACGAAGAUCAUACAAGAAAGUAAUGACCAUUUUAAGGAAGCAAAUUAGUAAUAUAUCUAAUUUUCCCUUAAAUGAACUUUAAAUCAAUUCAUAGGUUUGGCUACGCAUUUAGUUAGGUAUUCUUGAACAUAUUUUGGAAUCUGACAGUUUUAUGAUAUUUGAUUCCAGUUUCAAAAGUUUUAUAUCACAAAGUUAUAGCACUUCCACGAAAACUAUUUAAUCGCGAUAACCGGAAAACAACUAAAUUCUAACUUUGAACGUGUUUUUGAUAUAGUUUCGUCUUUCAUUAGAAAAUUUUGUUUACAUAUUUGGAAACACCAUUAUUGGGAUAUCAUACUAGUGUUUCCAAAAAAAUGUGAGAAGUCAUUUUUUGUUGGAUUUCUGCACAGUUCGAGGUCACGACACAUGUCAGGAUUGUGGUGGAUAUGCUUUGUGUGACGUGGGUGCGAAAAGUGUAUAUUUCUUGUGGCUUCUAGAUUUCUAUAAAAGGGAGAGAGGAGGUCUCUCUCACACUGCAUAUCUCCAAUUUCACUCUAGUCUCUCUCCCUCUCUCUCGACAUUCGCUCUCUGUCUCUCUCUCUCUAUUUCUUUCUUUCUUUCUCUCUCUCUCUCUCUCUCUCUCUCUCUCUCUCUCUCUCUCUCUUUCUUUCUCUCUUGUUUUCUGAUCGUCAACGUCACCACUGGCAGCCACUACCACUAGUACAAAACUGCAAAUUGGUCACACAUAGUCGGAAUUGAAUGACAACACCUUCGAAUAUUUAUGUCGCUAAAGGUACAAAAAUAAGUUUCACGUUAUUAGUUAGCCACAUAUGAACUCCGAUCAUGUGAUAAUUCAGAAAUGUAUUGCCGCACAUUUGAACAUUUAUAUGGCUAAAGAUCCCUGAUAAAUUUUGGUUGAUUAUUAAGCCUAAUAUGAACUUCAAACAUGUGAUAAUUGAAUAGUAAUUUUGAAGAAUGAGUCACGAUAUACUUGCAAAAAGUGAGAAAUCUAUGUCACACACAUGAACACUGUGAUGAAAUACCAUAUACGGUUACAUGCAGGAAUUUUUUAUGUGUCUAAAUCAUAGAUUUGAGUUUGUCACACAUGAUUUCAGUGUAGCAAAAAUCUAGUACAUAUGGUCACAUAACUUAUUAAGUGAGUCUAAAUUUUAGCGUAUAUUAACAUGCAAAAUGUUAAUGUGUAUAGUCACAAUGAAUUUCUAGCAUGAUCAUGUGACUCUAUGGCAAAAAAGGUUAUCAUUAAAUUUGAUAUUAGUCACAAUGAGUGUGUGUGUAUGUGUGUCUAAAUCAUGAGACUAUAUAUGGUGACAUGAAGUAAUUAUUUAUGUUUCUAAAUCUUAGAGUCGAGCUUGUCAUGCAUGAUAUUAAUGUAGUAAAAAUCCAGUACAUAUGAUCAUAUAACUUAUUAUAUGUGUCUUAAUUUUAGUGUGUAUUAACUUGCCAAAAGCUAAUGUGUAUGGUUAAAUAAUAAGUAUUGGGAUUCAAAUCAAAUUAACAUUUAUCUCACUUGGCUAUCACGUUUCUUUGUAGAUUGAUGGAAAUUAAUGUUUAAUCCAACUUUUAGAAACUUUUUGAAUAUUAAAGUCUUUUUGACCUAAUAAUAUAAUAUGUUCAGUGUAGUUGAGUAGAAAUGGUAUGGUCAAUUAUAUGGUCAAAUGGUUUUUGUCAAUCUCUAGAGGCUUUUAGUCACUCGCGGAUUUGCACAAUCUUUUCUGUUGUUUUCCGGAUGAUCUCCGGACCAGUGAGAGUGCUGUCAGGAACUUGUCAUUUAGCUAGUUGUGUGUCACCCACCUCAACCCAUCAAUGAGGGGAUCUGCACUUCCGUCCAUAGAGGGCUUCGAAUGGAGCAACUUUGAUACUAGUAUGGUAGCUGUUUUUGUAUGAAAACUCAACCAAUGGUAAACAAAUAUCCCAUGUUUUACCAAAGUCGAUCACACAAGUUCUCAACAUGUCCUCUAAUGUUUGUGUGGUUCUCUCACUAUGUCCAUCAGUUUGUGGGUGGUAGGCUAUACUCAUGUCCAGCCUCGUCCCCAAGGGUUUUCGUAGCGAAUGCCAGAAUAUUGAGGUGAAUCCAAUAUCUCUAUUAGAGAUAAUCGAUAUGGGUAUACCAUGUAGUCGUACAAUCUCUCUAAUGUAUGUUCUGGUCAGUUUCUCCAUCUUGUUAGUUUCUUUGAUUGGUAGGAAGUGCGCGGACUUGGUUAACCUGUCAACGAUCACCCAAAUGGUAUUGAGACCACCCGUUGUCUUGGGAAACUUCGUUAUAAAAUCCAUUGUAAUCUGCUCCCACUUCCACUCAGGUAUCUCGAGUUGUUGUAGUAAACGUGAGGGCUUUUGUUACUCUACCUUAAAUUUGGCGCAAGUAAGAAACUUGCCCAGGAAGGUAUCAAUCUUUGCUUUCAUAUUAGGCCACCAAUAUCACUUUUUGAGGUCUAGAUACAUAUUGUUUGAAGCUAGAUGAACGGAGUAUCGAGUAUUGUGUGCUUCGUUCAUGAAAAUGUCUCUGAAACCACCAAGCUUUGGUGUCUGGAUCCUAUCCAUGAGGUAUAAGACUCUGUCUCCCUUGACUUCUAAGCUCUUAUCCAUCCGUCUCAGGGUUUCACCUGCCAAAUUUUCAGGUUUCAAGGCUUCCUGCUGAACCCCCUUAAUUUGUGUGGACAAAUGUGAAUGGAUUGUGAUAGUCAAUGUCUUGACUCUACGACCUGAGUAGUCUUUCCGACUUAGGGCAUCAGCUACUACAUUGGCUUUACCGGGAUGAUAACGAAUUUUGCAUUCAUAUUCAUUUAGUAGCCCGACCCACCGUCGCUGUCUCAUGUUAGGCUCCUUCUAGUCGAAUAUAUGUUGAAGGCUUUUAUGGUCUAUAAAGAUAGUGAUUUUUAUAUCGUACAUGUAGUGUCUCUAGAUCUUUAGAGCAAAUACUAUUGCUCUUAACUCAAGAUCAUGAGUAGUGUAGUUGACAUCAUGUGUCAUAAGCUAUCUUGAGGCAUAUGCGAUGACCUUUCCCCGUUACAUAAGAACACAGCCAAGCCCGUGGUUGGAUGCAUCGCAGUAUACCAUGAAAUCUUCUAUCCUUUUUGGGAGGGGUAAUAUCGGUGCGCUACAUAAGGUUUGCUUCAACGUUUCGAAUGCUUUUUCUUGUUUCUCUUCCAGUAAAAGGUCACACCCUUCUGGGUCAAGGUGGUGAGUGGUUUCGCGAUUUUUGAGAAGUUUUGAAUGAAUCUGCGAUAGUAGCCAACGAGGCCUAAGAAUUAACGGAUUUCCAUAGGUGUCCUAGGUGCUGACCAGUCCUCGAUGGCCUUGAUUUUGGAAGGGUCCACGUGAAUUCCCUCUUUGCUGACCACGUGAACCAGGAAUUCAACUCUCCGAAUCUAAAAUUCGCAUUUAGAGAACUUCUCAUUAGCUUCUCUGCUCGUAGUGUUUCCAAGAUCAGUCGUAAGUGUCGACUGUGUUCCUCUUUACUGCGAAAGUAGAUAAGUAUGUCAUCGAUGAAUACUACCACAAACUUAUCUAAGUAAGGACGACACACCCGUUUCGUUUAUUCCAUGAACACCGUGGGCGCAUUGGUUUAUCCGAACGGCAUCACUACAAAUUCGUAGUGACCAUAACGAGUUUGGAAGACUGUUUUGGGAACAUCUUCCUCUAAGACUCAUAACUGGUGAUACCCGUAUAUUAAGUCAAUCAUUGAAAAGCAGCUUACUCCCUGAAGUUGGUCGAACAAGUCGUCUAUCCGUGGUAGAGGGUAUCAUUUCUUAACGUUCAGUUUGUUUAGCUUGCGACAGUCGAUGCAAAUUCGAAACGAUCCAUCCUUCUUCACGACAAGAAUGGUGCUCCACAGGGGUGAGAAGGUUGGUCUAAUGAGUCACUUUCUAAGUAGUUCGUUCAGUUGACUAGAUAGUUCCUGCAUCUCAGCUGGUGUUAGUCGAUAGGACGAUUUGGCUACAGGGGUAGUUCCUAUAAUUAAGUCGAUUCUGAACUCGACUUGACGUCGUGGUCGUAAUCCUGAAAGUUCUUCGGGAAAGAUGUCAGCAAAGUCGCAGACUUCUGGGAUGCUCUUUAUGUCUUUUCCCUUUUGACUCACAUCAACUACGUGAGCAAGAAACGCAUGAUAUUCCUUUCGUAAGUACAUCAUGGCAUGAAUACUCGAGUUGAUUUGGAGGUUCGUACCUGGUUUGUUGCCAUAUAUAACUAGGGUUUCGCUAUUCGGUAGAUUAAGAUGAACGAUUUUCUCAAAACACAUGAUGUAAGCACGAGGAAGACUCAACCAAUCCAUGCCCAUAAUGACUUCAAAACUUUUAAUUGUGGCAUGCAUGAGGUUGUUAGGGUUCUCAGUCUUCCCAUUAGCCAUUUCUAUUAUGAACGUUUCUUCUAGUGCUCGUGGUGGUUGUUUAAGUAAGUAUUUAAAUUUUUUAUUCACGAAACUCCUCUCCGCUCCACUAUCAAAGAGUAUGCAUGCAUAAGAGUUAUUGAGGAGAACCAUAGAUGUGACCACCGUAGGGUUUGCCACAGCUUCCUCAUGGCCUAUCACCAAAAAUAUCCCUACUCCACCAGUAUUCCCUACUUUUGGAGAAUUCCUUUUGUACUUUGCAACUUCACCGCACCCAUAGUAGGCCUGGCCUACUCAAAUACCAGGGACCUGGGUGAUUGGUCUUGUCGGUGGUUUACAUAAAUGGGCAGUGUGCCCCUUCCUAAUGUAGUUAGCACAUUGCAUCUCUUGUCAAGGUCCAUUGUGAUGCAAGUUGCACUUGUUGCACUUAGGCAGACUUCCGGCAUACUGCUUUGCUGGUGCAAGGACAGCAGGGGUUGUUGCGGCAUGAACAGCCACAAUCUGCUAUUUCUUAGCGGGGUCCUGUGCUGAUUGGUUCUUCUUUCUGUCCCAAAACUUUCUCUUAUUGUCGUUCGCUUUGGAUGGUUCUGGGACAGAGGUUGUUACUUAUGAAUGGACUCCAUGGUCAAUGAGUCUCUGUGCCAAUCGUUUGGCACUAUCAAAUGUAGAGGGGUUCAAAGAUAAACCACUUCCCUAGAAUGGAGACAACAGUCCCCCGAUGUACCUCUCGAUCUUCUUACUCUAUGUAGGGACCAUCCCCAUACAUAGAGCCCUAAGAUCACUAAACCUAUUAGUGUAAGCUACUAUGUUAGAGCCUUUCAUAGUAAGGCCCCAAAGUUCCUGUUCUAAUAUCUAAACUUCUCCCCUCGGGUAGUAUUCUCCCCUCAUCAGAUCUUCCAGUGUUUCCCAGCCCAUCGAGUUAGCCACUAUGUGUGUAAGUGACUUGACAUGGCCAUUCCACCAUGUGAGGGCCAUGUCGGCGAAGGUGCAGGUAGAAAAUUUAACUUUACUUCCUUCAAGGCAAGAGCAGAUCUCGAAGAUAGACGCUGGUUUCUCAAACCAUUGCGAUAAGGAAAUAAUUCCACCGCUAUCGUUAAAGGUUUUGGGUUUGCAAUUGGUGAAGUCCUUCUAUGAACAAUCCCUAGGGUGCCCAUGACUAUCACCUUGGGUAGAGUUAAUACCCGUGCCACCCCCACUAGUACCGCUAGUGUUGAUCUUUUUUAAGGCAGCCUUCACAGCUGUGAUCAUUGUAGCUUGAAAAACUACAGGAUCGAAUUGUGGAGGAUGUGGUGGUUGAGUUUAAGUUAUUGGUGGAUUGCGUCUGUUUGAUUUACGAGGAGGCAUCUUUCACCUAUAAGUUUUUAAAAAUGAAGAUAAUGGUAAGAUGUAAAGAGUGAGUAUAAUGUGAGUGUUCCAUGAACUAAUUCACCCUAGUUCAACAUGUAAUUGUUUAAUUGUUUGCAAUAGAGCUCUAUCAUUAGAAAGUGAAUGGAUUCAGCUAGUUGGUGUUUUGUUUCCCACACACGUCUUUCUAAUGCCACUUGGCUCUGCCGAAGUUCUCUAACUUCCGAUCGGUUGGCAUUCAGUUCCCUCUGUAGUGCAUUAGUGUGAGUCCUUGUUAACUCAUGGUCUUUGUUCAGAUGGCGGAGGCAGACUGUAUUGACUCCUGAGUUAGCCCUAAUCUCCAUGACUUGGUCGAUGGCCAUUCUUCCUUGUUCAUCAUUGCAUGCAACACGAUGAACCAAGAUAGGCAAGAUUCUAUUAGCUGAGCCUCCCUCGCUCAAGCUGUAGAAGCUUCAUUCCAAUUUAUAAGGAGGAGGUUGUCCCUAUUCGUGACUCCAGCUUCCCAAGUUUACUGCCCACAGAGGUAUCAGGCCUUGAAAAUCCUGUCGCGGGUUAGGAUUUUGGGCAACUUGAGUUGGAUUAUAGACAUGGGGUUCUUAGUCAGAGUCUUCUUGAACUUCCUCUUCGUUCUCUUCCUCAUAACUUUCCUCGAGGUCUUCUUCUACUGGGACCAUAGGGUUAUCUUCUUCCGAUUCAGCUUCGAGCCAUCCACCAUUCUCUUGAUUUGGAAAGUACGAAACUCCCGGCAGAUGAAAUCCAGCCAUGUUAUCUAAGCGAGAACAGGGGUAUAAGAGACAUAUAAAAGAUGUAUUCCUAUAGAUAUUUAUAAGGUGAUCCUUCCUAGUUACUUCUAUACUUAUGUAGUGCAUACCAGCUAUAUAUAACCAAGAAAGAAUAGACCUUCAAAUAAGUAAUCCAACUCUAAGACCAGAACCAAACAAGGAAUAGGAAGUAAAGCGAAGAUCACAUAUUCUAAGUCUAUAACAUCUUAAUCACAUAUAAUCUUAGCAUAUCCACUCAGCAACUAUAGACCUACUAGUAAGGGUAAUUUUAGUUCUCACAUAAGUAAAAUAUAGUACCACAAAAUACUCCUGUAGUAUUUCAAGUUUAUGUUAAGUUCUAUCGCUUCUUUGUAGAAAGAGUUGGUAAGUUUUUAGACUUGUUGCAACACCACAACCAUUCCUAGGAAUAUGAUAAUCACUUCUCGGAUAGAUAUAGUUAAUCAAGCUAUAUCAAUCUCAUACCUGAUUAUAUAUCCCCAAGCCUACUUGUGCUGUUCAACAAUCACAAUAAUUUUGUUCUGUUCUUUUAUGACACUGUUCUGGCAUGAAUGCAUGUAUGUAUAAUUUAGUAAAAUAUUUUAUAUUUAAAAAGUAUAACUCUUGGUCAAACUGUUUUAAUCCAGUUGUAUCUUUUAUGGGUCGAUAUACUUAGUUCAAUAUAAAAAAUACUCUGAUACCAAUCUGUCACACCCCCAAACUAGAACAGAGGAAACGUCCGGGUGCGGAUGACGUUAUGUACAAUAUCAUAACAAUGAACUAUAGUAAAAUAAGCAACGACAUUUAUUUUAUUAAUAAAAUAGUUAAUACAUGUGUGUUCUUUGUAUAGUUGUAUGACACCAAAAAUGUAUAACAAAAUAUAAAAGACAAGUCUUGAACAUGCUUCGUCUUCUCAAAACCUGUGCCAGUGUACUUGUCUACUGGUUCCUUCAGAAUACAAGUUAUUUUGAAAGAGAGUAUCAACAUUUAAGUUGGUGAGUUCAUAAGUUUUUAGUGUCAAAUGAUUGUAUUUGUUUCAUGAAAAUAUUAGUAUACUUCCCAGAAAAUCCUAUAUUUUCUUUGUAAAAGGAAAAGUAGUCUUUUACCCAAGACCCAACUGUUUUAAUGUUUUGUUCUCUUGUAAUAGUAUAAAUGAAUGUUUGUACUUGAAAUAGUGUAAAAUGUAUGCUUUCCAUAUUUGUAAACUAUCUUUACUAGAAAAAUAGUAUGCAUUGUUUAUGUGUGAAUAUCACUAUAUGUAUGAAAUGGAAAAUGAAGAUUUAUAGUAGUAUUGUUUAAAAUAAAACUACUAAAGAAUUACCUGCCUCGUAACCGAAUUCGUUGGUUAAGGUGUUAAUGUGAUUAAGCUUAUAACUAUACUUGAUUGACUGGUAUAAAACAUGACGUUCUUCAGGCGUCGAAAAAGAUAUGACAUCUGUAACACGUAGACUUGUAGAUCCCACUAUAGCUAACAACAAGGUGUACGAUUGUCAGUCCCGUAUAGAUCUAUACACAAACUCAAACUCUCCCUCCAUGAGACUCUGGUUAUAAAACAAGACUUAGCAAGGAUAUUACUAAGUACAUGAAAUAGUAUUUCAAAUUCUAGUUAACUUGUUCACGUAUAGUAUGUAAGUCCUUCUUGUUCUGGUAAAUGAAUAGUGUACUUUGUAAUGAAAAGUAAUAUUAUAUAUGUAUUGACUCAUGUAUUGUUUCUAUGAUCUAGAAAAUAGUAUGAAUUGACUCUCUAAACUAUACCAAUUAUAGUUUACUAGCAUGUUUGUUUGAACUGUAAAUGAUUUGGAGAAAAGACUCAUUUUCCCAACAUAUGCAAUUGAGUUAAGUAUGUUCUUUGAAAAGGAGAUUUAAUAUUCUUGUAUAUAUUUAGCGUGUAUAAUUAUGAUUUAGCCGACAGUCGGACUGGUGAUCCUACCCUAAGCCUACAGCCAAACAAGGAAUAGGAGUUACAGUAUUUAGAAAUAGUCCUAUGUCCGUUAAAACAUUAUUAUACAUAAAUAUACAAACGAAUAUGAUUUUGAUAUAAACAGAAAACUAAAAUAGUUUAAAAGAUUUUGAAAAUGAUUUUUAACAAUGUUUAUAAGCAUAAGAAAUCCUUUGUUUGUUUGUUUUCACAUGUAAAAGUUAACACAAUUAAAUUUUGUUUAGCGUGUACCCCCCUAAAAAUAUUGAAAAAGGUAAAUUGUAGUGGUAUGAAGUCACCUUGUGUGAGUGAUUCGUUUGAAGGUUCGAUAUAGGAUGUUGUUUCCACAAGUUAGAUCCCGAGAAAAAAACGAGUCCUAAAAGCAUUUCACGUAAUAUAUAUGUAUACUACUAGUGAAUAUAACCGCAAGUAUGUUAAGGAAAUAGACUAAUUUUUAAGUUUCACUUACAAAUAAGAGUGUUAGAAGCGAUUUCGGCCAGCCCUUGGGUUUUCAGCCACUUGAAGAUCUUAGUGUUCUUAGUAAAACCAAGGAGAUUCAAAGGUUUUCGGUUGAAGAUCACCAAAAAGGAAGGUGAUAUCUUGAUGAAAUGAAGAACACUUGGUGUUCUUAUCAAGAUCCUAAGGAGAUUCAAAGGAUUUUGGAUUAUAAUCGAGAGAGAAAAAUAGGUUUUCGGUUGAUGUGUUUGAGAGCAAAAGUGGUGUUUUUGGAUAGAAGUGUAGAAGUGAGGAACUGAUUUCGAUCCCUCCAUAUGUAUAAGGCCGAAAUCGAUGAUGGGAGACGUUUGUAGAUUUACACACCGAGCGGAUAAGACCGAGGUUAGCGGUCAGAAGGUUCUCGGCCGAAAAUAGAUACUCGGUUUUGCACGUUUGCGGGUCAGAGUGAGUUAUUAGUCCGAAGUCUUAACACCAUGCGAGGGUUUUCGGUCCUAGCAAGACUUCUUAGAUCAAGCAAUUUACUUCCAAUUUAAGCAACACUUUUAAUAAAAGGUUUAAACACCUUGAGAUUUUUAAUAUAAAAUCCAUAAGAUAAAUCUACUUAAGAAGAUAUAUCAAUACUAUAAGUUUGACUUUGGUUGACUGAAGUUUGACUUUUACAAGAUCGAAAAUAAUGGGUUGGCAUAGAAAGCUUGUCUUGUUUCUUUGAAAAUGUAUUAGUGUUCUUAUAGAUAAUGCAAUAUUUCCUUUUAGAGAAUUAAAUGUAGUGUUGGACCUUAAGUCUAUAGUGUAUGUUUGUUACUCUAGCAUGAAAUAGCAAUCUGUACUCUGAAUUAGUAAUUGUAAUCUUAUUAAUGGAUAACACUAUAUCAUGAAUGUUUCUUAAAAUUGUGUGUUGUGCUAGUGUACUCAAUAUUACAAAAGUAGUGAAUUGUUUUAGUGUCCGUAGUGAUGUUUAUGUUGUAGUAGUGUCUGAAAUGUAUGUAGUAGUGCCCUGAAUUCACCGUGUGUAGUAUAAAUUAGUGUACUGUAGUUUUAUUAUUUAAAACAAAACCUUUGAAAUAGUGUUAAUCACAUAAAAAAAAUGUUUUAGUUAAACACUAUUCUGAGUUUCAUAUAACCAUGCUUGAUAUGACCUGUCGGCCUAGCUGUUACAAGCAGCUCAAGUACGGGAUUAUAAGUCCCGUACAGAUCUAUACACAAAUUCACGCUCUCCCUCUAGGAGACUCUAGUUAUAAUUUAUAAAAUUUGAACUGGUACCCUGAUGGGUACCCUGAAGUACUGCCUCACAACCCUGUAUUAACUAGUUUACAUGUAGUGUAGUAGUGUUCUCUUAUACUUGAAACUGUAUGUAUAACCUUGUAGUAGUGUACUUUGUAGUGUAAAAUAAUUAUACUUAAAUAAUUAUUUAGUAGUGUAUCCUUGAAUUAGUGAAAUAGAGUAGUGUCCCAUAAACUAUACCUAUUAUAGUUUAAACGUAUGUUCUUGUACUGUUUAUUGAAUUUAGCAAAUUAGUGUAGUGGUUCAUAAAUUAUGCCAACUAUAGUUUAAAUGUAUACCAUAUAAUGAAUUGAAACAUUUGCAAUUUAAUAGUAAGUAUAAAGCUGUAGUGAGAUAUUAUGAAAGAUACCUUGUUGCUCGAUAUGCUAUAAAAACGUUAAAAACAUAUGCAAAUAUAUUUUGGUAAUUGUAGUGAUAAUUCGUGUUGGAACAAUUGCAAAUGGUUUGCAAUGGUUUGAAAUCGUUCGAAAAUUCUUUGUGUUUAACUUGUAUUCCCCUAAAACAUUGGAAAUAGUGAAAACAUAGGGGUAUGAAGUCACCUGUAGUGCGUAUUUUAAUAGCAAACUGUAGUGACGGUCCUUGGCUAGCAUACGCGGAAGUAAUUGUAUUCGAAAAAUAAUUAUUUCCAACGUCGUAUUUAAAUUAGUACGACAUUAAUUUAAAUAAUAGGUUAAAUAAUGAUUUAAUUAUUUAAGGGAGACUUAUAAAAUAAACUAAAAUAUUUGAACUGUUGAAAGGGGGUUUUCGAUCGGACAAUUGGGUUUUCGGUGGAGGCUAGUAUGUUUUCGAUUGGAUCUUGAUAAAUGCUUAAAGAUUUGAAGAUUUGGAUGAAUGUUCUAGGUGUUCUAGGUGUAAGAAGAUCUGGGUAGAAAACUCUUGAAUAUAAGCUAUUUACGGAUGAUAGUUGAGAGCAAAUUGGAAGGUGUUCAUGGUUGGAAAAGUGGUAAAUGAAUUGAGUUUCCUGCCAAAACACUUAUAUAUAGAAAGGGUUUUCGGCCUUAAAGGGCCAUUGGAGUUAAACGGUGUUUUCGGUCAUGCAUGGCUGAAAACUCAUGUUCUUGAUUUAAUUUCAACUGUGAACUCUAUUUGGACUAGAGUUUUUGGUCAUGAACUUCUUGAUUAUUGAAUUCCUUGAGCGAAAUCUCUUAUAUGGGGCUUAUUUUAUUAUUUAAGCCUUAGUCUAUCAACUUAUGUUAAGUUAUUAUAUCAUAAUUCAACAUAAGACUUAAGCUACCCAUAAUUAUUUACUUAUAAGCAUGGCCUUAAAGAAAUAGAAUAUAUGUAUGCACAAGGAUUGUAAUGUAGUUUUUGACUCUUACUGAUUUGAGAAUGACGGGUUGUUACAUUAUCCCCCCGUUAUUGGGAAUUUCGUCUCAAAAUUCUUUCUAUAGCGAUUACAAUCAUGGACUAGUAAAAAAAGAUGCGGGUACUUUUGUUUCAUUUGAUCUUCUUGCUCCCAAGUGAAUUCAAGUCUCGGCAUGGCGUUCCAGCGAACCUUCACUAUUGGUAUGCGACUUUGUUUCGAUCGUUUGACUUCCCUAUCCAUUAUUUCUACUGGUUCUUUAACAAAGAUAAGGCUCUCGUUUAUCUCGAUUUCUCUGAGUGGAAUCACAAGACUUUCAUUGGAUAGACAUUUCUUUAGGUUAGACAUGUGGAAGACAGGGUGUACAUUUUUAAGUUCUUGUGGUAGACAUAGUUUGUAAGCUACUGAACCGAUUCUAGCGAGAAUUUCAAAUGUUCCUAUGUACCUUAGAUUUAGUUUUCCAUGCUUUCUAAAGUGUAUCAUGCCCUUCCAGGGUGAGACCUUAAACAGAAUGCAGUCGCCAACUUGGAAUUCCAAGGGUUUUCGUCUCUUGUCUGCGUAUCUCUUUUGUCUAUCUCUAGAGGCUUUAGUCGUUCUCAGAUUUGGACAAUCUUUUUUGUGGUUUCCCGAAUGAUCUCAGGGCUAGUGAGAGUGCUAUUAGGAACUUGGCCUUUUGCCAGUUGCGUGUCUCCUACUUCAGCCCAGCACAUAGGGGAUCUGCACUUGCGGCCAUAUAGGGCUUCGAACGAGGCAACCUUGAUACUAGAAUGGUAUCUAUUGUUGUACGAAAACUCGACUAAUGGAAAAUGGGUAUCCCAUGCUUUACCAAAGUCAUUCACACAGGCUAUCAACAUGUCUUCUAGGGUUUGUAUAGUUCUCUCACUAUGUUUGUCGGUUUGUGGAUGGUAGGUUAUGCUCAUGUCCAUCCUAGUCCCCAGAGAUUUCUAUAGCGACUGUGAUAUGUGUAUUUAUAUAUAUAUAUAUAUAUAUAUAUAUAUUUUUUUUUUAAACAUUAUAUCUUCAUAUUUUGGGCUUUAUUAUUCUCUUUUAGAACUAAAAAGUACUCAUAAUGCUUUGAAUUAUGUUUUGCAGCUAUUCGUUGACGAUAAAGCACGAAAGAAAAGACUGAAGCGGAAAUCGGGCUUAGAAGCUAAAAGAAAGGAAAAUGCUGGAGGAACGAUUACGCCCCACGUAAUUCACAAGUACGCUAAGCGUAAUGGCUAAAUUCAAAGUACGCCCCGCAUAACGAUAGGAAUCAGAUAACUCCAAUCGCGUAUAAAUCGUCACUACGCCCAGCGUAAUCCGACUUACGCCCAGCAUACGUAAGCCAGUUACAAGGGUUAUAAAAUUCGAUUAUCAGUCAACAAGAGAGGGGGAUUCGACUUCCAACCUAAUUUAGUCGAUAUUAAGCUUCUGUUAAGCCGUUUUGAGGGUCUAGAAGGCGGCCGGAAGGCCAUUAAGCUAACGGAAGCGGAGACCGGAAGGGGUGGAGAGCGUAUACAUGUCGGUAAUCAUAUGGGUUAUUAACGUGACCAUGUUUAGCAUUCCGUUGUGUUACUAUUCUGUAUUUAGUUUCUGGUUUGGGUGUAAAAACCUUUUACUUUGUGUUUAUGAUUGAAUGAAACUUUGAUUAUUAGACUAAUUGCUAUAUUGAAUUAUUUGUUUAUGUUUAAUUUAUCUUGCCAAGCUUGUUAAAAGAUCCUUACGUGUUAAUGAUAAUUAUUUGCUGUUAAUUGUUAAGUAAAUUGAGUUGUAUGAACAUCUGCUUGAUUGCUUGUCUCUUGUGAUUUUGAUGACCAUCGAGAUUAUAAGUCUAGGAAUAACGAAUGUGAAACUAGGAUUAACUUGGGAAUAAGUAAGUUAAUGUGUGAGCCUUGUUUGAUGACCAUCAACAAGAGGUUGAUUAAAUGUCUACAUUGAUUAACUAUAUUUACAAGUCUUGCUUGAUACGAACUGAACACUAGGAAGCAUGUUAGUUUAAUCAACUGAUCACUGUUUGAAUUGACUUGUUUGCUAAAGGAUUAGUUAUAGUGAACGCGAAUCUAAUCAUUUUAGGAAUCGGUGAACAUGAAUAAAUGAAUUUGUGUAUGCAAUUAUCUAUGUUUUUAAGGUGUAAUUUAUCUAAACCAAAGUACCUGAAGAGAUUUGCUUUCCUGUUAGUUUCUCGAAAGUUGUUAAUUAAUUGAUAGUUUGAGAUUUAUUAAACUAUUUCUUUAUUCUUUUCGUGUGACCCGUAACCUAUAAUCAAAUAUUUUAAAUUAAUUCACCACCGUUCCCUGUGUUCGACACCCGACUUACCUAAGCUAUAUUGUAAUCUGACUAGGUACACUGCCUAUAAGUGCAUAGUUAGUCUAAGUUUGUUAGGUUAUAAAUAUUAAAAUUAGUGGGUACUUUUGUGCACAUCAAGUUUUUGGCACCAUUUCCGGGGAACGGCUUGUGAUUAAUUUAGUUUAUUUGAUUAUUCGUUAUUUGUUUUUAGUUAGUUUUCAUUUUUAGCAUGAUUUUCGUUGAGAUCAUUUCACUUGCAGGGAAGGUUCUUGUUGUUAUUUGCAGGAAUUUGGGAUUGUACACAUUGCUUGACUUUACUUUUUGCAUGGGUUUCGAGAAUGCAAGCGAUUUGGGAAUUCUUGACCUAGUUGGCCUACUACUUUGUUGAUUUGUCCAACUCAAUCCAUGAGGCGUAGUAUAGCAAGGCGUAUUGUGGUGGUUAAGUGGAAGACCGAGCUCUUGUUGUUCUUGACUAGUUAGGUCACUUCUUGUUCUACUUUUAGUUAAAGGUGCAAAGAAAACAAAGGAAAUAUUCUAACGGGUCCUGAAAGUGGGUGUUUUCGCAAACCAAUUCUUGUGUGCAAAGGUUUUUAAUCAACCAUUGUUGUUUGAUCCUGACAAAGAUAAGUGAUUAUGACGUCUCAUUUUUUUUAUGUCACUCAUCGGGAAGUCAUCAGUUGCUGAAGCAAUUAAGAAGAAAAAUAAUUAAUUAUAAUAAGUCCCUAAAUUAAUUAGUUAAAAGAAAAGAAUUUCAAAUAAAGAAAAGGGAAUAUUUGAGUUUUAAUUACGCCCAGCGUAAUUUUAAUUACGCAAAGCGUAAUAAACCAUCGAUCGCGUAUGGACUUUUCUCGGAGUUGGGGUUAUGCCCAGCGUAACUUCGCGUUACGCCCAGCGUAAAUCGACAACCAGGUUUUAUCUGUUUACCCUUUGACUUCUUUGUUAUUCUUUCAAACACUUCUAUUUCGCCGCAUAAGCUGUGACGGACGAACUCUCUCAAAGAAUCUCGAUUGUGCUUCUUUUCUUGUAAAAUUCGACACAUAGGUAUGUUUUUCGGGUACUCAAUGGCUUGGAUUUAUGUUUCAAUCGAUGAAAUUGGCUGCAUAUUGCCUUUGUUUGAAAUCUAGGGUUUGUACAUUUCUUGAAUUAGGGCCGAUUUCACAAAUGUAGGUUUUGAUUAGGGCUUGAAUGGACCGAUUUCCAUCAAUGGACUAAACCCUAGGACUUAAUUUGUCCUUAAUCCCAUGAUAGACCCAGCGAUUUGCGCUCGGGGACGGACGCCUAGCAUAACACCUGUUGACUUCAAGUCUUGACUGCUCUAUGCAGUUUCCUUGUUAAGUGUUUGCUAAUUUUGAAUAGACAAGGAGAUUACAUGGGAUUGAUUUUUAAGGGAGGUCCCGUUUUUUUUUUCUACUGUCUUGGACCACGCAAGUUGUAUGCUCGAUAUGCCCCUAUGUGUUUACCCCUGCUAUGUUUAUUGCUUGCAGAUGUGCUUAAUUUGAAGAUUUUGAUAUGAGUUAUGACUUUAGAACAAGCAAGGGAACUCAAACACAGAUUCGUGAAACCUGGAUGUACGCCCAGCGUACUAUCCAUAUCUAGCACCAUUUUUUUUGGUUUAAAAAACCUGUUAAUGCCGUUAUAUUUUGUUUGGUUUUGUCUCUAUUUAUGCAGGUUGUGGCUCGAAGAACUCAAAGGACCAACCCACCCGAGGAUGUGACCGAUCACCGUUUCUUACAAUUUCCGCAAACUCUGAACGAUGCAAUCCGAGCACGAUAUGUCACCAAUCUGAGUUUACUUCUCACCAAGGAGAUCGAUAUAGCACCAUCAUUCGACUGGGAAUUGGCGACCCAGACUGGACUUGCUGCACUGAUCCAGGAUUUUUUGCAAUACACGCACUCGGACACGAGUGGAGUGGAUUUGUUCGUAUGUCAGGGAUGGGCACGAUUGUUCAGGAUCCAGGAGCCUGUUUUUCGGGAAUUUUUGCUGGAGUUUUACGCUAUAGUUUCCUAUGAUCCUAGGAAGGCACCCGAUGAUAGGACAACUUUUGCCUUCAGACUUGGGGGAGUGAGCCGGGAGUGCAAUGUCAUAGAGCUUGCGACUUGAGUGGGUAUAUACACAACAGAUGAGACGAGGAGUGUCCACUUCCCGGCAUUCCUUGCUGAUUGUCUCACGGACCGGCCAAAUGACUAUAACGAGAACACUUUUUGGGCCGAGAUUACAGGGGGAGUUUAUACGCCAUUUACUGCACGAGGGAGGAUGAUUCGGUCUACUACAUACAGACUGCUGCACCGUUUGAUUUCUAUGUCUCUCACGCACCACAAGAACAGUGAGAGAGUGCCUUCGACAGACUUGUAUUUCCUAUGGGUGCUUGUUACUCCAGGGAGGCACCUGAACCUUCCAGUUGCUUAAGCCGCAUAUCACGCGACUAGCUCGAUCAUAUCAGUUGUUGACGCGUGAGAUCACGAGAUCGAUGGUAUUCUAUGAUAUGAGGCCGAUGAGCCUUCAGUUGUUAGAGUCGAUGCAUGUACUCGAGCGGGGCGGAGAUGGUGUCUUGCGAGUACGAGCAGAUGAUGUGGCGGACGAGGAGGGUGUCGCCGAGCCACAGCCGAGACGGGUCCAGCGGCGUAGACCUGCUGCUCGAGGAGCACAGCAGGGACCUGAGCCGGAGAUUGAUAUGCGCUAGUAAGCUCAGGGAAUUGACCCUCUUGACAUGAGGGUUCAGAACCUUAGUGAGUAUGUUGCACAUGUGGACAGGCAACAACAGUGGUAUGGGGAUGCGUUGACCGCAUUCUUUGCCCACCAGGGGUUUCAGUACUCGGUUCCCUACCCACCACCAUUCCAGCCACGACAUGAUGGGGCCGGUACUUCUGGGACACAUCAGCAUAAUGACGGAGAUGAUGAGUGAUUUAGUUAUCCUUUUUAUUUUUAUGUUAUUUUUAGUUUAUUUUUGUGUUGCUAGUAUUAGUAUUUUUUUUAUUUGGUAUGUAAUUAAACUUUAAUUUAGGGUGUUUUAUUUUUGUUUUCCAUGUUGAUGCUCUUUGGUUGUUUAGAUCUCUACAGAGUUUUCGCCCUUAGAAAGCUGGCAGUAAGUUCAGCAGCUAGGUCUGACUAUUGCUAGAGAGAGUCGUGUGAAAGUUCGAAGAUUAUAGUCAAGACCCACAAUUUGUCAUAAGUGUGGGGUGCAUAUUGAUUUCGUGAGAGUUUGUUUAGAAGAUUGGCAGUUUUACGAUAUUUUGACUCUUAUGAUAUGGAUGAGCUGUUCCCACAGCAUAGAGUUUUAUUUCGACGCGAGGAAGAAGCAUCAUCCCGGCUGCCAUGACAUGGUUGACUUUUUCCUAUGCUGUGGGGGAUUUUCCAUCGCGAGAAGAUGAUGUCAUUCUUGAAGAGACGACGUGGUUGACACUUUCCCACGUCAUGGUUAUUACACAUUGCAUUUGUUUGCAAUCUUGUGCACCGCAUUUUUUUUAAGACGGCAGUCUUGAUUUUAUUUUUAGGCAAAUUCAGAAGCAGCAGUUCCAGUUUUCAGUCUUUCAGCAAUAUUUGAAGCAACUUGUAGCAGCCCCAUUCGAUCGCACCACAACUACCCAGGGGAGUCUAUUCCUUUUUCUCCUUUUUAUGUUCUUAAUUCGUUUUAGCAUACAAUGAGGGCAUUGUAUGAAAUAAGUGUGGGGUAGGGGGUCGCUAAAAGUAAAUUAAAAUUAAAAGAAAAAUGAAAUUGCUAGAUUUAGGAAAUUAAAAAAUUUUAAAAACUUGAAAUAAUAGUUUAAUUUAGAAAAAUCUAGUGAUUAUUUGAAUUUUGCUAAUAUUGUAUGAGAUGAUCCGAUGAGAACUCAAAUGUUUAGUUGAGCCAAUAUACAUUAUAGUGCAUUUGUGGCCUCCCUUAUUUUAGUGAAAUCAUGGAACAAAAACAUAACCCCGCUUGGUUUGAGGGAUGCAAUAUGUUUAGCAGCCUAAACCUGAAAUGUAUCCAGGAAAAUUAUUAUCGUUAGCCAAUAAAGGUUGAGGUUGAGCGCCUCUGCUUAAGCAUGUAGGUUUUGAGUGAAAUAAGUGAGGUACAUGUAAUAUAUAAAAAAAAGAGAGAAUUACGAGUAAAGUUUGAAGAAUUUUGGAGCAAAUAAAGUGAAGAUCAAAAGAUCAAAAUUCUGAAGAAAUCCAAAAAGUUGAAGAUACCAGAAAUCAAAUCAACAAAGGUGGUGAAUUCAAAGAAAUCAAAGAUCAAAUGUCAAAGAAUUGAAGAAUUCCAAAAGAGCUCCAUAGUGGUAUCGAAAAAUUGUAAUUCUAGAUUAUGUAUGCUUAGGUUGCUCAACUAAAAAUACCUUGAGGUUAGGAGGUUUUCUGCGGAUGGAUUCGGAGGGUUGCAUAAAAUGAGCAUUGUUCGGAAAAAGUGGGCGAGUGUUUAUGAAGAUUGUGAGUAUUUAAAAUGGGGGGGGGUACUUUAGGAAAAUUUUAGACACAAAUGCAUGCGUUGAGGUCUUGGCAUAAUGGCUGAGUUUUAAAUGGAUUGUUUAGUGCGAUAUUGGUAAAAUAAAAGUAAAUUUGCUUCGGGGCAAGCAAAGGCUAAGUGUGGGGUAUUUUGAUAUGUGUAUUUUUUAUAUAUUUUUAUACAUUAUAUAUUAAUAUUUUGGCCUUUAUUAUUCUCUUUUAGAACUAAAAAGUACUCAUAAUGCUUUGAAUUAUGUUUUGCAGCUAUUUGUUGACGAUAAAGCACGAAAGAAAAGACUGAAGCGGAAAUCGGGCUUAGAAGCUAAAAGAAAGGAAAAUGCUAGAGGAACAAUUACGCCCCGCGUAAUUCACAAGUACGCUAAGCGUAAUGGCUAAAUUCAAAGUACGCCCCGCGUAAUAUUAGUGUACGCCCCGCGUAACGACUGGAAUCAGAUAACUCCAAUCGCGUAUAAAUCUUCACUAUGCCCAGUGUAAUCCGACUUACGCCCAGCGUACGUAAGUCGGUUACAAGGGUUAUAAAGGUUGAUUAUCAGUCAACCAGAGAGGGGGAUUCGACUUCCAACCUAAUUUAGUCGAUAUUAAACUUUUGUUAAGCCGUUUUGAGGGUCUAGAAGGCGGCCAGAACGCUGUUAAGCUAACGGGAACGGAGAUCGAAAGGGUUGGAGAGCGGAUACAUGUCGAUAAUCAUAUGGGUUGUUAACAUGACCAUGUUUAGCAUUACGUUGUGUUACUAUUCUGUAUUUAGUUUCUGAUUUGGGUGUAAAAACCUUUUACUUUGUGUUUAUGAUUGAAUGAAACUUUGAUUAUUAGACUAAUUGCUAUAUUGAAUUGUUUGUUUAUGUUUAAUUUAUCUUGCCAAGCUUGUUAAAAGAUCCUUACGUGUUAAUGAUAAUUAUUUGCUGUUAAUUGUUAAGUAAAUUGAGUUGUAUGAACAUCUGCUUGAUUGCUUGUCUCUUAUGAUUUUGAUGACCAUCGAGAUUAUAAGUCUAGGAAUAACGAAUGUGAAACUAGGAUUAACUUGGGAAUAAGUAAGUUAAUGUGUGAGCCUUGUUAGAUGACCAUCAACAAGAGGUUAAUUGAAUGACUAAUUUGAUUAACUAUAUUUACAAGUCUUGCUUGAUACGAACUGAACACUAGGAAGCAUGUUAGUUUAAUCAACUGAUCACUGUUUGAAUUGACUUGUUUGCUAAAGGAUUAGUUAUAGUGAACGCGAAUCUAAUCAUUUUAGGAAUCGGUGAACAUGAAUAAAUGAAUUUGUGUAUGCAAUUGUCUAUGUUUUUAAGGUGUAAUUUAUCUAAACCAAAGUACCUGAAGAGAUUUGCUUUCCUGUUAGUUUAUCGAAGGUUGUUAAUUAAUUGAUAGUUUGAGAUUUAUUAAACUAUUUCUUUAUUCUUUUCGUGUGACUUGUAACCUAUAAUCGUUUUAAAUUAAUUCACCACCAUUCCCUGUGUUCGACACCCGACUUACCUAAUCUAUAUUGUAAUCUGACUAGGUACACUGCCUAUAAGUGCAUAGUUAGUGUGAGUUUGUUAGGUUAUAAAUAUUAAAAUUAGUGGGUACUUUUGUGCACAUCAGACUACCAAAAUCUUGAGGUGAAUCUACUGUCUCUAUCAGAGAUAAUAGAGAUUCACACACCAUGCAGUCGUACGAUCUCUUUGAUGUAGGUUUUGGUUAAUAAUUCAUCUUGUCUAUUUCCUUAUUUCGUAGGAAGUGGGCAGACCUGGUUAAUCUAUUGACGAUUACCCAAAUGGUGUCAUGACCACCCGGGGUCUUGGGCAACUUGGUUAUGAAAUCCAUUCCAAUCCGCUCCCACGCCCACUCAACUAUCUCCAGCUGUUGUAAUAAAGCUUAGGUCUUUUGGUAUUCUACCUUGACUUUGGCACAAGUUAGAAACUUGCCCACGAAGGUAGCAAUUUAUGCUUUCAUGUUCAGCUACCAAUAUAGUUUCUUGAGAUCCAGGUACAUCUUAUCUGAACUUGGAUGAGUAGAGUAUUGUGUCUUGUGGGCUUCGUUCAUGAAAACCUCUCGGAAGCCAUGAAACUUCGGUGUGCAAAUCCGGUUUAUCAAAUAAUGAAUCCCCUCAUUCUUGAUUUCUAUUUUCUUCUCCAUUCCUCUUAAGGCUGCAUCUGUCACAUUUUCUAGCUUCAAGGCUUCUAGCCGCUGCUCUUUGAUUUGAGUGGACAGAUGUGAAUGGAUUGUCAUGGUUAGUGCCUUCACUCUACGACCUGAGUAUUCCUUUCGACUUAGGGCAUUUACUACUAUAUUGGCUUUACCAGGAUGAUUGGAAAUUUUUUAUUCAUAAUCAUUGAGUAGUUCUACCCACCGUCGCUGUCUCAUGUUAAGUUCAUUCUGAUCAAAGAUGUGUUGAAGGCUUUUGGGUAGGUGAAGAUAGUGCACUUGGAACCAUAAAGGUAAUGUCUCUGGAUUUUUAGUGCAAAGACCAUUACUACCAAUUCAUGAUCGUGAGUAGUGUAGUUGACUUUUUUGUGCCUUAAGGUGUCCCGGGGCAUAAGCAAUAACUUUUCCUUGUUGCAUAAGCAUACAGUCUAGCCCCUGAUUGGAUGCAUCACAAUAUAUUACGAAAUCUUAAGUUCCUUCUGGAAGAGACAAGAUAGGCACACUGCACAGGGCUUGCUUCAGUGUUUGGAACGGAGUGUCUUGUUUUUCUCCCCAACUAAAAGUCACACCCUUCUGAGUCAGGGUAGUAAGCGGUUUAGCGAUUCUGGAGAAGUUUUGUAUGAAACUGCGGUAGUAGCCAGCAAGUCCAAGAAAUUGACGGAUCUCUGAAGGCGUUCUGGGUGGUGACCAGUUCUCGAUCGCCUUUAUUUUGGAAGGGUCCACAUGUAUUCAUUCUUUGCUGACCACAUGACCAAGGAAAGUUUAACCUCCUAAUCCAAAACUCACACUUUGAGAAUUUCACAUAAAGCUUUUCCAUCCUUAAAGUUUCUAAGACUUGUCUCAACUGCUGACUAUGUUUUUCUUUGUUUCGUGAAUAGAUAAGUAUAUCAUCUAUGAAAAAUAUCACGAAUUUGUCUAGGAAGGGUCUGAUGGGUUUUGAGCAUUCUAACACUUCCUAAGUGUACAUGCAACCCUAAUAACCUUUGAUCUAUGUUUGUCUAAUUAUCAUGCAAAGUUGAAUUCCAAGGUUAUAUUCCUAUCUAGCAUACAUGGGGAACAAUUUCUAACUUGAAUGAAAGAUAGAAUAACUUACCUUGUUGUUGCUUAUGAUCC